rnacentral:lncRNA from 1 species
UUUUUUUUUUUUUUUCUAUAUAUUCUUUUAAUUAAUAUUCUUGUUGUUCUACUUCACAUAUCUAUUGUAGUUUUGCAAGAAAGUGGUGAUUGGUACCUGUUAUGAAUUUUUGAUACUUCCAUAGUUUUCUGGCUUACUGUUCUGAGAUUUAGAUGAAUUCAUCCAUCACCAUGGAAUUGGAGUUUUUAUUUAUUGUUGGUUUAUGAUGUUUCAGGCAAGACAUGUCCAACCGAUGGUAUAACAGUAGACAGGAGACAAACGCCCGAGACAAACAGCAACAUGAGAAGGAGCAGGUAACUAGUGGGUCUAGUUGUAUGAUUGGCUUCUCCAACAAGUGGUUAUUUUCAGUGACCUCCAAGUUCUAUGGCUACAUUAAUCAAAUAUAGUUGGCUAAUUUUAUAUUUAGGAAUUGGUUACUUGCCAACAAGAAGUUCCCAAUUUAACAAUAUGCAUUACAAUGAUUUUAUGGUGCAGGCAUAUCAGGAGUCACUUCUUGAUGAUCUAGCAGAGGAAUUUAGACUUCCUAUCAAUCAAAGGCCAACAGAAAAUGUUGAUCUGGAACACGUGGAACAAGCGUCGUUAGAUAGACAGUUACCGUCAUCUAACAUUGGUUUUCGGCUUCUCCAGAAAAUGGGGUGGAAGGGGAAGGGGCUCGGUAAAGAUGAACAAGGUUUGUUAUAUAUAUGAAAUUUAUUUGAUUCUGUAUUGAGUUUAUUGAUUGAUAUCCUUAAAGUAAGUGACCAACUUAUUUGGUGAAUAACUUGUAUGUCAACUUAUUUGCGUGCCUAAAGGCUACACCAUGUUGCUGGUUCUUUAGUAUAUAAGUUUUUCUUAAUCCCUCGGAUUGCGGUCGUUAUUGGUUUCACUGCUUAGUUGAUUCUAUUCUAGUAGGCUAGGUAUAAAGUAUUGGUAUUGCUUAUAGUAUCAGAUGAUAGAUUGGUCCUUAAUCCCUUUUAUUUGCUGUCAUUCAUGAUCUCACUGUUUAAUUGCUUCUAAUAGGGUAGGGGUCAUAUGAAGUAUUGGUAUAGCUUAUAGUAGCCCUGGUGUUCUACAUUCAAAACAUCUAAUCCGGUUCUGCAGGAAUUGUUGAGCCAAUAAAAUCUGGAAUUAGAGACCCAAGACUAGGAGUAGGAAAACAAGAAGAAGACGAUUAUUUUACUGCGGAAGAAAAUAUUCAAAGAAGAAAACUUGAUGUUGAGAUGGAAGAGACCGAGGAACAUGCAAAGAAGCGGGAGGUAUGCCGUCAAUCUUAGUUGCUAUAAGUACUUGAGUUAUUAGAUAAUAGUGAAGUUGAUAAGCUACUUUUUCUGAAACCCAUAUAUAAAAGCAGAAGGCAGCAUAUAGCAUAUAUGCCUGUCUUUUGACGGGAAUGGUAUAUCAUAAGGGACCAUCAACUUUGGAAGGUCUUGAGAAUUUCGUGCAGUUUUUAUUACCUGGUGGCUUCUACUGCCUGCUUCGUGCACAUUAAAAUCCAGGUUUUAGCAGAACGUGAGCAGAAAAUUCAAACUGAGGUGAAAGAAAUACGCAAAGUGUUCUUCUGUGACCUGUGCAACAAACAGUACAAAUUGGCUGUGGAAUUUGAAACUCACUUGAGCUCCUAUGAUCACAAUCACAGGAAGGUAAAUGGUUUAAACAAUCUUUUUUCUUUGACUUUAUUGUCUCAAAUUUGGUCUGAAUGGGAAUACCCCUCAAAUGAGGCUUGCAGCGUUUUAAAGAAAUGAAAGAAAUGCAUGGUUCAAGUGGUCGGGAUGAUCGCCAAAAACGGGAGCAGCAGCGCCAGGAGAAGGAAAUGGCAAAGUUUGCUCAGAUGUAAUCUUUCGCCUCUCUGCUUAAUAGUUCAUACAUUAUUUAUAUAUUUUUUUCUGUAUAGCCUCAUUGACUUAUCCUUCCUUUUUCUUUUCUUUAAUUUAAGGAGUGCCGAUGCCCGUAAGCAGCAGCAGCUACAACAACAGCAAGAAGAAUCUGCAUCUGCCCCAGGUUCUGCUGAACUGAGAAGUGCAACUGCACUUGCAGAUCAAGAUCAAAGGAAGGCUUUGAAAUUUGGGUUUUCUUCUAAAGGUGGCACCUCUAAGGUAAACUAAACUGAAGUGUGUAAUAUAUUGUGACUGUUUAUUUGAAGAUAUGAGUCUGAACUGCAGAUCACCAUCUAGGCAUGGUGACUAAUCUACAUCUGACUCGUAGGAAUUCAAUGCUAGCUUUUGUUAUUAAUGCAAUCAAUUCUAGUGAUGAAAAAAUAUGCCCCCUAACAUUUGGCAUUUCUCUCCCAUUUUGCAGACAUCAUUUGGUAGUGCUUCAAAGAAGCCAAAAGUAGCAAAAGUACCCGUGGCCUCAGUAUUUGGCAAUGAUAGCGAUGAAGAAUAGGUGACAUAGCUUGUAAUUGCCAGUCGGUUCUGUACCUUAAAGUUUGUGUGUGUCGUGUGCGUUUAUGUUCCCAGCAUAUGCAGUUGCGAUGAAAGAGAAAAAACAUUUUAUAGGUUUACUGAUUAAAGUCAAAAACACUUAAGAUUUUAUAAAGAAUGUCUAUUUAAGUGCAGACUAUUUGCUCAUGAGGAUGAAUAAUGCUUGUGAUCCCCUCAUGAAUAAUCAAGCUUCUUCGUCGUGUUCUUUUUUCUUUUUUUUUUUAAUUUUUUUUAUGCAUCAGUGCAAAGAUAUAGAUAAGAAGUUAAGAACCAUAUGUACAUUUUUAUUAUACAGUUUAAAGGAGAGAUUUGAAAAUGGUACACUCUUUGAUCACAACCUAUGACAUCUCCGUCUUAAGUUUCUGAAAACCACCAGUUACAGAAAAGCAGAAAAUGUGGUCGUUAAGCGGCUUCAGCAAAUCCAAUCUCAAGGUUGCCAAAGUCGAAAACUGUGUGAUAAGCCCCCAUAAAUACAUCUCCAAGGAUCCUGCAUGAACAUUGACAAGCCUGGAUAAAGAUGGACCUAAGCAGAUAUCUAUAAACUAGAGGAUAAAUUUUUCAUAACAUACCAAAGGGGACCCGUUGGAGGGGGUAUAUCGAAAGCUGUAAAACCACUGAUGCAGAUACCAGCUAUGCCUUGGCCAGUUUUCAGAACAUACUGUGAAGUAUGACAAAUAGUUGCAGAGUCAAUAUAGGAGAAAGUAUAACCAAUUAGAACCAUAAUCACUGAUAAAUCUCAAAUCUAACCUGUUGUGGAGUGAGAACAAAAGGCUUAUCUCCAAUGGUGAAGGUAAUGUUCGGCAUGCUUGAAAUGCUAUUGCAGUCAAUUAUCGACUCUCCCAUUGGACUUGGCAGGCUCUCACACAGCUGUUAAGUUCAAUACCAGCACCAACUUGUAAUUUUUCCUUACAAAACAUGAAAUGGUUCUAGAAAAGUUCAGAGAUUCUCACCUGAUCAAUGUACUGAAGUACUCUUUCUUUUGUUCCUUUUUGUUUAAGCUGAUUCUGGGCCCAAACAACAGCCAUCUCACAAGCUGUGCACAAGGCAGUGUCACCAACAGAUGAUUCCUCCCUAUCUUCUCUUUCGAUCACUGUUUCAAUUCCAGCACUCACAUACUGACCCCCAUUCAAAACACACAAACCAAGCUGCUUGCAUACUUGGUCAGGUUGUACCUGCAGAUAUGCAGAUCAUGGAUAAUCCAUAGAUCAGAUAUUAGGAUAUGUUAAGGUUGAGGAGAAAAGAAGGUUCAGAUUAUGUUAAAGACAGAGAAAAACACCUACCCCUGAUAUCAGAAGAUUCCAUAUCAAGUCUCCAUAUUGAGAAACAAUUUGUUUACAUUCUGUACUCACUACUCCUUCAGCUCCAAUAGCAUGGUUAACUUCAGUCACAAUAGACUGAAAGAAGAGACAUAAUGUGAAAUGAAGCUUGGAGUCUUUUUGAAUAUAAUACAACUCUAGACAAGGUGGAAGCACAUACUGUCGGGCCAGCGAGUAAGGACGUUCCUGAAUCCACAAUAGCAGCACAACCCCCCUCACAAACACCUGAAUACAAUCAUAAAGUUCAGUCAUUGCUUAGACAGUUACAAUUUGAGUUUUCUUCACGGUUUGAUACUAGAAUGAGGAAGUGAUUACUGAGUCACCUGUUGACUGGUUUCCGAUUUUGAGAUCUCCCAAACUGAACUGAAAGAAGUAAAGAGAUGUCAACUUAUAGAUAAUUUCCAAGGAAUGUAAGAGUUGCAGACAUAAAAUCUUCAGAAACUACCUACCUGCCAGUAGCCCUUUUUAGUAACUGGAACAUAGGUGUGCUUUCCAUUAUAGUGUUUUUUGUCAACACCACCAAAAACAAGUUCACCUCCAACUUCUGCAUCUGCAUCUCGAUUAAUCCAGAAUGAGAAGACCUCAUCAUUUAACAGACCUUGCUCUGCCAUUGUAGACCUGGAAAUUUAAAAUGAGGCACAUCAUUGCAGUUUAUAAGACACCAAAGUCUAGAAUAAUUAGUUUUGAGGACAGGCAAAAUAGACUUAAGUCACUUGACACAAGAAUUUGACAUGAAAAUAGUAAGAUACCACACUGGGGUAGCAUUUCCAACAGAGAUUUCCUGAAAUCCAAGCCCUAGAAGUCCAUCAAACUUUGCCAAGACAAAUGUGAGACUUCCUUCUCGUGUGGCCUCGAUGAAGUCCUGAAUGCAAAAAGUGAACAAUGAAGGUUCAGAAGCAUUACCAGUGAUGCAGCCAAACUAAAAAUCAAGUAAAACCCUACCUGAUUUUUGACAACUACAUUGCCGACUAGAACAUUAUCCUCACUGAAGAAACCAGAAAUGGAUCCACUUCCAUAUGUUAUUUGAGCAGAUUUUCCUGUACCACAAGGCAUCUAUUUAAAACUGAACUCCACAAAAUCACUAGAAACCCCUUAAAAGUCAAAAUCCAUUUGGUGAUUACCAUUUGCAGUAUAAGUACUCGACUUGCUUGACUUGUACCGAGUAUGGAAAUAGCAUGCAAUCUGGGGCAUGUAAUAAUGAUACAAUAUAUAAGAAUUUAUAGAAUAUGAUAACAACUUCACAAGCAAAAAUUAGUUAAGCAUAGUUUACAUACAGACAAGUAACACUUUGCUGAUGGCACCCAAAGAUUGGAACUUCCUGUGUCGAAUAUGACAGUAAAGUUCUGAGGUGGUGAGCCAAUACCAAUCUCACCAUAGUAUUGAGCGUCCAUAUAAUUCUCCAGGGGUACUAUAUCUUCAUCAUCUGAACUACCCAAAUUAUUAUGAUCAAACAUGCUCUUUAAACUAGUCCCUCUGAACUUUGCCAGUCUUGCUGCUCUGGCAGCUUUGAUGGUCUGAACAUCCAAGGUUCGCUUCUUCAGACCGAUCCUCACUAGGCCAUUAGAGGAAGCAGGAAGCAGUGCACAGAUCAAGGUCCAUACGUACAAAGCCACCAAGAUAUAUUUACUCCACAUGUUCAGAUAUAUCUAUAAAAAAAUAAAUAAAAAAAAUUAAAAAAAAAACUAUAAACAGUAAGCUGAGAGUUGAAUUGGAAGCAAGAACACACAAAAAUGAUCACUUAUGUAAGUUAAAGAUUAUACACAAACAAAAAGAAAAACCCAUGUCCGAAAAUAUACUAUUGCUAGCUUGCUAGUUGUUCUUGAUGAUCAUGAUAAAUUAGUAACUCAAACCUUUCUCAGCCAGCUUGGUUGGGGAAAGUUGGGGAUGGUGUUCCUGCAGAAGAUGAGUUUGGUGAUAUAAUUAAUUGAUGAUGAUGAGCUAGCCUGAAGUGUCCAGAAGAACAAGUAAUCCACAAAAGUAGGAAACUACUACUUGUAUAUAUAGUGGUCCAUACAAAUGCAUUAGUUACUUAACCAAUAAAAAUAUAUCUACAUCAACAUCACAGGCCUAAUGAGCUUCCUUCCAAAACUCAAAAAUUGCUAUAAUCUCCAAUGAUGCAGAUGGAAGCUACCUUGAAGUUUCCAAUAUAACAAGACAUGGACAUGAAGGAGCGGAUUUGGAAUCGAGUUCAAAAGUACUUGCCGUCCUAUCUGAAUCAGAACCGGUAUGAGAGGUGAAAUGAUUCUCCAGUACGUGUGGUUCCCAAUAAUUCAGAGGCUCAUCAGAACUUCACAACUGUUCAUGUUUACAGCACAAGAGAAAACAGUAUCCAACAAGUUGUUAUUAUGGAGGAAAUUCUUCAAAGAGUAGAGACCAAUGGACUGUUCUUCACUUUUCAAGUUCACCAAGGAAACUCCAAACAAAUAGUAGACGUAAACGUUAUGGUUCUUUUUAUAAUGUUGAAUGAAGUUUUGAGUUCGAAUCUCUCAUUUUUAAAGAUGAAAUGUUAAUAUUUUCAAGAAUUACUAAAUUUGCAAAUGAAGAUGAAAACAUGAACAAAUGAUUGCCUAAAUCGAACAUAUAUAUGAAAGCCAUCAUAACAACUAGUUUUUUUUUUAUUAAAGAAAAUAGACAAUUUCAUUAACUUGUCCACGGCCAGAAGACGUUUACCUCAAUCUACUCAUGACCAAAAAGUCUAGUUGACAACAAGCACUAACAGAGUGACAGGUAGUUACAAAAACAAGAAUAACAUUUAUCUCAUCAUUCUCUUAAAUUUGCAAAUGAUGAUGAAAAUAUGAACAAAUGAUUGCCUAAACAACAUACAUAUGAAAGCCAUCAUAACAAUUACACAUUACAAUUAGUUUGUUGCAAAGGCAAGAGUAACAUCCAUCCCAUCAUAUUCUCUUACUCUCAACGAAACAUUUCUUUCUAUAGCAAUCGAGUGGUAAAUAUUCUAAAAUGACAGAAGUUGACAAUGAAAUUGACAUGCCAAAGCAAAUUAACCAUGUCUCACAUAGCUUACGUGGUAUCCUCGGAUCCAUGUACAUGGAAGUGUAUUACAUCUGUAACAAUCUUUCCAUAAAAACUAUCUCAAUCUGUCAUUCUAAACUCUAAAACCCUAAACCUUACGGGCCCACUUCAGCUCGCCCGACUCGGCCCGCUGGAAAAACCCGACCCGUUAAGUUUAUACCCUGUUCUUCAUGAUUCCUACUCCAUUUUCAGUUCGCUUUCUAACUCAUUCUCAGAGUCGCCCAAAGGGCUUGUUUGGCACAGAAGGUAAACUUUAUCUGGGUUUCAGUUUCAACCCAGUUCUUUCUGCUCUAGUAGUUUCAUUUCUAAUUCCUUAUAAUUGCUAAUGGCUCCGAUUUGAGUGAUUCUAUAUGUGAAUUUCAUCUCAAACUCUCAGUACCCAGACAAAGUUUUGAUCUUUUCUCUUAUGUAUUUGUAUUCUCUUUGUCGAAAUGGGUUCUUUCAUCGACAUGUUUUGAACAUAAUGGUAUUUGGUAAUUUGAAGCAAUGAGAUUGAAUAGCUUUUCUAUUAGAACUAACUGAAAUUGUGAAGUGUGAAUGUGUGAUACAAAAGCUUUGUGCUUGUGAGUAAUGUAUAAAGUUGAAGACUAAUCAGCUGGAUAUGAUGGUAUUUACUGCUCAGUUGCAGAUAACUUGAUAGUUCAAAUGAUUAUCAUUCAUUGGAAUUAUACACCAAGAUGAAAAUUUGUGCUGGUGGUGGUUAGUCUGUAAGCAUAAAGUUGUAGACUUAGUAUUAGCUUGGAACAAGAUGGUAUAUACUCUUUGGUUGCAUUUAAACUGACGCAUUAGGAUACUUGUAUUUGGGUUUGUGUCAGUAGUCUGUGUUCUUCCACUCUCAGAAUUGCCAGUUUAAUUUGGUUACUGAAUAGGCUAUUACGAUAUUUUCAGUGGGAUAAGUCCAUUAACUUCUCCUGGGUGUGUGAAGAAAGUGCAGAGUUAUAGCAAAAAGUUAUUAAAGAUGGCAUUGAGGCGCUACUUGGGGUUUUCAGAUGGUGAGCUGAUGAGGUCAGAUUGCAAACCGUGUUCCAGAUUGAUGAGACAGACUGCCGGGAUUUUCACAGUUGGAGGGGCAUUUGGAUUCUGGAUUCUUUGUAGAUUGCAUUAUGGUAAGUUACUUGUAGUAGUUAUGACUCGUGAGUGUUGUAUCCAAGCAUGUUAAUGAUGUUGAGUCCCCAUAUAUCAUUUUGGAUCCCUCUUGUGUUAUAAUGCCAAGUAUUAGCAUAAACAUGUACAUGUGCACUUGUUCUUCCCGUUAGAUAACUCGUAAUAAAUAGCAGUAAUGUUUUCCUGUAAACAAAAUUGAUAACAAUUGUGGCUCUAUGCCUCUACAGGUCCCAGAAUUACAGUCCCUAGAGCUCUUCGGUGGGGAGCUUGUGGAGCUUUAUCUGUGAGCUCGUCCACUGCUUUGUUAGUUCGCUUGCUUAGUCCAGAAUGCGAGCCCCAAAACAUAGAAACUUACGACAAGGGAAAGUAGCACCUAAUCAUGAAGUGUACUGCUGUCUUGAGUAUGUUCUGAUGGAUUGAUAUGUAGGACUGCGAGUUAUAGAUGGAACUCUACUUAAAGCUAGAUAUUUUGCUCCGAAAUGGAUGUACCAUUUAGGCAUUUAUAUGAAAUGAACUGUGAUUAAAGAGAUGCUUUUCUUCGAUCUUUUUAUGGUUAUUGUUUGUUCUCGUUAUAACUGUUUGACAGGGGUGCAGAUUGAUUAACAAACAAACAGUUGGUCUGCUUAGUCAGAAUAUUAUAAAUGCCAUGGAUGCAAAGAUACUCAGCGAGUGAACUAGGUUUUGCUAUUCCUUCUCGAGCUUCUAUUUCUUCCGUUAAAGGAGAUUCGGGAAAAGAUGGAAUAGGAAGACGUGUUUCCAAUCUGUAAAUCAAAAUCCUCUGGCCAUUUUCACAGAACUGUGAGUUAUUUAUCAUAAACAGGUGCACAUGAAACAUGUUUCCCAAGUGCACAUGAGAACUGCACCAAUUUGCAAGUUAGCCAAUGCCUUUUGGUUCAAGUUAGAAUUGAUAACCAUAUUGGAACAAUUAGAAGAAUAACCAUAAACGGUAUUGGAACGAACAAUGAGAAAGAAGUUUGAUCAAAGCAUAUUCAAAAUAUACAGGUGAACUGCAUUGGUAUUCUACACAAUACCAUGAAACAGAUUCAGUUAAUUUGCCUCAUGUUCUCGAACAAUGAUAUCUUGCUCUCUCCUUCUUCAUUAGCAUAUAUUUGAAAAUUUGUUUUUCUACUCCUGUCUGUCCUUCUAUUGGAAGGAGAUUGUCUCUAUUGUCUGUCCUUCUACUCCUGCUGGAUUGUAAAUGUAGCACCAGUUUAUUUUUUCAAUUCUAUUUGAUUUGUAGUAUAUUCAAGUAGCUGCAAUAAAAUCCACUUUCAUUUACAUGAUUUGUUACAAUAGAAAACAAUUAUAUCACACGUGGUCAAGUUCAGUUCAUAUUGUUUGUACCUUUAGCCAGUUCAGCAUGGGCAGAUUCAGUCAGAUUCUUCAUAAUCUCAAGCAGUCCUUCACUGUCAGCUUCAACCUACAGAAAAAGCAAAACAGUAUCACAACCUUUACGACCUCUAUAAACUAGCAGUGAAAUUCUAAACCAGCAAAAAGUAAAGAUUGAAGUAUAGUUUUUUUUAUUAACAGAAAGGAUAGAUUCUACAAGCAGAUUAUAAAGGCAACUACAGGUUCAAACGGAUACCACAAAAGCGGACUGGUCUUCAUCAGCUACCUCUUUGGUUGGUUCUUCGAUCUUAACCUUCUGAACUUUUUCUUUCCAGAAGAUUCAGGUUUGCCAGCAUUGCUCUCAGCUGAAGCUUUCUUAGCCGCUCCUUCAGUUUUCUCCAUGUUAUCACAAAUAAAAUGGCAUUUCUUAAUAAAGCAAAAUCAUAGAAAUUAUUCACAAUAUUAACUGCUAUAUGCAUUUAAAAAUGAAUGAGUGAGCAAGGAACUUCACAAAGGAAGUACACGUAUUAGCUGGAUAAGUUUUAACAGCUAUGGCAAAAAAAUGGAAAGCUAGAAUUGUAGUAGUCCACAAAAUAAAAUAUGAACACUAUGUAGCUGUGAUCCAACUUUUAAAAUCAAACUGCAAAGGAGCAACAGAUUGAGGGUAGUUCUUAUAAUCAUAUUCGAUUUCUGGGAACAACUUGUAUUAUCAAUAUAUGAGGAUCUAUCAAUAAAAUUGCAUCUAAUUCUUCCAAAGAAGUCAUAGUAGUCAGAAAUAGUACAUGAUCCAACUUCCGGGCUUUCUUUCUUAUCACUGCCUCUACUUCAAGCUUUCCCUCCUUUCUCUUCUCUUCCUUGUAAGGCCCGCCUCUUGUAUCUUCUUCUCCUUUUCAGGCUUUCCCUAUAAAUUGUAUAGAAUCAAAUGAGAGUCAUUAGAAGCAAUCUUUAUUUAGAUAACCAUAUAUUUCAGGCCUUCCCUAUAGAUUGAAUAGAAUCAAAUGAGUGUCAAUAGAUGCAAACUUUAUUCAAAUAACCAUGGUUUUAGCAAGAGCAUACCUGAGAGGAGGUCCUCCUCUCCCGAAGCUUUCCUGCAGCAUUUGGAGAGGUGUUGUUAUCCAGUAAUGCAUUCAGUUUUGCUUUAAUCUGUUUUACUGAGCGGUACUUUUCUCAGGAGUAUAACACAUUUGAGCUAGUGUUUCCCACUAAUAAUUGCCAAAAGAGGCAUAGUAAAAAAGGAGCCUUUCCUCCUCUUUAGGAUCCCAUGGCGCAUCCUCGAUGAGAUCCUCCCACCUCUGUCUGCAGUCACUUUGUCAUCUUCCGACCUCUUUAGCAACCUCACCCCAGUCCUUGAUGUGUCCUCCCUUGGAAGCACCAACACUACUGACAACCUUAAGUAGUUUUUCAUCCUGGUCCGGUGUCCACCAAUCUGCAAAAUGAAAAUUUCAGAAACCAGAAUAAAAAAAACCUCUCCUCAAAGCAACCCACCUAGAAAGUACAAAACAAAGAUGAACAUCACCCCCAAAAUAAAUUUGUGCGAAAACAACAAACCCAAACCAACAUCAGCUACCUCUUUGGUUUUGUGGGUUUGGGUUUGUUGUUUUUGCACAUGUUUAUUUUGGGGGUGAUGUUAAUCUUUGCUUUGUAGUUUCUAGGUGGGUUGCUUUGAGGAUUGGUUUUUUUUAUUCUGGUUUCUGAAAUUUUCAUUUUGCAGAUUGGUGGACACUAGACCAGGAUGAAAAACUACUUAAGGCUGUCAGUAGUAUUGGUGCUUCCAAGGGAGGACACAUCAAGGACUGGGGUGAGGUCGCUAAGGAGGUCGGAAGAUGGCAAAGUGACUGCAGACAGAGGUGGGAGGAUCUCAUCGAGGAUGCGCCAUGGGAUCCUAAAGAGGAGGAAAUGCUUCUUUUUUACUAUGCUUUUUUGGCAAUUAUCAGUGGGAAACACUAGCUCAAAUGUGUUCUACUCCUGAAAAGUACCGCUCAGUAAAACAGGUGAAAGCAAAACUGAAUGCAAAAACAACAAACCCAGAAAACCAAAACUUGACCCAGAAGAAACCCACAAAUCCCUAAAAAAACAGCAAAACCACCAGAACCAGAAAGCACCAAAUCAAAAAGAAAUCAAACAUCAAUUAUCCAAGAAAGCACAAUAACCAUAAACCCAUCACAAUCCAAAUCAACCAAAACCUCAAAGAAGAAAUUAAAGCAAGCAAACAUGAACCACAACCAGAAAACAAGCCAAAUUACAGCAAACAAGAAAAUUAACUCACAAAACCAUGAACAAUCCAAAUUACUGCAAACAAGCCUAUUUAAAAUCACAAACCCAAGAGCAGAAAAAGGCACAUUUCCAAGAACCCACCAAAAUCCCCAAAAAGAAUGAACCCAAAAGCAAAGAAGUUCAUGCCAUAAAGUUAUAAUCAGAAUGAAUUGGAAGAUUACCAACAAUCAUUAAUCCGGAAGCACAGAGGUGGCAAAAAACCCUUUUUCAUCAGAGAAUAUGAGAGUAGGUUCUAUGGGCAAAAGGGUUUUCGUUUAUCAUGUUGGAGACCAGGCCCGCUCACCUGCGGGAGUCCUUUUACGGGACAGAAAGGGAUAGGUCACUCAUGAUAUUUGGAUUUAAAUGAAACUGAGGGCUGGAAGAAGCUUAACCCAAAUUCGUGAAUCACACCUGAUAACUCACCCUUAUUCAUCCUUCCUCUCCCUUCUCUUUCUCUUUCUCUCUAAUCUCUAAACCCAGGUGAGGUGCACUGCAACACAACCACCACCACAUCUCCGACGAAGAGCAACGACGCCGAGGGUAGCUUCGAACUCAUCGGAACCCGGCAGCUCACUCACUACCUUAGUUCAAUCGGAAUCGUUGCUUUGAUUAUAAUAGCCUUCUCUCUAUCAAUUCACCAACUGGGUAUGCACAAAAUGAUUCAAAGCUUCAGUCUUUAUGAUAAAAAAGCACAACCAAUCAAAACCCAAAUCUGAAAUGGAGGCUUUUACCUGAGAGAGAGAGCCAUCAAGUGAGACAUGAUUGGAUCAAGAAUGGUUUUUGGGUGAUGAAGAGGGAGUAAAAUAUAGGAGUUGGGGAGCCUUCAAAAUCGAUUGAGAAGAGGAAAUGGGUGUGAGAGUGCUCCUUCGGAGUGGUCGAAAGGACGGAUUUUGAUUCACGGGUUUUGAUCCUCGCCUGGGUUUCUCAAAGGAGAGGAAGGAAUGAACAAGGGUGAGUUAUCAGGUGUCAUUCACGAAUUUGGAUUAAGCUUCUUCCGGCCCUCACAUCAGUUUCAUUUAAAUCCAAAGAUCAUCCCUCACAUCAGUUUCGUUUAAAUCCAAAGAUCACGAGUGACCUAUCUCUUUCUGUACCGUAAAAGACAAGCGGGCCUGUGUUGGAGACUUAGCCAUCUCCUGGCUUUAUUUUGGUUUCCAACACCAAACCAGAAGAGGGCUAAAAAGCCAAGAAAGGGUCAUCAAAAUGGCCAAACGUAGCCUUUUUGCUGGCUCAUGCCAAACCAAAUUGUGGUCCCAUAUCAGAUUAAAAAAUUAAAAGUAGGCAUGUGGGUUGAUUGAUGAAAACUUAAAUUAUGACAAUUAUCCACUUUUUAUUAGAUAAUUUCAUUCUUAUCUCAUUACAACGGACUCAAAAUCAAUGUUAUAUAAGUGAUUAACCCAAUAAAUGAUUCAUAUCUUAUUUUGUUAAUAUAAUUACAACAUAAGCAAAAUAUUUAUUUGUCUAAAAAGUUAAUUCAAAAAUUAAUUUUGGUCCAAAUUCAAAUAUUGUUAUAAUAAAUUAAAUCUAUAAGUGAGAAAUUCUACAGUAUCUACCCGCACAUGAUAUCCACAUUUACAAUUAUGAUUACAUAUUUGUAGUCACAGUGAAAAAUAUUGAAAAGUAUAAUGUGAAAUCAUAAAAUAUUGAAGGAGCUAAAAUUUGGCUCUCUCUUACUGGAGAUGAUUUAGUAGUCUAUGAAUAAAAAAUAUUAUUUUCAAGGGCUAAAUUAUAGCCCAGGCCCCAAUUUAGCCCUCUCCUACUAGAGAUGGCCUUAGAAAAUGAGAAAGGAAAGUAUGAUUGGAGAUGAGAGAUUUUUCCUUUUUCCUUACGUUGUGUGUAGAUAAAGUAAUUUUAAUUUCUGUAGAAAAUAGAAAUUUUAAAAUUAUAGGAAUUACAAUUCCGUGAAUUUAAAUUCCAUUAAUUGAGAAUUCCAUUGUUUGUAUUUCAUGAUGUAGGGUUUUGAAAUGAUAAGAAUUUGUAUAUAGACUAACCUCAGUCAAGGGAAUUGACAAAUGACACCUAUUUUGUGAGGAAUUCAAGUCUGAAAUUUAAGCUUCCAAAUUCCACGAUAAUUUUCCCGUGAAAAUUGCUAAUUCCACGGGAUAAGAAUCCAAACGGGGAAAACAGUCAUAAGAAAUUGGGAAUUCUUUAUUUUUGAUUAAAUUCCCGGGAAUUCACCCACAUUGAAACACACCAUUAAAACAAACUAGUCUUUCUGCACGCGUGAUGCUCGUGCGAAAGGGCCGCGCUCACGCGUGUGUUUUAAAAUAUUAUGUCUUUAUCUUUGCAAUUGUUGCAAAGUAAUACUCACCGAGCGCAAAAUUGAUAGAAGAUACACAUGAAUAAAUCAUAUAUUGAAUAAACACUUUGAUGAUGAUGGAUUUGGUUCAUGCAUAAAGAAAUAAACUGAAAUUCAUUGCUCAUUCUAUGAAGGAACGUGAAACAAUUUCUCAAGUGAUUUAGGAAGACAAACUAUUUAAAUGAAGAAAAUUGACAAUAAUUGUUCUGUUCGAUCCACUACCUCUUAAAUCAAGACACAAAAGAACCAAGAACAUAAUCGUUCGCCAUCAUAAUUUAUAAAAGAACCAACCAUAAACUGCUCACUACACCAAAUAAUCACAUAAUCAGUCUAGUAUCACUCAUUAUGUAUAUCUCAAACGGCCAAACCUAAGAAUGAUUGAAAGUAAAUCCAUUUGUCAGUUGAAAGCAUAUACAGAGCGGAUAAUCAUAGCUCAAAAAUAUGAAAUUGGUUUACCUAAUUGAAAUUGCUUUCAAUUGAGAGAAUGACAGUAGUGUCCCAAUUAUAAACCCAAGAAUUGUAACUCAAAUGUUUGAAACUUCAAAGCGGACAUGAGUCACAUGAUCAAACAUCAAAACCACAGCAAUCAUGAUAAUACAAUUCGGUUCAACUUGCAUACACCAUACCUGUUUUUGUGCUUUAGUUUUCUCCACUUUUGGAUGCUUUAAUCAACAUCUACCGAUCUGGUUUUUGUACGAAUAUGGUAUGAGCAGUAGAAAGUAAAACUGCUCCUGAACGUAAAUGAAGCCACUUUUGUACGAUUGCUAAUCAGUUUUUGAAUGAAACUCAAACUAUCUUAGUCUCUUAGGUUAUUGUUUUACCUUUUGUUUAUUAUGUCAAUUUUUUGUAAACUUAUAUCAAGGGAUGGGUAGUUAAAGGGAUUAUGAUAAAUUUAAUCAAAGAGCAGUUCCAUAAGACAAAUUUGCUUAAUUAAUAGAGAUACACUAUCGCAAUAAAAAGAAAUACAAAAAACUAAGGACGUAUCCAUGAUCAAAUAUUGGGUUAGAAGUAUUUAAACCACUAGGUGAGGCUCGAAUUAUUAUUAUUAUUAUUAUUAUUAUUAUUAUUUUGUUAUUUUGAUCAAGGUCAUCAUAGGUUAAUAAAAAAACAAAAGGCAAAUGAAAAUUAAUAAGAAAGUACUCAAACCCCUGAUCGCAUGUAAGCAAGCGUCAGGUCUCAUAAUCAGCACUAACCCGAAUGAGACCGUGUCCAUGAUUACUUCUUCAACUCAAUAAGCAUAUCAGUGACCUUACUUGGAACCAUUCCAACUGAGCUACCGCACUAAUAUGAGCAUCCACACACCACACCAGUAAAUUUGGAGCGGAACAUGAGUCACCCCGUACAUUUUCUUUUUUUUUUCUUUUUUUUUUCUGAAGAGAAAUGAAUAAUUCAUUAAUCAAAAGAUAAUCUUAAUUACGAAAUCUACAAACACGAGGCCAAAAAACUAUAAAUAACAUAAAUAACAAAGAGUAUGGGUCUCCAACUCAACCAAACUAGAAAGAGUGAAAGGAAACCAAUACCUCACUAUACUAUGGACAAGAGAUUCUACAACCGAAAGCAUAAAUGCAACACUACCAAUCAAUCUACCACACCCACCACCCAUGUUUGCUGAUAUUGUCGUCGCCGUCGCCGCCAGCAUGGCCGGCCAGAGCCCAGUGUUGGUUGUGCGACCGCACCAGGCUCAGGAGCAAAUAGGGGCACAAAUGCUGCUUUCUAAUCCCUCUUUGAUUUGUCAUAUAUAUAUAUAUAUAUAUAUAUGUGUGUGUGAGAUAUAAUUUAAAAAUGUGCUAGUACUGCUACCUCAGUCUCUGGCCCUCAACUGACAUGAGGUCCCUAGCAUUUAUGUCUAUUUCGGCGUGGGCCUAGGGUUCUUUUUUCUUUCUUUUGGUUUCGCCCUUGGACAAUUAAUGAUUAAUUUUGAAAAUUUUGAACAAAACACUCGCAUUUAUGUAAUUCUUAUGGUUUUGAAUUGAAUCAGGAAACGUGUAAAGAUUAUGUAAAUGUAUAUGUUUAUAAGUUUAUACAUAUAUAAUAAGAAAAAGAUGUUAAUAACAGAAUUAAAGGGGACAAAUGAUUAUAUUUCUUUAUAUUUCUUCUCAAUUGCUUCUCCGGCUACUCAAAGAAAAAAAAAGUCUUCAUUUUUGAUUAUUUUAGAUCUGUCUUUGGAUAUAAAAAAAAUUUAUAAAGGGUUAAAUUUUUUUUCCCGCACUGGGCCUUGAAUUCUUCAGGACUGGCCCUGGCCGCCAGCUGUCGUGAAGUAGUGAGGAGUACUAAAUCAGAGCAAUGAUGCCCGAGCAACUACUGCCAAUCAAAUCCCAAUACACAAAUCAUACGAAAACCUACGCCCAUAAGAAGAGCUCCACCAAAUUAACACCAUACAAACCACAAUCAAUAUCCAAGCAAUGAAGUAGCUAUGAUUGACGAAAGAGGACCAAGAACAAGAGCAAGAACUAAGGACCAGAACCAAAGAAAAUGGGGAGUGAUGAACCCACGCGCAAGCACCAAUAAUCUAUUAGGUAAGUGCCAAAAAGCACUUUAAGCGUGUAGUCACACAUCUAUGAGCUUAUUAAUGGAAGCCUGUACAACUGGAAGCUAGUCUGGAACUGAUGGGAAGAAGAAUGCAUUAACGAAGAUACAACAUGAGACACCAAACAAAAAGAGUUUGUGAGUAUGAUAGUUUGUCUACAGAAACUGCAGGGGACAUAUCUAUCUAUCUCUACUAUUAAAAAGCGAGGCGCACCUUUGGUGUCUUUGAUUAAACCUUUUUUUUAAUUACUAAAAAAACCAAGGUACGUAAUAGAAAAUUCUCAAAGAAAUAAAAAUAAGUUAAUAUGGGCAUAACCGUAAAAUAUCACUGAAGUUUUAAGGAGAAAAAAAUGACGUGGUUUUUUCCCACUUUUGGAGGAGUAGUUAUAUAGGAAAUAAGAUAAUCAGAUUCAUUCCACUUUAAUUGGAGUAGUUCAAGUUAAACUUUUCUCAUUUUGUAAACUCAAGUGCAGAUGCACGGGUAAAAAGCUAGUAUAUAUAUAAUAUUGUUAAGCUAAUAGUACGGUUCACAGUAGUGUUCACAUGGUCACUUAAUGACCAAGGAAAUUAUGGUCAAUCACUGUUAGAUGUAAAUCCAAAAGUAGAAAAUAAAACAACUUAACUUUAAAAUAAUACUUCCUACGUACCCUUGGAUUUACAUCCAACGAGGUUUGACCAUGAUUUCUUUAGUCACUAGGUGACCAUGUGAACACUACUGGUACUGUUCGUUUCAAUGACAAAAUGACAGUGUUGCCCCUGAUAUGGUUAUAAUUACCUGACUGCCAUUUGUCUGAGAAAAAGACUGUUGUGCCCUCUAUUCUUUUUGGUGUAUCGUUUUGUUUUGCAUUUAGCCAUUGGAGGAGAGGUGAGGUUUUGGAGGAGAGCAAGAGAGACAAGCACUCGAUACAGUUGUCCCCAUCUCCCAUUGAUUCAUUUUAAAUCAGAUUCUGGCUAGAAAUCAAGACAUAUUCUUUGUGCGUGUUUACUGUAAUAGAGUGAGAGGAAGAGAAUUUGUUGAACUAUGCAGGUUUUGAUUUAUAAUUGUAUCAUAUAUCUAACGAUUGUGAAUACCUUACUAGCCCGCAGCAAAGCGCAGGUGAUUGACUCGUUUGUUUAAGACGAAUAAGAAACAAUGGCAACUCUAAUCCUUCCUUGAUAUCAGAUGGCUAAACAACAGGUUCUAAAUGAUAUGUACUAGACUAACGAAUCUAUAACAUUCAAUCAUUAAGAGCCACUUUAGCAUACUUUCUAUUUUAACUUUUAGUUAUUUUAGAUAGCGUGUUUAGUUUUUUUUUUUUCGGUAGCUCCAGCGGACAAUUCUUAAGAGCAACUUUAGCAGACUCUCUAUUUUAACUUUUAGCUAUUUUAGAUAGCGUGUUUAGUUUUUUUUAUAUUUUCGGAGCUCCAAAGUUUAGCUAUUAUGAUUUUUAGUUAUUUCGCUAGCUAAAUAUAGAGAGCGAGAUGACUCAGAUGAGGCUAGUUAUAAUUUAAUACAUUCGUUGUAAGAUAUUUUUACGUGAUAUAUAUAUUUAAACUAUUUAAUUUUUAUUUGAAGAAUAAUGUUGAUGUAAUGUUAGCUAAAAUAUAGAGCAUUGAUGCAGCCGUAUUUCUAAAAUGGCUAGCCAAAAUGAUGUUUUAGUUAAUUUGAUUAAAAUUUAACUCAAAAAUAACUAACAUUGUUAAAAAAGCUCUAAGGUGUACAAGUUAAUCAAGAGUUUCUCACCAAAAUUACAAAUUAAGGAUAUGCCGUGUGCAUAAGUUUGAAAUGAAGCUUAUCUCCGUCAAAAUUUGGUGUUGGGUAAAUUUGGAGACGUGUUGAGAUGGGCUGCAUGCGUAUCCUCUUUGUUGUACUUAAUUUUAGGAGCAGGAGUCGGCCACCAUGGCACCAUGAACCGGAAAACAGACUCCAACUUACCAUAAUGGUCGUAACCUCCUUCAAUGUAUAUAUCGUCGUCGACAUCGGAUUCUAAAUACAAAAUGUCAUCAUUAUUGGGGUCGAAAGCUAUUUCGGAAGCAACCUCCCUUGAGCGGCUUCAUUCGGUGAUCAAUGGAUUUUCCGAAACCAUUUUCUCUAGAGGAAGGGUGUCUUACACCACUUCCCAACUCUACCGCCAACCUUGUCAUCAUCGUCUUUCAACUCCCAAAUACUCAGACCUUUCCUCAAAUGCUAAAAAUAAAUCUCUAUUGUUGGGAACAAUCAUAUAUAUGAUCUUUAAAUAUGAUAGAAAUUUCAAUAAAGAAUAUAAGAAACAUAACUAUAUACAUAUAGGAUUGUAAGUUGUAAAUCAAUCCUAAUAUAGGAGUGAAAUAGUGUAAGAAUUCUAUAAAAGAAGUAUAAGGAAAAAAAAGAACUGACUUGAUUUUCCGAUUGAGGCAUGUAAAAAUGCACUUGACUAAAGACAGAUUUCGUCCCUACCCUUGUGCUUGUAGUUCAAUGGGCGUCCGCCUUGUAGAAUACAACAAUCGAUGAUCCAAGAUUGAAGCACCGUAAUUUUGGACUCUAGCUAAUCAUAAAUUGUAUCUUGUACUCUUUUGACUCGAAGAAUACUUGUAGAAGAAAUUAUGAAUCUUAAUCUUAUCUUUAAGGAGAUAUGAGUAUGAGUUUAUAUAAAACCCCAAGUGAACCAACAUGUCUGUUCACUUAUCUCCUUGAAGAAACACACUUAUUCCUAAAGACACCUAUUGAAAAAGACACACCAUUUCAAAUGAAAAGGUUAUAAGUAAUUUUAUUUUCAUUCAUAUUAGAUAUUAUUAUAUAAUUUCCAACAUCUAUUAUCUCCAUCUCCAAACAACAAAAUCCUGUACAACUGAAGACGGCCCUCUUGGCUCGCACUUCUUGCUCCCCGCUCCUUACCAGGAAGAUCAACGACAUCAAAAUAUAUAGUUAUUGUUCGAGAAGGGAUCCAAUGCGAUCAUAAAAUUGUGGUAAUAUCUGGACUUUCCCUUGUAAGCAACACCUGGAUUAGUUGGACUCCAAUGCAUCAAAACUUAAGUGUAGUGGGCGUGAAACAACCGAUUAUGUCCAUUUGCCAGUCUUAGAAGAGAAGAUCUCCACGUUGAGCUCCGAGCAAUUAUCCGAACCGAGUCUGUCCAUUGGUGAAAUUAAGUAUACGCACAAUCGCAUACUUGUAGUCAACAUUACUAUUUUUUUCACUUUAAGAAAGAACCAGGCUAGCUACACGAUCAAGCACUGAACCGAGGGCAAUUUAGGGCAGCUAAGCAUAUUUGGUUUUGAAACAAUAUAUAUUAAUUCUUGCGUAUAAAUGCUAGCUAUAACAGUAACGAUCAUCCCUUUGAAAUAAAAAAUUAAAGAAGAUGUUGGAUUUCAAGAGCAGAAGUACCAACUCUUUCGGUUUAAAGUAGCCUUAAUAAACAAUGUUCAAGAGUAGAUCGCCCCGAUAUGUAUGAAGUUUGAUUCAACAGUAGGAGAAAUUAUUAUUUGUACCCGGAACACCACCUGUUUUAUAUUCCUAUUUAAUCUUAUUGGUCCACGUGUUUUAUCUUUAUUUCUGAUUAGUGUAUUUAAUUACUUUUCUUUUUUUUUCCACCCCGUGUUGGUCUCCACAUAAAUCUGAGUUAUAUAAUUGGCCGAGUACAACGCCUGACAGUGCUACAUAGUGUUCCGGGUACAGAGAAUAAUUACUCCAACAGUAGAUAACAUCAAACUUGAUUAGUGGACUAUUUUUCUUUCAAUAUAUAUCAACAUAAUAUUUAUUUCUUUAAUUUGUAUGUUAAUUGUUCACACAUUCACCAGAGUUGUCCUAAUAUUGAAAGAGUAAUUAAGCAAAUAUUAUUGAUUUAUUCAAUGACACAUAAACGAGUACAUAUUAUUCAAAAACAUUAUCAUGAACAAUACAUAAAGAAAGAAAUAUAUAACAAUGUAAUGCAUAAAUAAGAUGGUGAAAGAAAAGAUACACAAUCUGUGGUUCAGUAAAAGUCAUGCACGAAAACUAGGGGAAAAACCGAAACACUAAGUAAGAAAUUGCAUAAACCAGACACAUCAUACUUCAAGGAAAAUUAAAGCCAUUAGCAGGAGGAGGAUUUGGCCACAUGAUACUGUGGCUUUGCUCUGCGAAGGGAAGCAUCAUAUCCUCCCCUGUAAAUCCCAUAUGUUGAUGGUGAUCUGGAUGUGGCUGUGGUGGUGGAGGUAGCGCAUUCAUCAGGUCCAUGAACAAGGGUUCCUUCUGAGCCGGCACCUGCAUCAUCUGGAACUGCAUUGCCUCCAUGUUAUGCAUGUGAUCAAAAGCUUCCCUGCCCAUGGCAGCAUGCAUGUUGCUGCCCUCUUCGUCACUCUUCAUCGCCAUGCUGUUACUGCUGCCCUCUCCAUUAUUCUUCACCCCUUGCACCUGGUGCUUGCUCUUCACAACCUCCUCCUUGAUGUUCUUCAUCCUUAGUUGUAACUCUUUCUGGUGUUGGUCAAUGACCCAGUUGAGAUCAGUCAGGUCUGAGAGGGUCAAGCCUUGGAGAGAGUUAUUACCAGUUAGGCUUUGGAACAUGAUGCGCGCCAUCUCCAUUUCUCGGUUGUCUUUCUUUUGCUUCUUGAGCUGUUCAUGAGCCUUGUUGAUUCUUUGCCUCAGGAAACUCUCCUGAUUCAUCAUCUUCUUGCUUUGCUCCAUUUCCGGCAUGGUCUUGAAAUACGCAAGCACGCGAUGGACUCCCAACGGGGAAGGCCAGACUUCAGGCUGGGAGUCAUAAGGGCUGUAGAUAAUAGCACAAGCAUCAAUGUCACAAAGGGUGGUGAGUUCAGUCACCUUCUUCAUAAGACCCUUCUUCCUUUUCUUAUAUGUAGCUUUUCGAGCACUGUCAUUAGUGAUGAAGGCAAGUUUCACCUUCUUUCUAGUCAUGGCUAGAAACAAGAGAUGAAAUUGUUACAAACUAGGAAGAAGGGAAUGAAGGAAUGGCCUUUCUGGUUUGUUCUUGCCCUGAAGAGACUCUGCUAGCUCUAGCUAUAUAAAGCAAGCGGAGGGGAUACCUAAUCAAUGUUGAUUGAAAUGCUACAGAUUUAUUGCCUUUUUUUGUUGGAUGCAAAUUCAAAGAUAAACAACUAAGAUGCAUGAAUGAGAGACCAGCCAAAUCCAUUCUGAUAUAUGGUGUCUUAGAAUCGAGCAUGUCCAUGGCUCCAUGUCAAUCUCUUACAAUGUGUUUGGUCAGCGAUGAAAUAAAGAUAGGGGUCUGAAAAUAGUAACAAAUAUGGAUUUGUUGUCAUAAUGUGUAUGAGAAAUGAGAAUUUCAAUAUGAAUGGUAGUGAAAGCGAGUUGGUGCAAAAUCGAUACUGGGCUCAGAUUCUUACCAUAUAAGAGAACGGUGACAGGUUGUAGAUAUACAAGCCAAGGUGACUGUACUUUUGAUACUGCAGGUUUUAUAUAGAAAGUUGUUUGUUGAUUUCCGUUUGUUCAUAAAAUAAAACAUAUAUCUAAUAUAUCUCAUUCAAUCAUUAGAGGAGAGUAAUGUUCCUAUGUUUUUAUGAUCACUUAUAAGCUAAUAUAUAUGAAUUCAAAUCUUCCUAUAGUUAAUAUGAUUCAGUUAGUUCUACUACCUAUUACGUAUGUAUAUUUUGUUGAGAUAUUGUCUGGCGACUUGUAACAUAUGCAAAUAAUAUGGUGAUAGAAAGAAAACGUAUAUGUCAAUUCUAUAGUACGUAUUCACACGCACAUGCACAAGAUACGUACAUAGGUAUUUUAGUUUUGCAUCGUCUUGAACUCAUGUUUCAAACCCACCCGAACCCGGUAACCCGCUAAACCUUCACAACUAGACUACUAAAUAGUAAAUAGAGCAGCAACAUCCAAGCUUAUACAGCUUACAAUUCACAGUUGCAGUUGCAGUGGCCAAGAAUGAGGUGGUACAAUCUUAAGUUUACAAUUAGGGUUUUCAGAGGUGAAGGGAAUCAUUACUGGGAAAGAUUGAUAACUUGCUUGUAUGUAGUACGUACAUGUUUGUGACUAUGUUGGAGACAAUGUGAAUGGAGUCACCCUCUUGUUAUUAUCUGGGUCGUGUGUGCCUUAUAUAUAACUGUAUAUAGAUGGAGCUAGCUAGUCAAAAUCAUGUUGAUACAGCAUCCGCCAUAUAUACUCGUUCCCUUAUAUGGUUUGCUACCUACACGUACAGUUGCAUUGUCCUCCUAGACUCUGCAAGUCGAUCAGAAGAACAAACACGUACUACAUAUAAGCAACAUCAGAAGACUCUGCAUGUUGAUACAACAUCCAUAUAUACUCGUUCCCUUGCAUACUUCUGAAUAUUUUGAUGUAUGUCAUGGUUUAGUGACUUCAAGGCAUCAAUCUCUCAUGCAGCUUUUUUCACUCCAGCUAGUUUUCAAGCUAUUCUGAUUACCGGAUAGUUUGUUUUUUCUUCUACGUCGUUUCAACCAACAAUAAUGCUUUUCUCAUGCAGAGAAAGUAGCUAGCUAGCCCUAACUUCACAGAUGUUCAUUCAGCCGUGUUCUAAUUAAGUUAUCUGUUUCGUUUCAUAGGAGUGAUUUCAAAUGGAACAUAUGUAUAUAUAGAUUGCAAAUGAGAAGAAUAUGUGUCACUGUCCUGAACCACCACUUGACCAGUAUAAGCAUCCACACCAGUAUCUUACUCGAUCAUCUAAUAUUUCCACUCUUAACUGUUUGGAGAUCGAUAUAUUACCAAGUGUUAUCUUACCAGUACUAGCUAUUAGAUCUUAGACUAUAUAUUCAGACUUUGGACUUCAAACAAUUGAUCAAACUCAUGCAUGCCGUUAAUGCAAGUCAUCAUGUUGUUUAGUGACUUCAAGUUCUACAUACAUGCGGUGAUGUUAUUGUACAAGCUUGUUACACUUCAUGCUGGUUCUGGCAAAUUGAAAUUGGCAUAGGAAUGUCAGGCAAAACUAAACAUACAAGACGAUGGAUGAUACCAAAAUCAAACAUUCAAACCCCCCAGCCCAGAUCUCGUAUUGCGGUCUGUGAAUGAUCCGAAGUUCCAUACCAUUCACUGAGGACUAAAAAAAGUGAAUAAUUACUCAAUUUCAACAAAAGUAAUUAUAAUCUAUAGUUCUACACACCAAAUGAGGACAAUUUUAGUGAGCAUUAGGGGGUACGUACUUAAGCAUAUCAAAUUUUCUGUUGAAUUAUUGUUAAUGUACGUCCUUUCCUUUGUACAAGAGUUGGAGCUUGAAAAGUGUCUUAGACAAUGAGACAGUUGAAAGUAACCGAUCACAUACCAAAUUCCACUAAUCCACUACGAUAUAUUCAAUUUUUGGGUUGAAUCCACCACAUCUUUACUUUCUUAAAGGAAAGAAAUUAAAUUGAAACCCCCUAUUGCGUUUGUAGUACAAAAGCAAGUUCAGUUUUAGAUUAACAUCGUUUUUGAUCGAUGUUACUGUUCGUCUAUCACAAACUUCAUUCUUUUAAUUGAUGCCAAAAUCUUUUGAGAUAGUUUGAGAGACUUCAUAGCAAUAGCUAGAUAACUAAGGUGAUUAACGAUUGUAUGUUGUAAAAAUAAAAAAUAAUUAAAAAAAAAACCCAUAGAAAUUUGAAAAUGAGAUCCAACAAAUAGAGUUCAAAAGUGAUUCAAAAUUUCUAGCCACUUUAUCGAGAAAAAUAUUUCCACAAAGAUGAGUAAGUUUAUAUUUACUAGCAGAGGCAACAAUUCCAUGACUACUUUCCGCUGAACUUGCUCAUUAGCUCAUGCAAAUGCUUCUUCCUUUGUAUCAUUUUCAAUUUUUCAUUAUGCUUAUUCUAUGACAGUAUGACCCUCUCCUACUUAUUCCUAUAUGCUGCUAGGUUUGUUUGUUAAGCUACUAAAUAUCAACUCCACACUGAUCUGUACUGAAUUUUUCUACACAUGUAAUAUGAUAUUGGAGGUAGCUAAAAUGAAUAUAGAUAUUUGUUAAUUCAAACAAAUUUCUUGAUUAACCGUGAUUUUAGCAACUUACGAGGCUUAAGAUUUAUGAUUUAUACUUUGAUCGAGUGAUAUCUACAUUACUAGCAACAUGAAAAAUAUGAUAUACACGCAAAUAAUACGAGCAAAAUUUUGCAACAUGUUUUAGAGAGAGACUGAACUUUACUUCAAUAAGUAAACAUUGCAGGUAGUUUGCAUACCAUCAAUCCCCAGCCCAUAAACCCGAAUUGCGGUUCAAGCAAAUCAACAGUUUUUAAGUGUUUUUAACCAUUUUAGAUUAAGAAAAGUAUUACUGUAGCCAGUAAAAAAAUAUUACUAUGUGGGGUGUCACGGGAUAAGAAGCAAACAAAUAGUAAACGAGCAAUGAGAGGGUUUGUUACUUUAAAAAAGAAGAAGAGAGGGUUUAUUUUUUGGCGCCACUUGACUAAUUAAUUCAUUUAAUUCCCACCUCCCACUUGUUCUAUCUCAUUACUCAUUUCCCCAUUAAUCUCAAUUAACCCCGUUAAUUAAUCCCAAUCUAAUUAAUCUGGCUCUGAAAACCCCCAAAUCCAAUCACACUCCCACACACUCUCUCUCCCCUCUCCAUUUCAUGCCCUCUUCUUCUUCUUCAACCUCAUCACCACCCCCCAUUUCAAACCCUAACCCUAACCUAAUGGACCAAACCCACCACCUCAACGGCGAUUCCGCCUCCCCAGCCUCCAAAAAGCCCAAGCUCGCCUUCAUCACCCCGGCCGAAAUCGCCGCCGAAUUCGCUCACCACGACUCCGCCGUGGCCCGAAUCAACAACGGCAGCUUCGGGUCUUGCCCCGACUCCGUCAUCCAGGCCCAGCGCCGCUGGCAGCUCCGGUACUUGGCCCAGCCCGAUAGCUUCUACUUCAACCACCUCCAAAGCGGCAUCCUCCACUCCCGCACCCUCAUCAAGGACCUCAUCAACGCCGACCACGUCGACGAGGUCUCCAUCGUCGACAACGCCACCACCGCCGCCGCCAUCGUCCUCCAGCAGGCCGCCUGGGGCUUCUCCGAGUCCAAAUUCGAGCGAGGCGACGCCGUCGUCAUGCUCCACUACGCCUACGGCGCCGUCAAGAAGUCCAUCGAGGCUUACGUCACCCGCGCCGGGGGACACGUCAUCGAGGUACCGUUGCCGUUUCCUUUGAAUUCCAAUGAGGAGAUUGUUUCCGAGUUUAAGAAGGCUCUAGAGUUAGGGAAGGCCAAUGGGAGGAGAGUUAGGCUAGCUGUGAUUGAUCACAUUACUUCGAUGCCGUGUGUUGUUGUACCUGUUAAGGAGUUGGUUAGGAUUUGUAGGGAGGAGGGUGUUGAUCAGGUUUUCGUCGACGCGGCGCAUAGCAUUGGGUGUACUGAGGUUGAUAUGAAGGAGAUUGGGGCUGAUUACUACACUAGUAACUUGCACAAGUGGUUCUUUUGCCCGCCGUCCAUUGCGUUUUUGUAUUGCAGGAAGUCUCCCAAGAAUGUGGAGCUGCACCACCCGGUGGUUUCGCACGAGUACGGGAAUGGAUUGGCUAUUGAGAGUGCGUGGAUUGGGACUAGGGAUUACAGCCCGCAGCUGGUUGUCCCUGCAGUUUUGGACUUUGUGAAGAGGUUUGAAGGCGGCAUCGAGGGGAUCAAGAAGAGGAAUCAUGACACGGUUGUUGAGAUGGGGAAGAUGUUGGCCAAGGCGUGGGGGACACAUCUAGGAUGCCCUCCGGAAAUGUGUGCUAGCAUGGUCAUGAUUGGUUUACCGGCAUGUUUGGGGAUUUCUAGUGAGAAGGAUACUCUGAAGUUGAGGACGCAUUUGAGGGAGAAGUUUGGUGUUGAAGUCCCUAUAUAUUUCCGACCACCCAAGAAUGGGGAGGUUGAGGUGGUGACUGGGUAUUGUCGGAUAUCGCAUCAAGUAUACAACAAAGUGGAUGAUUAUUACAAGUUCAGAGACGCAAUUAAUCAACUUGUUUCUGAUGGGUUUACUUGUGAUCUACUUACUAAUUGAUGAGGUAUGAUUGGCUUUCAUCUAUUUUAUUGAUCUGUUAGUUAGAAAUACUAAGAAUUGCAAUUUCUUUGACUAUCAGUGGCUUUUUCACAUGAAAGAUCUGUUUUGUUUUGUUGUAUGUUUUUUCAAUGAUUAGUUGAGUUCUGCCUAUCUUCACAUAUGGAGAUUCAAAUGCUAGUCUAAUAUAAUGAUGAGCCUAAGUUUCUCUGUUACUGUCUCUGCAAGUUGUAGCAUAGCUAAUUACUUGCUUCAGUAGUUAAUAUAGUUGUUAGGACUUGUGGCUAACUGGCUAUGGUAGCCGGGCAUUGCCAACCACUCUGUUUCAGGACAAAAUCAAUAUAGAAUAAUUCUAAAUUUCUAAUCGGUCCUGGAACGAGAUUGAUUUUAUAACAAUUCUCUGAUGGAGAAGUUCCUUCCCUAGAUAGGUCCAAUAUUGCAAUAUAUGCUUGCGGUUAAUCAUUGGAGAAUGCCUUAUUUCAGUUAUUACAUGACCUCUAAUAGGCUUGACUUGGUGAGGCAUGUUGAGUUGACAAGUGAUUUGGAAUUUAGCUAGUGACAUUUAUUCAGUAUGUUGUGAUUUUGUAUUAAUUGUAUGCAAGUUGUUUUGACAUGCAACUAUCUGUAUGCCUGUAGUCGGAUGAAGCAAACUGAAGAAGUUCUUCUGAUGAAUAACGUCCAUGGUUAUCUGCCUCCCCUGCAUGCCUCAGUAGGGGCAAUGGUUUCGUUACCAUAUGUUACAAAGAGUACUGCUAAGUGCAUGUAUCAAAGCAGAACCAAUUUUCUUCAUGGGUUUUAGUGUUUAGACUUCCUGGAGAUGUUAACUUGUCUGUUGUACGCAGUUGGAGUUGUUGUUGUAAAUGUUUAAUGACUGUCAUUUGUAUGGUUAUUUAACUUUAAAAACUCACAUUGAAAUAUGAGUUACCUACUUCAGGCUGCACAUUCAAUCUUUAGUUGUGAUCCACUUUGGCUCCAUUUUCCUAGUUAUGCAUCAUCAACCAAGGAUUUUAUCAAUGCCAAUCUUUUAUUAUAGAUUAGCAUUUAUGCUUUUAGCAGUAAAGUAUAUUACAAGUUUGAAGUUUUAGAAGGAUCGAACUGGAAUGCUUUGAAAUGGCGCUUGCUCCCCCAUAUGGUGGCUGAUGAUUAUUUUCCCUUGUUCUUAGUGGCUAUUGUUCUUUUUGUCUGCUGAAAUGCUUUGAAGUGGCACUUUUUCCCCCAUAUGGUGGCUGAUGAUUCUUUCCCCUUGUUCUUAGUGGCUAUUGUUCAUUUUGUCCACCCUUCGGGUACAAAUCUGAAGGGAAUGUUAUCUGCACCUUAAAGAAGGCUCGACUUCUGCUUGUGGAACUGAGCAGACCACAUAGAUGAGUCCUUGUGUCUGUUAUUUUCUUUGCUUGCGCUUCCAGUGAAUUUUGUUACAAAGUAUCAAUAUUGAACAGCUAGAGAAAAGAGAGUAGAACUUUUGAAUGACUUUUCAUAGUUCUAUAUUCUGAUCUCAAGUCUGCUGUCAAGUCUAUAUUUUAAUCUUUUGGAUUGAAAUCGGCUGUUAAUUGUUAAAGUUCAGAAAUUACUCUCUGCCUUGCUAUUUGUUCUGUUUUAUCCCCCCAAAAGGCCCCAAUCCAACUUGAAAUUUUAGGACAUUUCUCUUCCCUACCUAUAGGACCAUUUUUGGGACCAUGGUUAUUCUUUGUGUUUUUAGUUUUCUACUGUGUUGAUCAUUUUUUUUAUGUCAUUUGCAUGCAGAAGAAUUCGGAGAAAAGAAGGUCAGGGGUGAAUACAUCUGUUUGAAUCAUUACUUGUAUUGAAAUGAGUUUUCAUAUGAAUCUUUAGUUCAGUGAAGCCUGAAGAAGUCCAUAUCAUGAAUGGCACGAACCGUUACCACUGUCUCCUGCAUGUUGCUAGUCGCACCGGUUUCCUUACCAUGAAUAUCCUAGAGUGACCACAGAAACAAAGCUGGAGUGCAUAGAAGAAAUACUUUUGUCAGCUUAAUUUGAUUACAGGAUCGAGAUUGAUUCCGUUGAGCUGCUUUAACAUGUCUGCUGCUUAUUCUUGUUACUAUGAAUUGGAACAUGAUAUCUUCAUUUUCGCCCCCAAUUAAUGGACGAAAAAAAUGAUUAUCACCCUAUCAGGAAUCCAGUUAGUACUUAUCCACAUUCAUAUUUAUUCCUUCAUAGCUACUAUAUAAACAUAAUAAACAUAAGAUUUUUGAAGAGGAAUGGAGCUUGAUCUGUAUAGCAGGUAUAUGGAACUCUAUAUUGCACAGUAAGUAACAGGAAAACGCAGUCACUGAUAGAGCGAUCUACAGUCAUAUUGAUUCGAUGAAAUGCAUAUAUAUACUUGGACCGAAAAGAACAUCAAGGUCAUAUUAUAUGUGCAUAAUGAAGAAAUGGGGAUCUAGCUAGCAUGUCAAGCAAUUAUAGCCACUGACUUGAGGUCUAGCAAAACAAGGUUUCACAAGGUGAUAAUGAAUUAAUGAUAUUAUUUUCAAAAAAAAAAAAAGGUAGAUAAUGAUAUGGCACAGUCCGGACGAUGUAUAGACAUCUGCUUCUGAAAGUGGCUUAAAGAGCCUUAAUUGAGUUCACUUGCUGUGCAAUUCUUGGUUCAAGCUGGCAUUGGAGUCUACAGACAGAUCUUGUAAUGGUGAUAUUGCACCAAAAAUCCAUUUUGUCCACUUUCAUCUUGUCCCACACUGUCGAUGAUAAUCCACAAGUUUCAAGGUCUGAUAAUCAACAUAUAAAGGUUGUUAUUUCACGAAUUUAAAUGUUUCUACUAAAUACCUUAGGUUGCUGCCUUGCUGGGGGUUUAAACUUGUUGAGUUAAUCUUUUGAAACUUGUCAAAAUUGUCUCGUCUUAACCGUGACGGACGGCUGAUGUUGGUAUGUUGGUGUACUCCAUGGAGGAAAGAAUAUGAACUGCUGUAAUGCAAAUUAUACCUAGUUUCUUCACUUGUGUCAUGAACACAGACACUUUGGUGUUAAUGAGAAUCGAACGUACGUGGAUAAUCACUAACUCUCUAUAGUUUUAUUUGUGUCACCAAAACUGAUCAUUUUAGUGUUAAUACAUAUAUCAAGAGAAGAUUCAACCCUCAGGACUCAACCCUCAAUUUCAGUUCUACAAGGUAAACCAUCUCAAUUCUUCACAUCAAUACACAAAUUAGCUAGGGGUUUCCAAGAUAAUCUUACUUAUAUGUGAAUGUUCAUUCUCACACUUCAUAAGGACAAUUUUAUGGUGACUAAAGUUAAAAUCUCAACCAAAAAUCUGCUUCAAACCCUAAAUUCUAUAGAAAGAAAUGGUCAUAAAUUCUGACCCGACCAUUUCAUUUUCACGGUUAAUCAAUCUGCUAGUGUAUGCUUCUUCACGAUGACAAUUCUCUGACGAUUCAAAUAGUAAAAAUCUCAACCCAAAUAUUAAUCUGCUGAAAUUGUCAAAAGAAAUUAUCACAAUAAGCUAUAUAUAGCUUAUCUUAUAAUAACUUGACCCGUUCUCUUCUAUUUUCUCAAUUAAUCCUAUUUGAAGUAGUUUUUGAAACAUUAAUGGUGCGCAAUAAUACACUUGAGGACAAUGCAGCUACCAAUAGAAGAUAUAUUAUCACUUUGCUUGUCAUUUGCACAUCAAUUAAGAGAGUAGAGAAGGAUACGUAUCUAUUAAGCUUCAAAAUAGUAUUCCCAUCAGCGAGAAGAAACCCUAAAACGUAACUCAUGCAUCUAUAUGGAAAUGACUUGUGAACAGAAAAGAAAAAAAAUAAGACAGAGAAUAGAAAGCUAGUCGGACUCAGUUCAAUAGAGUAUAUGGAAUCAAUUGAAAGUUGAAACCACGUACGUACACUAGCUGCAGUUCAGACUAGUUCAAAUCUGUAUCAAUUUUGCCACUUGAUACAGAUUAGUUUCAUCUAAAUUACUAAAUAUAUGUGCGUAAUUGAAACUGAGACGGCUUGCAUUCGAUCACCAUUUGAAAAUGGUCACACCUACCGAUCGAUCGCGAGAAGUUAUCCCUUGAAAUAGUACUAUGUGCAAAAUAAUGUCAGUGAUCGAGUUACAAUACUCAUGAUGACGAGGAUACCAAUAGAACCAACGAUCAUGUUGCUUGUUAUUUGCAUGUUAGGAGCUCGCUAGAUAGAGUUGGAUGAUCAAGUGCAAUACGUAUCAAUUUAGCUUCAAAAUAGUAUUGACAAUAGCAUGAAGUAACCCUAAAAUGUAAUUCAUGCAUUCUGGGAAUGACGUGUGAUCAGAGAAAGAUCGAACGAGUUUCAGUUCAUGCAUCAACAUAGUAGAGAUUAACUGGUUUCAUCAAAUACUACAGUAGCCAACGUCUAUAUAUAGAGUACCAUCCGAUCGAGCUGCAAUAGUAGAAUUCAAAAGAGUGAUAUACAUACAUACAGAAAAAAUGAAAACCCCAGGAAUGUGUCUCGUUUUCUUCUUGCUCUCUGAUGUUCUAUUCAUCAAGGAUUCCAAAGCGGAAUCUUACGAAUACCUUCAGUUUGUGCUGCAGUACCCGCGAGGUACCUGUGUUAACGAUAAGACAUGCAAGCCGACGGCGAGCUUGCCGGCGAAGUUCGCUAUGCAUGGGAUUUGGCCCACGAAUAUAUCCGCGACGUACAUCAAAUGUAUACAGGCAGUGAAACAAUACCCGUUCGACAAAAACCUGGUAUGUGUUAUUUUUACUGAACAUCCUGCUUCUGCUGUUUACUUGAGGUUUAACUUUAGCUGAAUUAUGUAACCAAGUUCUUGUUUUGCCUUUCAGAUAACUCCUUCGCUCAAAGCUGAUCUCCUCCAAUCUUGGCGUCACGACAACUAAAGAUGAUAUCGCGUCUUGGCAAUACGAAUAUGAAAAGCAAGAACUACUUUGCUUGAUGAGUGUAAAUAAAAUUUAAGCAAUACUUGCUGAUUCUGAUUGGAGGCAUUGAUAAGGUACUGAAGGUAUUCGUACGAUUCGGCUUUGGAGUCCUUGAUAAAAAGAACAGCAGAGAGCAAGAAGAAAAUGAGACACAUUCCUGGGGUUUUCAUUUUUUCUGUAUGUAUGUAUAUCACUCUUUAAUUUGAAUUCUACUACUGCAGCUCGAUCGGAUGGUACUCGAUCUAGAUAUAGACGCUGGCUACUGUGGUUUGAUGAAACCAGUUAAUCUUUACUAUGUUGAUGCAUGAACCUUCAGUACCUUACGAAUACCUUGAGGAGUGUAAAUAACAUUUGAGCAAUACUUGCUGAUUCCAAUGCCUCCAAUCUUGGCCCGCAUGUCCAUACCUUCCUGAUUCUGAUUGGAAAUUUGGCCACUUAUUCCAGUUCAGAGAGAUGGUUUGGGAUUUGGAUAUGAUCCCAACUUUAACGAAUACAAAGUUAUUAACAUUGGAUACUCUGCUCCCCAAGAAGAAUUAUCUCAUAUAUUUAACAUUUAUAGUCCCCCCAAAGCAGCUGUCUACACUCUUGGUACUGAUUCUUGGAGAGAGAUCACGGCUGAUUCAUUAGAAACAGAAACCACUAAUUUUUGGCCAUAAGCUAUUUGGAAAAGCAAUACUUUGUAAGCUUGGGUAUAAUAUAUAAUGUUGUCCUGUGAGAGUGAGAGUAUGAGACAUUAACUCAAACUAACUAUUGCUUUCUACAUGUCAAGCUUGUUAAAUUAUCCUUUAGAAUAACAUCAGGAUCUUUCUGCUGUUGACGAUGGCCUCUUUGAAAGACAGAUGUCUUGAUACUUUCUAUUUUUUGAAGCAUAUCUAAAUGCUGUUAAAUUAGCGAAAUUCUAAUCAUCUGCGCAGAAGUAUGAAUCAUUCAAAGGCCUCCUUCUAGGUAACAUAAGAUAUCGUAGAAGCGAAUUCUUGAAAUGGCCAGGUUUUCUGUGCAUUUAGACAAUAGAUCUUAGAUUUUAAGUUAUGCAACUUUAUCUUCAUUUCACAUUAUGAUUUACUGAUUAACCGAAACUAAUGUAUGUCCUCUGCAGAUGUUAGGCCACAUUUGAACCUCCUUUAUGGUUACCUGACAGAAGAAGAGAGGAAGAAAGCUAAAGAAAAAGCUGAUAUUCUGGAUGAAGGCCUCAGCAGCUUGAGCUUCCCUAUAACUCAACUUGCAUUGUACAAAAUUGACUACAAAAAUAGAAGUCUUAAAUCAUGGGAGAAGAUUGCUGAAUACCCACUCCUAGUUGAGUAAUUCUAUCAAGUCAUGCUUAUAAUUAGGUUGUAUUGAAAUAUAAGACUGCCUCAGUGUCUCUGCUGCAUGUGUAGUCCUGUGACUCAUGUCUAGCAUACUUUGAUUUUGGAGGUGCUACAUAUGUGUCAUGAGAAUCUCUUAUUCCUAAACCUUCGUAAUGAUUAGUUGGUUUACUUUUUCGUACUAUUUCUCCAGUAUUAUUCCUUGGCCAAAAGCUAAAAACCAAACGUGUUUUAACUUACUGAUAGAAGCAAUGACAAAACAGACGGGAUAUAAGAAAAAAUAGUCCUCUCUCACCACCCUGAUUGUGACCCUAAGCACAGAAAAUGUUGUAAUCAUCGACUUUCGGUCACAUUCUAGUAUUCUAGUUUGAAUUAAAUUAGCUAUACUUGUGGCAAUGAUCUGAAAGUGUUUGUUCUUUGUUCAGUUGGAGUGAGGUUGGUCAUGGCUUGCAGGAUAAUCAUGUUUUACAGGUAUUAUGUUCCUCAUCUGUUUCUUCGUCAUCAGAAUAUCCAAAUCUUGAAUCCCAAGCUUUCAUUUCAUCUUUCAAAGGCAUCUUCAUACCACUAUUACCCUACUGUUACCCAAACCAAUUUCCCCAUCAAGCCAAAACUCUCUUCCUUCAUUACAGACUCUGAAAUCCAAACUGAAUUCUCUCACCAUGAUCCAGGUGUUGCCCGAAUAAACAAUGGCAGCUUUGGUUGCUCCCCUGCUUCUGUUACCUCUGCAUUGCAACAAUGGCAACUCAAUUGGCUGCGCCAGCCGGACCGUUUCUACUUCAAUGAGCUCCACAAGGGGAUACUCAAGUCAAGGAACACAGUUAAAGACCUCAUCAAUGCAGAGGAUGUUGAUGAAAUUUCCAUUGUAGAUAAUGCCACCACAGCAGUUGCCAUAGUCUUGCAUCAGAUGCAGUGGGCCUUCUCUGAAGGCAGAUUCAAGAAAGGGGAUGCUGUCAUCACACUGCAGUAUGCUUAUGGCGCGGUGAAGAACUCCAUCAAGGCCUAUUUUGAGCGAGCUGGCGGGUAUGUUAUUGAAGUUCCAUUUCAAUUUCCAGUGAAUUCCAGUGAAGAAAUAGUAAAUGAAUUUCGGAUGGCUUUGGUGAAGGAAAAGGCUAGUGGUAGAAGAGUUAGAUUAGCUCUGAUUGAUCAUGUUACAUCCAUGCCAUCUGUUUUACUUCCAGUUAAGAAAUUGGUUGAAGUGUGCAGGGAAGAAGGUGUUGAUCAAGUUUUCAUAGAUGGGGCUCAUGGUGUUGGGUGUGUAGAUGUUGAUAUGCAAGAAAUAGGGGCAGAUUUUUACACUAGUAAUUUGCACAAGUGGUUCUUCUGCCCUGCUUCGGUUGCAUUUCUGUAUUGUAGGAAGUCAGUCACACAUUCAGAACUGCAUCAUCCUAUGGUGUCUCAUGAUUAUGGUAAAGGGUUGGCUAUUGAAAGCUGCUGGAUAGGGACUAGGGAUUAUAGUCCUUCUUUAGUGGUUCCUUCAGCUGUGGAGUUCACAAACAGGUUUGAAGGCGGUAUCGAUGGAAUCAAAAGGAGGAAUCAUGAUGCUGUUGUUGAGAUGGGACAGAUGUUGGCAAAGGCUUGGGGAACCAAUCUUGGGUCUCCACCGGAUAUGUGUCCAAGCAUGAUCAUGGUGGGAAUGCCGGCUUGUUUGGGGGUUUCAAGUGAUGAUGAUGCCUUGAAAUUAAGGACACAUCUGAGGGAGAAAUUUGGUGUUGAAGUCCCAAUAUAUUACCGAAUGCCGAAGCAUGAAGAGGUUGCAACAGCAACAACUGCGUAUGCUCGAGUUUCUCAUCAAGUCUACAACAAAGUUGAUGACUAUUAUAAGUUCAGAGAUGCAAUCAAUCAACUUGUUUGUGAUGGGUUCACCUGUGCUCGAUCUUUAUGAACUGCCUUUAUCCUAAUUACGACUCUUCAUGCUGUAGAAGGAAUGAAGGGAUGCAAUGAAUCUGUUUGAAUUAGUACUUGCAUUGAAAUGAGUUUUCAUGUGAAUAUUUAGUUCAGUGAAGCCUGAAGAAGUCCAUAUCAUGAAUAACAGGAGCCAUUACCAAUUUACCACUCUGUCCAUGCAUGUUGCUAGUCGCGUUGGUUUUGUUACCUUUAAGAGUGACCAUAGAAACAAAGAUGGAGAAGCUGCAUAAAGUACUUUUCUCAGCUUAGUUUAACUACAGGAGUUUGCUUCAAUUGAGCUGUUUUGACAUGUCUGCUGCUCUUUUUUUUUUUUCGAUUUCAGUCUGCUGCUUGUUCUUGUUACUAUGAAUUAGAACAUGAUAUCUUCAUGUUCACCGCCAAUUUAUGGACAACAUAACAAGAUCACAACUCUACUAGGAAUCCAAAUAAUAAUAAAAUCCACAUUCACAUCCACUCUUCCGUAGCUACCCUGCUAAUAAACAUAAGAGGAAUUGCAGGUUUGCUAAAAACGAUGAUGAAUGGAGCUUAGAUCUCUACUGUCGUAUUGAUUAGAUGAAAUGCAUAUACUUGGACGAAACAGAACAUAAAGGUCAUAUUAUAUGUACAUUCUACUUCAGCAAGUAUGUCAUUUUUUUAAAGUUGAAUAUGAUAUGGCUCAAUCCAGAUGAUGUAUGGACGACUUCGCUUUUUAAGGUCGCUUAAAGAGGCUUAAAUUAAGUUCACUGUUUGGUUUUGGUAAGCACAUCCUUCGUCUUCAAGGCACUAGAGGAUAGUCAGUAUACAGAUAUACAGACAACUAAAUCUUUCAAAAAAUUUCCAUUUUGUCCACCUUCAUCUUUUGUCAUUGAUGAUCAACAAGUUUCAAGGUUGUUAAUUUCAGAAUUUGAAUGCUUCCACCAGAUAGCUUAGGUUGUUAAAUUUCAAGUUUUAUCUUUUGAAACUUGUCUAUAGUCAUAAUCUUGGUAUUAUUUUCCUCAAAAUUGUGUCAGCCCUAAAUGGCUAAAUGUGACAACUAGUACUAUAGUGUUAUUUUAUAUUUUAUUGUGGGUAUGAAGUUCAAAUCUUGAAAUCCUAGAGCAACCUUUGAUGUUGGUGUACUCCCUAGAGGAAAGAAUGUGAAUUUCUUUCAUGCAAAUUAAUCCCUUAGUUUCCCUUGUGUUACAAAUUUUUUUCUCGAAGUAGCGUAGAACUUUUAAUCGUAUUUAAAUACAAUUAUUCGUCAAAACAACUUUUACAAAAGAAAAAAGAUAAGUAAAUCUAGAUUGGGUUUUAUGACGAAGUGCCUUGUUUGCCAAGCAAUGAGCUGCCUCAUUGUUUUCACGAUAAAUAGAUUUGAAUAGCUACCACUCAUAACACUUGACUCGGAUUUUAAGUACACAUUUACAUAAGCCUAAAUUCAGGUUGAGACUCGAACGUGUUUAAUGACUAACUCUCUAAUUUCUCUUUUGUCAUAAAGACCGACCAUUUUGGUGUUAAUGAGAAUUGAAAGUGCAUAAUCACAAAAUACCAACGAAACUACGUUACCAACCCACUACCUUAUUUGCUUUUUAUAAAAUUAUAGGAGGUAACACACUUAAGUCAAUAAAAGAUUCAUCGAUUUAUAAAAUAUACACGGUUUCAACCAAUGCAUGUGGUCUUGUGAUACUUGCCUAGUUAGGUUGUGGAGAUUUUGAAGCUGUGAAACUGCUCCGACACUAUGUUACAAUAUAUAUUUGGAGCACUUCACAUGCACAGGUAUAAGACAUGGACAUCAUUUGAAUCAUCCUAAACAAAAAUAUAAAGGGUUUAUUGAAGAAAAUUCGUAUAAUCAUAGAAAAUGAGAUAUGGUGCAAAGGAGAGUGAAUCCAAACACUAUCCGAACGUAACACGAAGACAUGUUUCAUCUUCCAUCUCUAUAAACUAUAUAAACCAAAUUAACCACCGCUCUCUCCCCUUUCUCUCCCUCGCAAUCGAGGCCUCCGACGCAUGUGUCAGCCAAUCCCAAAAUUCACAGCUGAGAGCCCAAUUCCCAAAUACCAAAGCCCCAAUUCGAAUUGGGCACUGAGGACUACCCUCAAUCUCAAUUCUACAAGGUAAACCAUCUCAAUUCUUCACAUCAAUACUCAAAUUAGGGUUCCCCAGAUUAUGUUACUUGUAUUAUUUUGUUAAAGUUUUGAAAUUUCGUGUUCAUGGAUGCUCUAAUUGAAGAUUCCAAUGUGUUUUGGCUUGAAAUUUAGGUACCCAAUUGGUAAUUUUUGAGGAACUCAACAAUUGGGUGGCUUAAUCAGUUUGAUCUUUGAUAAAGUCUGAAACUUUAACUGGUUAGGAUCUCAGAUAUGAACAAAAAGUGUUCCUUUUCUUGCAUUUGUGUUCGGUUUUUUGAACUUUUUGGUUUUGUUGAUGAGUGAAUUUGAAGCAAUUAAUUGAAAGACUGAAAUUUAAGUCUGUUUUUCGAUAUGUGUAUUUGUCAGUAAGCAGAAAGAACCCUAUCAUUCUAUUUCAGGUUAAAGGACUAAAGUAGAAGUUAGAGUCCAGCAGUUCUUGUCUAGGAUGUAUUUGUUUAGCUCGAUUAGAUUUCUUAAGAAUGAGCUAGUCACUUUUCAGCACUGUUGUGAUAGAUAGUAACAUAGUAUCUAUAGCUUGAUUAGUUUUGAGACUAGGGUUUGAACAAAAUUUUAUUAUUAUGUUUGACUGAUGCAGAUCAUGGAGGGGAAGAGAAUCAUAACGAUUUGUCAGUCAGGGGGUGAAUUCUUUACUGAGAAGGAUGGUACAUUGUCAUAUAGAGGCGGUGACGCUCAUGCUAUUGACAUUGAUGAAGGGGUGAAGUUUAAUGAGUUCAAAAUGGAGGUGUCAGAGAUGUUUGGUUGUAACACCAAUAACAUGUCCAUCAAGUACUUCCUCCCUGGGAACAAGAAGACCCUGAUUACUGUUUCAAAUGACAAGGAUCUCAUGCGCAUGAUCAAAUUCCAUGAUGAUUUUGCAACAGUCGAUAUUUAUGUCAUGGAAGAAACAAUCGCACCCGAAGUCUCAAACAUGCCUGCCAGUAGGUAGUCCUCCUGAUAUGUAAGCUAGUACUUAAUACCUUCUCCGCAAGUAUUCUUUAUUGUGAAAUUUCAGAAUGUCUUGGAUUCCUUUUGUAGGUCAAGCAGAACGACUUUGUCUGAAACUGUGCUUCCAGUUGAUGAUGUGGCUCUGGAUGUUUCGGAGUUUGUUGGUGAUACCCCCCAGCCAGAUAUCCCACUAGAUGCCUCUCUUGAUGUUCUAGAUGAUACCAGCCCUAUCGAUACACAUAUUGAUCUACCCACUGAGAUGUCACCCCUUUUCCCUUUUGUUGGCCUCAUUGACGAGAAACUUGCUAAGGGUGCACAGCAGUGGCAGAAUUCCAUUACGGGUGUGGGUCAGAGAUUCAAUAGCGUUCAUGAAUUUCGUGAAUCAUUGCGUAAAUAUGCCAUUGCGCAUCAGUUUGCCUUUAGGUAUAAGAAGAAUGAUAGUCAUCGUGUGACUGUUAAGUGCAAGGCUGAAGGCUGCCCUUGGAGAAUUCAUGCAUCAAGGUUGUCUACAACUCAGUUAAUAUGUAUCAAGAAGAUGAAUCCAGCACAUACAUGUGAAGGGGCUGUUGCUACAACAGGGCAUCAGGCAACAAGGAGUUGGGUGGCUAGUAUUAUUAAGGAGAAGUUAAAAUACUUGCCUAAUUAUAAGCCCAAGGAUAUCGUCAAUGACAUCAAGCAAGAAUAUGGAAUUCAGCUGAACUACUUUCAAGCCUGGCGUGGGAAAGAAAUAGCGAAGGAGCAGCUUCAGGGUUCAUACAAAGACGCAUAUAAUCAGUUACCCCUUUUCUGUGAGAAGAUAAUGGAGACAAACCCUGGUAGUUUUGCUUUAUUUACUACCAAGGAAGAUUCGAGUUUCCACCGGCUCUUUGUCUCAUUCCAUGCCUCAUUAUCUGGGUUCCAGCAAGGUUGCAGGCCUCUCCUUUUUCUUGAUAGCAUUCCUCUAAAGUCAAAAUAUCAAGGCACAUUGUUGGCUGCAACUGCUGCAGAUGGGGAUGAUGGGGUUUUCCCUGUUGCUUUCACUGUUGUGGAUGCAGAAAGUGAUGAUAACUGGCAUUGGUUUUUACUACAGCUGAAGUCCUCAUUUUCAACUUCUUGUCCGAUAACAUUUGUGGCCGACAGACAGAAGGGGUUAAGGGAAUCAAUUGCUGAAAUAUUCAAAGACUCAUACCAUGGCUAUUGCCUGCGAUACUUGACUGAGCAACUCAUCAGAGACUUGAAAGGGCAGUUUUCUCACGAGGUGAAGAGACUCAUGGUUGAGGAUUUCUAUGCAGCUGCUUAUGCACCUACUCCUGAUAACUUCCAAAGGUGUCUUGAGAGCAUUAAAAGUAUCUCAUUAGAAGCUUACAAUUGGAUCGUACAAAGUGAGCCCUACAACUGGGCGAAUGCAUAUUUUAAGGGUGCCAGAUAUAACCAUAUGACAUCUAACUUUGGGGAGCUGUUUUACAGUUGGGCAUCAGAUGCACACGAGUUACCAAUAACUCAGAUGGUCGAUGUGAUCAGGGGUAAGAUUAUGGACUUGAUCUACAAAAGAAGAGCAGAUUCCGAUCAAUGGUUGACAAGGCUAACUCCAUCCAUGGAGGAAAAGCUAGAAAAGGAAACCCUUAAAGUCCAAAGCCUUCAAGUGCUGCUAUCGGCUGGUAGCACAUUUGAGGUUCGUGGUGACUCCAUUGAAGUUGUGGAUGUAGAUUGCUGGAACUGUAGUUGUAAAGGGUGGCAGUUAACUGGUUUACCAUGCUGUCAUGCAAUUGCAGUCAUUGGUUGUAUGGGUCGGAACCCAUAUGAUUAUUGUUCAAGAUUCUUUACGACUGACAGCUACAGAUUGACAUACUCAGAGUCAAUACAUCCUAUUCCACAAGUAGACAUUCCUGUGACGAAGACUACUUCUCAGGUAGCAGUAACCGUUAGCCCUCCUCCAACACGACGCCCACCUGGCCGGCCAACUACCAAAAAAUAUGGACCGCAAGAAAUGAAUAAGCGUCAACUCCAGUGUAGCAGAUGCAAGGGUCUGGGGCACAACAAGUCCACAUGCAAGGAGAUAUUACUAGAGUAUUAGCCUGUAAGUAUUAUUUUUUAUUUGAAAACGUUUAAGCUUCCUUCAUAUGCAUUUGAUCACGGUUUUGAUCGUUGUUGUAGCAAUAAGCCAAUAAGCUAGUAACAAUAAUGUUGUUUCACUGCCUAUGUGAUUUUACUGGUUUGUUGAUUCGUGUCUUUAGCAAUACAAGCUCAUUUUGUAGGCAUGGCUUCUGUGUGUAAUUUUGUAAAUGUGGUACAUAGAAAGUUUAUUACAUAUAUAUGAUACAAGCAGGUGUUAGAGCCUGAUGCUGGCCCUUUUGUAGUAAUGGACGAUGAUCAUAAUGACAUGUUGAUAGGCAUUUGUAGAGAAGCCUUUGUGUUGAUACCUUAAAUUAAUGUUCCGUGAUGUUGAUCUGUGACUCGGCAUCUACAUUUCAGCAUCUAUCCUGUGUCUUUUUAUUUCGUCAAGUGUAAUGUGAUGGUGUUAGGUGGUAUAUGUCCAUUUUUACUGGGAUAUAUAUCAAUAAUUGAUGUGCUUCCUUUUUCUUGAUUCUGUUAAUAGGAUUGCAUCAGAGGACAAGGGGUACCAGUGUCCAGUGGAACUUCUGUUUACUCAAUUUUAAUAAGCAAGUCAAGGAACCUGAUGUAUGUAAUACUAGCAUUUCUUUUGUAAUUAUUGGUUCUCUUUCUGUAGUUUUGGUAACUUGGGUUCCAACAAAGUUGAAAAGUAAGUCUAAAUGACCUUGAAAUGAUAAUAGGAUGUAGCAUGUUUUAGGUUAGUUUAAGGUCAUGAAAGUGGAAAAUUGUGGAUCCAAAACAUCUGGUACAUGUAGUUUUAGUAUUGUGAAUCUUUAAAGCAGCUGAUUUAUCUCAAGUUGAGCUUGCAAUCAAUACUGAGUUCUCAGUAGCACGAGUUUCGACUUGCAACAGUAAUGCAUCAUCCAAAUUUUUGAUGUAACAAGGAUGGUAGACUUGGUAGACUUGUACCACCAGGCACCAGCAUGGCGUCUACUCCGGUGUAGCUGAUGAAGCACUUAGGAGUCAAUGUAUCAUAUCUUCUUUAUGCGUUAUAUGAAGUUAUGAAUAUGAACCAAUAUGACCUCCUUUCACUGUAUCAGUAUACUGAUGGUGGUGAUCAUAUGUUCGAAACUUUGAAUACAUUUGUGUGAGGGAUUUCGCUCUCCAAGCAGCAGCUGAUCUAAGACUUAGUGGCAAACUUGCUGAACAGCUUGUUUUACAUUCUCAAGUAAACUUGAUCAGUGAUUACCUCCAAUCACUGAUAGAUUUGUGAAUUAGUAAAUAAAAGUGCUUUGAUCCAUAGUAUUACUAAAACGGACUUGGGUGCCUCUCGUCUACGAUAAAAGCUUUCAAAUCAAUCGUCAACAUUUACAUAUCAAAUCGGUUGCGCCCUUAAAAUUUCAUCACAAGUGUCUAUGUACACAUACAAAUUUCAAUCUCGUCCAACCAAAAAAGCUGGUGAUUCAUUAAAAUCGAAGAUGAAAUUUACAAACGUAAAGAUGCAACUGGUUUAAGGUGUAAAUAAAUUUACACACAUAUGUAAAUUCUUUUUACUUUUCCGGGCCCACACAUCCUUACAAAAGAAUCUCAUACAAAGACUUUGACUACUCUUCACCUCCCUCUUCUUCUUCUUCUUCAAUCUUCAAUCGUCCUCUCCCUCCAAAAAAAAAAACAAUGGAGAACCCUAAUUCCACCCCCAACGGAGCAGUCCCGGCCGGAAGAGUACAAGACGAGGAGUGCAGCAACUGCGGCACCAAGAAAGCGUGGGUCCUACACAACGUCCGCUACCGCGCCAACCUCCGCCGCCUCUGCACCUCCUGCGUCCUCCGCCUCCACCCCUCCAGCUUCUGCCCCUUGUGCUUCCUCUCCCACCCUGACCUAAAUUCCCAAAACGCCCUCGUCUCCUGCUCCAAGUGCCCCUCCCUCUCCCACCCUGACUGCCUCCCUCCCUACGCCGCCUUCUCCCCCUCCCCCUUCCUCUGCCCGCCCUGCUCCUCCGCCAACCCCAACACCUUCUCCUUCUUCCAAUUAGACGACCGCCACCGCUCCCUCGACAAGCGCCUCGCCGCCGUGCUCCUCUGCGCCGCCACCAUCGCCGCCUCCUCCAUGUCCAAGGCCGUCGCCGUCGCACGCGCCGAGGCCGAGCGGCGCGUGAGGGAGGCCGCCAACGCCAGGAAGCGCGCUCGUGAGGCCUUGGACCGCUUCGUCAUACUCUCCUCCUCCGCCAAGGCCGUCCGCGCCGACGUCUCGGGGUCCUCCAACGGCGGAAAACAAGCCUCCAAGAACAAUGAGAAACCGAAUGGGUUGAAAGGGAAAGAGUGACAAAUUUACUGUAUUUUAGUUUGCAGCAUUGUAGAGUCUGAUUAAUGUGUAUAGGGACCUUUGGUUCCUCUCAAAUUAUUGAUCUUUUCUUAGUCUCUAUGCUUGAAUGAUCAUUUUUUCUGCAGAUUCCUAGCUCUGAUUAGAUGAUACUAGCUGCAUUACCAGUUGUACAUUGUCUCUAAUUUUCGAAAAAUUCUGAUAAAAAAAUUGGAGGAGAGCAGCUUCUGCAAAACCUCUCAGAGACUGUUAAUAACUUCACAAUUGUAAAUUUCUCUCAUGGUAAUUAGUAAUAACCAACAACGGUUAACCAGUUGUAAAAACCUAACCAACAGUUCUCAAGAGGGAGAUUUAACUAACAAUAAGCAAACUAUUUCAAAAUACUGUAAGUUCAAUGUGGCAGUCUUAUUCCCAUAUAUGCACACAGCAUACGAGCUGAGAGUGAGCAGCAUUGCAGCAACACAAAGGAACCAAUCGACCAAAAAGCAGAGAGGAACCAGCCGGCGUAGUAUAUGACAGCAAAACAGGCGAGCUUCUAAACGACAUCAACCUACUCAGUUCCUCAGCAGCAGCCUUCUCUCUGACAUAAGGAAGAGAAAAUCAGCUGGAUCUCGACUGCUUAAAACCUGCUUUGCACUUUUGCUUUGUCCAAAGAGACUAUAUCAACUUUCCCCUCUUCUAGGAAUGUGGAGUCUUUACUUAACAUAUGAAGAUCAUUCAUCUUUCACCAUCAGUUUCUGAGUCUUAUCAAUCUUUCACCCUUGACACUUGGAUUGUUGUGAAUCAGAAAUGGGACAACAUUCCACCUUUGUUUCAUUGAACAGGAUAGCCUCCAUAGUCUUUCAGCCUCAAAUAUUCGAGUAUCCUCCUUGUUUAGAAAAUCGCAAUUGUCUGCAAAAAUCAUGGUUCUAAAAGCUGUAAAGAAUGGUAGCCUUCUUAACCUCUUGGUAAUUCCUUACCCUACAAAGCAUAAACACCAAAAAGUAAAUUCAGAUGCAGAUAGACAGUGUAUCACUUGAUUAUCACAGAGGCACUUAAUUAUGCCAACAUAAAGCCAAGGAAUAGCCAACUGACUCGAUCACAUAGUUAUGUCAAUAAUAAGUUAGACAGGUAUUUUCAGCACAGUUCUAUCUGAAGUUUUGUGCUAUCAUAUCAUCAAGAAAAAAUGAAAACCGCUGGCAGAGAUAUAAGCCAUAAUAUUGUCAAACACAUAUGCAAGCUACCUGACAAAAUCAAGCCAUGCAUACAUUACAUGUACUGAUGUACAAAGUAUGGUUUCUGAAGUGCGAAUUUGAGCAAGUACAGUACAACCGACAGACCUGAUUUUAUUCAUACCAGUCGAUCUUUCUUCAGAGUCAUCUCCCCCAAGAUGAGGAUGCUUGGAGAAAUGACCACAAGUCCGAUAGUAGAUUGUGGACUGAUGAAGAAGUGCACUCUGAGGCGCUCCCAGAACCUUAAAUUGGAUCAGCUAACCAGAAUCUGGACUUAUUACAUGAGCCCUGAAUUCUACGGAGGAACCCUUGGCAUUCUAGCCAAGUAAUUUGGCUGAAAAGGGCUGACAGGAGGAGUUCAGAAUGACAACUUCUCACGCGACUAAUGGAGAAAAAAGUUUCUAUCAUGUUGCAUCUAAGCCCUCUGCAAGGAUGUUGCUAACAGUAUCUUGGCCACUGAAAGUAUCAUAGUCCAGUGAUUUCCUAUCUACUUCGUCACUUACAGCAGACCCGAUCAACAACGCAUGAGUCUUUGCAUCUGGCACCCAACCCUUCUCCAAGAUCGUAUCCAAAAAUCUGCUGGCGUCAUGUUUAUAACCCUCUUUCCAGAGGCCAUGAAUUAGGAUGUUGUAGGCUGUUGAAUUUAGAACUUCACUAUUGCGAAUAAGAUUAUGAAUUGAUCCUAAAAUUCUGUGCAACUGAGAAUGCUUGUCUAUACAAGACAGUAGACUAACUAGUCUCUCUGAAUCAGGUUCAAGACCCUUACUGACCAUCAUGCUGAAAAGCAAUACACAUUCUUUUACUCGAUUCUGCUCACUCAUGCUUUGUAUGAGGAUGCAGUAGGCGUCCAAAUCAAAAUUACAACCCUCCACCAGCAUUUUUGAUAGGAUAAUCAUCUGUUCUUUUGUCUUGUCUAAUCUUGAUAAUCCUAUCAAAAUGGUGGAAUAAGUUGAACUUGUAUAAAAAGUACCAGAAUAGUACGCCAGUUUCUGUAGCCGUAUUGCUUCACUAACCUUUCCUGUCUCACAAAUACCCUUGAUCAACAUAUUGAAGGAGGAAGACUGGAGAGAGCAUCCAUUACUAGACAUGUAAUAGAACACAUCAGCCGCCUCGCGAGCCAUUUCCUCCAGGCAAAGGCCUUUGACAAGCUCAGAGUAAGAUGUAGGAUCCAAAAGCCAGUAUUUGGCACGAACAUGUUGAAAUAUAUCAAGAGCUUUUCUGUAAUUACUGAUUCUGCAGUUGCCAACAACAAGAGCCGAGUAUGUAGCACAAUCAGGAAUAGAAAAUGACACCACCAUUCUACCAAGAAGUUCAAACACUUCCCUAAUCCUUGCGUUCUCACAGAGCCAUCUGAUGAGAAUAUUCCAAGAAUUACAAUCAGCUAGGUUUCUUUCCGACAUUUUCACAAGUAGAUCUUUUGCUAUGGUAAUUUUACCAGUAUUGCAGCAACCUUCAAGCAACACAUUAUAGGCAGAAGUUUCAAGGAUAUGCUUAUCUUCCAAGAACUUCAGAGCAUCAUCUAUCUUUCCCAAUGUACAGAAGACAUUCAUUACAUCCACAAACACAUGACUGGGUGGUGUCAAUCCAGUUUCUAUCAUGUCUUCUAGAACCUUUAUCGAAUCAUCUAAGUAUAGGUUUUUGCAUAAACACUGUAAUAGAACCCCAUAAAUCCGUGAAUCCGGCAUAACAUCUGAAGCUCGCAUCAUCUUGAACAAUCUGAUUCCCUCUGCUGGUUUAUUUUCUCUACAUAACAAAGGUAUUAUGCAAGUAUAAAAACUCAAAUCAAGCUGAUAAUCAAGUACAAACAUUUCACUUAAAACAAUAACAGCUUCAUCCAUGCGAUCCUUUGCAAAAAGGGCCUGUAUGAUUAUCUCAAAUGUUCUACUAUUAGGACUACACCCCUUCUUUCUCAUCCUCCUAUACUGAUCCAAAGCCGACUCAAACCGAUCACUCUCCAACAAACCCUGUAUCAAAUAAUUCAAGGUCUCAACAGUCGGUAACACCCCUGCCUUCACCAUCUCCUUAUAAACAAGCACCAUGUCUCGAAAAUCCCUCUUCUCCUUCACAAGAGCACCCAAUAUUACAUUAAAUGUCUCAACUGACACCCUAUAUCCACCUGCUGUCAUAUUCACAAGCACCCUAACUGCCUCACUCACCCUGCCAUGCCUAACAAACACAUCAAUCAAUUCCAAAAGAGCUUCUCCAACACCAGGACAUCUAUCUUUGACCAUAUGAUGACAAAACCCUUCCAUUUCCUUAACAUUUCCAGCCAAACCCAGCUUCAGAACUAUCUUAAAAUACGUUUCGGCGGUGUGGGUAAACCGUUUCUGGAGUGAAGCCCAUUUGAAGAGCUUCACUGCCGAGCUCAAAUCAUCAGUGUUAUCCAAAACCCGGGCCAAGUUAUCAGGAACAAGCUUGGUCUUCAAAGACUGAAUAUUUUGCUCAAAUUCAGAUAAAUUCGGUGGGUCUGGAUUGUUUUCUGGGUGGAGUUCAAUGGUUUUAGCGCAUGAGAUUGAAGAAAGGUAAGCAGUUGAAGAAACCCAGAUGGGGAAUCCCUUGGAAAAAGAUAAAGGCCGGAGCUUUAUAGCCAUUGCAAGAAUUCAUCAACACACUUUGCUUCUCUAAAUCAUGUAAAGUGUUGUAUUGGCUUAAAUGCAACGAGGGAUGAUCACUGACCUGAACAGAGGCGACGGUGAUCGAUCUUGGAGCUCCCAAUUAAACCAGAGAUUGUCAAGUUUGAACCUUCAUGUUCUUCCUAGUUAAGCUUAAGCCUGACUGCGUUAGUUGUUUUUUCUCUCUUUCAAGAUGAAAAGUCACUAUUACCCCUACGAUGUAAUUUAUUUACGGAUACGUUUCCGGACGUUUCUGACAUGUUUGCGGCCGGUUCUGACACGUUUUUGGCGUUUCCGAUAACAUAUUUUUAACCUACAAAACACCGGGUACAUGCUGAUGUACUCAUCUCUCAGCUUCACAGCCGUGGCUUCUAUUCCAAGUUCCAACCCAUCACCACCAUUCCACCACUCACCGCCAUUUUAUUUUUUUAAGAAUAUCAACGACGGUAUUUUUAAAGGUUAUUCAAACUCAGACACUAAUCCAUGUUUAGGGAUCAUAUCAGAACGUUUUCUCUCUCUGGCCAUUAAGAAUAAAUUGGGAAUUAACUUUAAUUAACGUCAGCUGAGAAUCGAACAUGGAUACGAAGUUUCACACCUAGCUUUUUACCAACUCGACUACAUGGUUGCCAUUUUCCUUUUAUAUAUACAUAUAUAUUUAUACAGCUCGACAGAUAGAUAUUGUUGAAGCUUGAGAACAUGCAUCAGUGACUUGUCGGCCGGACUGGAUUAUUAUCAAUUCGGUGAUGAACAUAGCAGAGAGGCUACAGUGGGAAGGAUGCAAAAAGUUAACAUACAUUUUUGUGGAAUGUGAGGCCGGGUAGAUCGAUCGUAGAUUACAUGCACUGAAGCAUCGAUCUCUCUGUACGUGUAUGAGUACGAGACGAUCGUUGAACCCAACAUGGAUCGGUUCCAGAAUUCCCUGUGCUGGAGAACUUGGAAGAGUUAUUAGUUGGCUGAAUUACCGGAUGGGUCUCUCGUCAUUCUGAAAUUAUUGAAUGUGAUACGUUGUUACAACUAGAUGGUGGAUUACCAUCAAGCUUGUUACAAAGACUGCCAAAUCUAGAAGUCUAGAACAACUAGCUAGAAUGUGAUUCCAUGAAGGGGAUUGAAUACGUGUUUGGGGAUAGUGGCAAACAAUCAAAAUUUGAGAAUGAUACGUACACUUGUGAGCGUUUACAUUAAGAAGCAUAUGUCAUGGACACCUACAAUGUUCCAGACCCUUGAGUGGUUGUCCUUGUCCUUGUCCUUGUCCUUGACAGAUCCACCUUGCCUUGCCCGGAAGUCUCUUCACCUAUGAUGAUGAUCCUCAGUGUCUUUCUCAGCUGAAUUUGUUGGAUUUACAGCGUUGCUAUGAUCGAUUUGGAAAACAUAGUUGAAGCAAGCAACAUACAACAAAAACAUUCUUCCAAAAUUGUUUGUGGAUUUUGUUCUUUUUACAAUAUGCUUGUACUUUGCCCGUGCAAUGCUGCGGAUUUUGUGUUUUUUCUUAUAAUAUGUGUUACAUGUUAACAAAAAAAGGUUUGUAACACGGAAAUAACUUGGGUGACCAACUAUGGUCAUUUAUGGAUGACAAACACCAAUGAGAGAUUGACAAAUCAACAAUAAUUAUAAACAAAUAUUUCAAAUACCCAAGACUCUCAUGUUAUAUCCUUAAAUUGCAGCCAAGCUUUUUACAAUUGACAUGUGUCCCAUGUUUAUUGGUUGUUAAAGGUUUUAAAAUGGACAUGUGUCUCAUAUUCAUUGGUUGUGGUCAUCUUAAGAUGACCAACCCUUAUCACUGAAAUCGGGUUCUUUUAACACCCCCACUUAUAUACACACAUAUUUCACAAAAAAUAAUAAUAAUAACAAACUUACAUGCAAACCAAUAGUAAUGUUCCCACAAUAACAGGUAAAAUAUACACAAGUAAUUCAUACAUGGAUAAAUCUAACCUUUGGAGACGAUAAGCCUAAUGAAUGAAAUUAAAAAAAUGGACCGCAAGUUACUGUUAGCAUGCUAAUGUCAUGAAACUAAUGUUAACAAAAAUAGACUUCUAAGCAUGAGUCAUGCAUGUAGAUAUCAUGUGUCUCGAUAUUCUUAGGUACGGUAUUGAUCGGUUACUAAUACUAUGCUGAAAAAUCUACUUCAAAUAACAUUACUAUUUCUUUUUAAUUUCCUCAAAUAUCUCAAUUGUUUUGUAAUCCUGGGGAUGCUUCAGGUAAAUCUGGUCCGGAAAGAGCUCGCAAAAGGUUCUUUGGUGCUAGAAAAGCUUUGGUGAUGCAGGUGGAGGCCGGAGAGUUUGAGUCGGGAAUUAGUGAUGUGGUUCCUGGAAAAUCAAAGGUGGCGUCGGGCUCUGGUGCUUCCUUCUCAACUGUUGUAGAGACGUUGGUGGAGACAGUGGAUGAGGAGGUGUCACUAGGGUCAGAAGGCAGCUCACUUGGAGAUUUCUCGGCAGCUUUAAUUUGGGUUAGUGUCUUUAGAAUAAGAUAGUCAAGAAUAAAUUAGGUUUUUCUAGGACUUUUUGGUUGUUUUUGUCUUUUUUGGUUACUUGGUUAUCUUGGUGUCGACCACGUUUAUGUGUUGCAGUAUAUAAAUUAUCCAGGGUACUUCGGUUCUUAGCUAGGUAGUUUUGCAUGAUUCAAUAUCUAACGUUUGCCCGCGAGGGUAUUUCAUGUUCAUGUUGUAAUCUGACUUUCAGUUAUCAAUAUAUUAAUGGUUAACGUCUAUUUAUAAAAAAUAAAAUAAAAUAAAAUCUCAAUAGUUUUGUAUGAAAUAAGGUUGAGAUCUGUUUUCACUAACAAAAACAAGUACUUUGAACUAAAUAAUCGAUUAGGAGUUUAUACACACAAAGAGCAAAUACUACAUGACCCAAUGCAACCAGAGUAUCAUUCCAUCAUUUCCAUUUUAAUUAGGCUUAAUAUUUGUGAUUGACAAGACAAUACAAAUGUUACAUAUCGAUUUCAACCAUUUUCUUAUGUAACAAACAACUUCAUAUUGUGUGAUUCUUAGACACAUUAGUUAGCAGGCCAUUCGUAUAAUUGAAACCGCAAUUUGCAAGAAACGGCUUUCGAAAACUUGGUUCGAUGGUACAUCGGUACUAAUGAAAGUAAGCCCCAGUGACCCAGUCACAUAAAGUAAGCCUGCUGUGUCAAAUAGUUUUUUUUUUUUUUGGCGAGAUUGUGUCAAAUAGUUUUGAAAAUCGACAUUUUGGUUCUCUAGUAUACUAAGUAGUGAAAAUAAGAGAAACUAAGUGCAUGUACGACAGAACGUUUGCAAGUUAACAACAAAUAAGUGAAGUCAAUGGUAUGAGAAAUAUUUAGGCCUCGUUUGGUUUACGUAAUAAAAAUAAGAGAAAAAUAAUUAUUUGAAAUUUCUUUGGAGAUGGAAAAUUACAACACCCAACAAUUUUCUUUUUCUGUGUUUGAAAAAGCCAGGAAUACAUCUGUAAUUUAUUAUGGAAUUUGAAAAGGAAAGUGAAUCUUUGGGGUGGGGGAGGGAGCCAUUUUCCACAUAAUUUAUUUAUUUUUAUUUGGGAACCACUUUCAUUUCUCACUAUUUUUCUUUGGUUUCUAAACAAUGAAAAUUAUUAACUUUCCUUUCUCAAUAGUUUGAUUCCAGGAACCAAAUAUGAUCUAAGGUAUGAGUUGAGAUAUGAGCCGGAAAAGUGUAGAUAAAAUGAAGAGUGGAACCUCUCAAUUCUUUCUUCUGACUUGUUCAUUUUGGUUACUAUCAGAUUAAGCGCUCGUAACUUCUUCGAUUUCGCAUCUUCAACUCAUGUUUUUGAAACACUUAAACUUCUUUUUCAGGUUUCAAAUUUUUUAACAACGUUCAUAUAUAACAAGAUCAAAUAAAAGACUGAAAUAACAUAGAUAUUUGGUUCACUAGCAUAUGUAUGCGUACCGUAAUUCUGAACGAAGCCCCAAUUAUUUUUCUAACAACCGGUCCAAACUCCAAAUAGAAAACAUUGAAGCAUGACUCAUCGCUGAGGAAUCAUUUUCAAAAUAGGAAAGAUUCGAACCCGGUCCUAAAUAGUACCUCGGUGGCAAGCACCCAUUGGUUUUGAACCCAAAAUUUGGAUUUGCCGCGCGUUGGGUCAAACUCAAACCCACGAGGACCAACCGCAGCCUCGGACUCUCCCCGAACCACAGCCUCGGCUACUAACCCGCCUCUGUCACGGCCUAGAUAAGACAAAACAAUCAUAUAAUUAAGCAAUCCAAAUCCCUCAUCAAUAACCCUAAUUUCUCGGCCCCAUUGGCUCUAAAAUCGCAGUCCACUCUCAGCCGUCUGAUGAGUCAAUCUCCACCGUUGGUCCAAGACUAUUAGUGCUGUCUGGCUAAAACAGAGUGGUUCAUUUCAGAGGUGUGUGUGUCUGGUCUGUAAGUCAUUUUGGUGAGGACAAGACAAAGAGAUUCCCGAAGUUGGGUUUGGCUCACAAGCUCUCUCCUCAAACUGGGUCUCACUCCAAACCUGGUAAUCUUCUCUCUCUAACUCUCUAGGUCUCUAUCUCUCUGGCUCUGUUCUUUGAUCCCAGAUUGUUCAUGGAGUUUUGUGAAAGAUUGCAACUUGGAUCUGGUUUUGGGUUUCUUUUGAACUUCUGGGAAGGUCUAGUUGCAUGUGGUGGUUAGCAAAUGCUUAGUUUUUUAUUGAAUAGAUUAAAAGUUUCGGACUUUUUCAAGGUUUUAAAGACUAAUAGUUCAUGCAAGAUUCUGGAAAUAUAAUAUUUUGGGUCCAAUUAAAGCUCAAAUUAGCUGAGAAAUGGUGGUUUUUUGGAUUAGUUUUUAAAUUUUGUUUGUUUAUUUUGAAUUAAAGAUGCCAUCUUUAUCAUCCCAGCUUCAAAGUUUGAGUCUUUGGGACUUUUCAGUUCAGAUUUCGUUAAAUUCAUACACCCCAUUUUGAGGCCUCUCUCUCCUCUUCAGUCCCCACUAUAAUUUAUUAGUUGAGGUCGACACAAGUUUGGCAUGAUUCUCUCUCUCUCUCUCUCUCUUCAUAAUAGUAGGUUUGACGUGGAGAAGAGGGAGAUGUAUUAUUUGCGUGAAAAAUUAAAUUUGUGAUAUUGGUAUGCUUCAAUUUUUGAUAUUCUGAAGCUAAAUCCGUCAACUAUUUAUAGUACUUUGAAAGUUACCGUUCUUUAUUAAUAAUCAUAAUUCUUUUAGACUUCAUUUUCUUGGAGACCAUACUAAAUUUAAUGCACAUCUACCGCUUCCACUUGUAGCAGCAAUGGAGAUAAUGGCUUAAACCACUGAAGUUUGGCCCUUCUCUGAUUCAUUUACUGCAUUGAAGCAGCAAGGAAUUGGCCCAGUGUCAGUGAUAUUGCUGUAAUUUAUGAUGUCAAUUCCGGAGAAAUCUAGGCCGAGCUCAUCUGCUUCUUCUUCAUCGUCAGUUUCGGCCAAUGAGUUUGAUCCACUGCUGAAAGAUUUGAAUGAGAAGAAGCAGAGCUUUCGUCGGAACGUGGUGUCGUUGGCGUCGGAGUUGAAGCAGGUUCGGAGCCGGUUAGCUUCUCAAGAGCAAUCAUAUGUGAAGGAAACUCUCACAAGGCAGGCAUGUGUUUUGGGGAUUUUGAAUCUUGAAAUCAAUCAUGAUUCAAAUUGGGUUUUUUUUGUUUGUAGGGUUUGUUUUUAAAGUUUUUAAAGUGAUUUGGGACUUUUGUACAGGUAGUAGAGACAAAAGCUAAAAAUAUGGAAGAGGAGAUUGGUAAAUUGCAGAAGAGAUUGGAACAGAGAAAUCUGCAGCUUGAGGCUUCAACAUCUAAAACUGAGAAGGUCCCCACUCAUAUCCCAGUUGUUUAUAGUUUUUCAUUAGCUUUUUAAUUAGGGUUUAGAUCCUUUAAACUUAGACAUGAUUCAGUCAUUAUGGUUGCUAGCUUUUGUUGUUUGAGUUGGUCUAGUUUAUUGUUUGUUUUCUACUGCUAUCUUGAUGUUUUGAAAUGAUCAAAUGAGCCGCACAUUUCGUACACAUCAUUGAGGAUCCUUUUGACCCUUUCUACAUUGUUCUUGGCGGAGCCCAUAGGAGGAAGGGUGUCCAAGUUUUUGAUGGUUUUCAAUAAUUGGUUACUUUUCUUGUAGCUGACAAUUCAAAUAAUUUUGUUAGUUUUGCCAAGGUAUUGGAGGAUAGUUGGAUAUGGCCCAACUCAUGAAAGUUUGGAACUUUUGGGAAUAGUACCAAACUAAACUUAUUAGGUGUUAAGGAGCUGUCAAUUUUUAGGUUUCCUAACUGUCCAUACAAUAAAACUGAGCACUUCCUCUUACUAGUGAUACUGUGGUGUGAUAAAUCCCAAAUCAGAUAAACAAUGUACUUCCCUCUAUCCGUAUUCGUUUUAAAUGCACUGGAUGUUAAUGAGUUUUGUAUUAAGAGAAGCCAAGCUCAGUCUCAGUUUGCAUAUUACACCUCAUUAUAGAAAGUAGCAUGCAUAAAGGGAUAGAAAACAUCUUUAAAAAUGAGGAGAAAAUCUAUAUUCUUUUUCAAGUAUUUGCUUAUUGGCAUGUAGUUGUAUUAAUAUUAAGAACUAAUAUUAAACUCACCGACAUAAGCAUAUAACUGUUGUCUAUUCCUUUUCUGCUGUUCUCUUAUUGGAAAAUUAUAAGUUGUUGGUAAUCUCUGUUCUUAGGGGUUCAAAGUUCGGAUAUGAUGAAGUCUAGAGCCCACCUUGCCCUUUAAUUUUACCCUUUCUUAUUUAUAUCAGUAAUGAUUUUGUUUCCUUGUAAAAAUCUCUCAUUCAAAUUCAUGACCCUUGCAAAACUCUUAUAGGGUUUUAGCCAAACAUGUGUAAUAAAGAGCACCAUUCUGAUAUGUGCAGAAGGUAAAGAACUUGAGUAAAUUGGAGUUGAAAGCACAGUUGUCAAACAAAGUGAAAAAUAGCAACUGUAGUUAGAAGCUUACUUUGUGUCUAUGGGUUUAGAUUUUUCUGAAUUUGCAUGUCAGCAAUUUUGGCAUUUUGAGGCGUAUUAGAUUAAUUUGUUUACACUGAUGAAUCUGCAACCAUUACCUGAGGGAUGUGAUUGUAUUUGGAUGAUAUCCUUUGUCUAUUGUAUCUAAACAAUUCAAUUAGUUGCAAGUAAAUUGAUUACAAAUCAUAGUUCUGAUUUUUUUGUUAGUUAGGGAUGUGAACCUUAUUGGUUUACAAAUUUCCUGAUUGUAAUCUUUUACAAUUGAAUGCAGUGCCUCACAGAGUUGGAUGGUCUGAGGUCACAACUUGCAGCAACUCAAGAAACUGCAGAUACUUGUGCUGCAUCAGCUCAAUCGGCAAAGCUUCAAUGUCUGGCACUUGUAAAGGAAUUAGAUCAAAAGAAUUGUUCCUUGAAAGAGCAAGAUGAACGUAUAAUUAGGCUAGGAGAACAAUUAGACAAACUACAGAAGGAUCUUCAGGCAAGAGAGUCUUCGCAAAAGCAACUGAAAGAUGACGUUCUGAGAAUUGAGCAGGACAUUAUGCAAGCUGUUGCACAAGCAGGGGUUAAUAAGGAUUGUGAGCUGAGGAAAAUAUUAGAUGAGGUUUCUCCAAAGAAUAUCGAGAAGCUUAAUAAUCUUUUAGUUAUAAAGGAUGAAGAAAUAGGAAAGCUGAAAGAUGAAAUCAGGAUAAUGUCUGCUCACUGGACGCUCAAGACAAAAGAGUUAGAAUCACAGGUAACUGCAUCUGUUUCAUUAUCACUUAUUCCAAUACUUUGUUUACUUUUGUUUCCCCAUAAUGUCUUUAUUAAAAGUUUAACGAUGAGCUUCAACUUUGUUUUUUUUUGGAACAGUUGGAGAGACAACGGCGAGCUGAUCAGGAACUCAAAAAGAGGGUAUUGAAAUUGGAGUUCUGCCUUCAGGAAGCUCGUGCUCAAACAAGAAAGCUUCAAAGGGUAAGUAUAUUUUUUUUUAUUUUGAUCGAGUGAUUUUUUCUUUUCAAGUACAAAUAAGAUCUUCACUUGCCUGCUUUUAUUGGGUUUGCAAUUAAACUAAAAUCUUGUGCAUGAAAAUGGUCAAGCUUUAUGCCUUAAUAUGGAACUAGCAUGAGUAUGAACUUCUAGUUCUGCUGUUCUCCCAGAUACAUAGUUGCUUCUAUAUAUAAUAUAUAUUAAAUCUAGAACUAUUAUUCACUGUGCCAGAUGGGUGAGCGAAGAGACAAAGCUCUGAAAGAGCUCAAAGACCAGUUACAACAACAGGGUGGGGCUGGUGCUUCACCUGCGGAAAGACCAAACUUUUGGGAAACCUCUGGUUUCAAAAUUGUGGUUUCCAUGUCCAUGUUCAUCUUAGUUGUCUUCUCAAAGCGAUGAAGUAGUUGCUGUGAAACUACUCUGUAUAAAAAGUAUGAAUCCUUAGCUUUUAGACUUUUAGUCGAGGAAUUAGUAAUAGCUGCAGAGGGCAUUUUGCUUGUAGACAUGCAUAUGCACAUUGUAGAGCUCCUCCUUGUGUAUCAGUAGCAGAGACAUUUGUUUUUUUUUUUUUUACCCUUCAAACCACAUUGUUAGUGUGGAUGUUGAAUCUGUGUAUGGGAAUUGUGGCCAGUAUGUUCUACUCUGCAUCACAGUAGUAAGUUUCAUGUUAAUGGAUGAUUAGGGCCGCAUCAGAGUCACUAAAUUGUUUAGUAAAUGCAUAUUGCUUCAACAUGUCAUACUUAGAUUUGCUCUGUUCUUGGCAAUUCAUAGAAAUUGAAUGGUCAUCACUAUUAAUGCGCUGUUAAUACAUUUCUGAAGCAAUAUAAACUUCAGAUCUACUACCCUGACCUCAUAGAUAGAACUACAAUACUCUGAACCAAAAGAUGUACAAACUGACAAAACUCUAUAACACCUCUCAACCCCCACGAGUAACAUUGUAGUUUCAUACUUCCAUAGCAGCCCUACUUAGAUGUAGAAGAGUUUACCUUCAUCUAGAACAUGCUUCCUCCACUUUCUUCUCUUGCUUGCAUACGUAGUUAUUUACACAGCUAGAAGUAACCUCACACGGAGAUGAGAUUAUACUUCUACAUGUUAAGAAGGAUUUUUUUAGUAACCAAGGCUGUUACCAAAAAGAUGUAACUAACAAAGGGCCGCAAGCAAGCUGCAGAGGAUGUUGAGCUGUUAAAACCAGGAGGGCUGUCCAUCCCAAACUGUGGCAUGGUUCCUGAAGAUGCUGGGUUGCUUGAAUUUAAAACUGAAGGUGGAGUAGCAGAGCUGCAAGUAGAGAUGAAAAUAAGAAGUGAUAUAUGGACUGGUCAAUAUAUUUUAGAGCUCUAAAACUUGUGAGAUAAAAUACUUACCCCGAUACACCUUCCCCUGGUGGUGGAAAUGAUGUAAAUGUUGGUGCUGGAGGUGUUGUUGAUGCUGGUAGUGGAGUUGUUGGUUCUGGAGUUGGAGUUGUUGAUACUGGAGGAAAUGGAGUUGUUGAUACUGGAGGAGAUGGAGUUGUUGGUGUUGGGGUUGGGGUUGUUGUUGAUGACGACGAAGAUGAUAGGUAAGUACAUGAACCAGAGCCUGUUCAAAGGAUUCACGAGGGUCUCAGAUGCAUAUGGUUUUCAUAGUAGCAAGGUUUAGACACAUAUGUAGCAUGUUACAUUCGGAAUAAAAAUUGCAGGGUAAAUAGUCAAUGAUUGCCCAAAAUUGAACCUCUUGAACACAUUUAACCAAUUAAUUCAAAAUUAUAGAACUAUAAUCACUCAAGCAAGUUCACAAAGUUGAUUAAAAGUCCUUAAAAGGGUCGGAAUUUGGCCUAUUUUUGUAAAUUUCCUGCAGAAGUGUCUAGCAAGAGAACGUUUCCCUAUUGUUAAGUGUGUGUUUAAACUAGCACAUAUGAAAUUAUAAUAAUAAAAACUGAUUAACGAAAUAAAUGUCAUACUUGGAUUAGUAGCAACUAUUGUGGCCACCCCUCCAAAAUCACAGCUAGUUGCAACCGGAUUCUUCUGAUAAUAGCUGUUGAAUGCAUAAGAUGCAUGGUUUUGGAGAGUAUUUGGAUUGAAACAACUCCCACCUUGUUGGAGCUGUGAACAGUCUACCUUUCCACAAGCAUAGUCUAAACCAGCUUGAACUGCUGUUUGUGAAGCUCCAGUCUUGGCCACACACCAACUCUGGCCUGGAACUGCAGGAGCAUUAGUACUUGUUGCAGGAGGUGCCACUGGAUUUGUGACAGGUGUCGUGACAGGAACGACUCCAGUUGGUGCCGGGUAAGUUGUGACAGGGUUGGUUAUUACUGGAGUCCCUGGGACUGUGAUGGGGGGUGCUGUGGUUGGAUUGGCUUCUGGUAUUGGUGAAUAUACAGGGUUUGUGGAGGGCACUGUAAUAGGUGUGGUGGAGGGCAUAGGAUUAAGUGGGGCUAUUGUUACAGGGUUUGUAGAGGGGACAGUGACAAUAGUUGGUGUGGGAAUGUAUGGAGUGGUGGAUACUGGUGGUGUUGUGGAAAUGGGAGUUGUAGGGAAGAUUGUUGGUGAGUCAUCUGCUUCAUGUAAAGUUGUUUUGAGGUGGAAAUUCCUCAAGAGUUCUCGGCGAGAAGAAGGAAAGAGCUGUUCUUCUGCUCUUUUCAUUUCUUUCUCUGCAAAAUCUUCCAUUGGAGAUACUUGUGCAUACAGCCCAACUAUGCUACUUAAAAUGUGAGUGGUAUUUUCUAAAGCUUUGGAAACCUCAUCGGCGAAUGCAGCUACUUCAGUUGCACUUGGAACUGCUGGACUCUUGACUGUCAAGACAAUGGGGACAUCAUUGCAAGGAAAAAGAGAGCUUGCAAGGCUGGCUCUUUUGAUCAUCGCAUGGACAUACCUUUCACCCAUACUCAGUUCUCCAUCAAUUUUGGCUUCUACAAUGACAGCAGAUUUCACUUGUUUGAUGUAGUCACAAAUCCUAUGCAGGUCUCUUCUAUGUGAGGUGCUCACAUUUUCUAAAUAUGACAACGGAAAUGCCACCGAGACCUUAAUUCCACGGUCAGCAGGGAAACUAGAGAGGACUGAGUGUAUAGAUUUCAGGGUGGUUAAAAGCAUAGAGAGAGCAUACUUUCUUGUAUAGUCACCACUAGUUGCUACGAUGCUUUUGAUCUUUACUUGUGAGAGAAAGGGCAUUAUAUAGGAUUUCAGCCCUGAGAUUGAAGUGGAUCUGGAAUUUAUGAUAUUUUGAAGAUGGCCCUCAUUCAAGUAGAGAUCAAUAGCUACACCAGUGUUAGAUAUAGUUCUUAAAAUCCUAUGAUCUUCAACAAAGACUCGAAUCUGGGACGGGGCAAUCUUGUUUCGCUUCAGAAAUGAUAUUGUUCUACUUGGUGAUGAAGUUGUAGUGUUUCCAUUAGCAUGGUAGGAGAAACCUACCAGAGUUCCUGUAAGGAGUGCAAAGAAAAAAGGAACAAAAAAAAUGCAGAAACUUCAAACUCUUAAACUGGUAGUUUUAGCAGUGACUAGUUCUAACCCAAUUGUAGUGAUUUGGUGUGAUAGUAAUAUAAUGAUCAUGGUUUCAGAAAAAGUAAACAUAAUGUAGAACUAAGAAAUAUUUGUUACUUACCUGAUGAACUAUUACAGAGGAAAGACAAAAAGAAUAAGAAGAGGCAUUUAGAAGCUGAUUUGGCCAUUGUUGUGUGAGGGGCUGCUGUGAUUCUAUGUAGAGACCCAGUUGGGAUGUUUAUUCAUAUAAUGGUUGUGAUUUGAAAACCUUGCACAUCGAGUUGGAGUGAAUAUAAACUCCUAGAGAUGCUGAGGAUCAAAGUGUUAAAGGUAAUGGAAGAAAAGGGUAGGCAAAAGUGUUAAAAAGAAAGGUGACUAGUUGCAAUGAUAAAGAAAAUAAGUUUACUUUGUCAUGAAGGAUUUGGAGAAUGGAGACCAUCUGUCUGUAAAACUAGAAGAAAGAAUCAACAAUGCUUUUAUGCUUCUUUUUCUUUCCCAAAGAGAUAUAAGCUCAGGAUAUAAAGUGCCCUUAAAUAGUGGCUAAACAGAUGCACAUGAAUGUAAAACAGACAUGCCCACUACAAGUAAUUCAAAAAAUUUCUGCAUUUCUUUUUGUGGCUGAACAAGAUCAUCUUAAGAUUGGAAUCCCCAGGCAAUAACAAAUGCAUAUACAAGAUGAGUCAUCAGCAUCAAAAACAGCUAGCCUCUGAAUAAAGGACUGCUAAAAAGAAUGGAAUUUGGUUGGACCAUGCUAAAGGACGCACAAGAAAGUCUAGCUAUUUUGCUUAGAUCAGCUAAUCUCAUAUAUAACCAAAAUUUAAUGAACAAAUCACUACAACUAAACUAAAAGGUGAAGAAAAGGUAGUGGAAAGAAGUAUUCCUGAGAUUAGGCAGAUUUUCACUUUCAGGGUUUGUCACUUCCUUCUUGGAUAAGGGUUUGGCCAUGUGAUCAGAUUGUUGCUCAGUAAUCCUAGUAGUGGAAAUGGAAAUGGAAAUGGAAAUGGAGCAUAGUUUUAUUCUACACUGGACCAUGGAUCUAGUAUAGAGUAUGUUAUUAGCGGCCACUCUGCUUGUGAUGCUCUUCAUUCAUUACGAACCUCUUUGUUUUCUUUAUUGAUAAGUAAAAGUCAUCAAGAAUAUGCAGGGUACCAAAUGCUUGAUAAUGACACAAGAAUGCAGUGGAUUGAUGUCUAUGCUGGUCUUGAGCAUCAGUACUCUCCUCCCUCCUGUGAAAUCAACCGUCAACCGGUUAUACUUUUCGACUAUAUUGAUGUUCUAGUUCAUGUGCUGCCAAAUGCCAAUGCAUUUUCAGUAGCAACAGUGUUUAAAAGUAACCACAAGUACAACCACACUAAGUGUAUGAUGUUCCUGCAUCUGCUUAUUACCACUUGAACCAAUAAAUACCAUUGGAGCCAUCUUCUUUAUGGGAUUGAAGAUAGAAUAUACAAGAGCUAGGGACAACCCAUGUGGAUUAAUCUAUUGUGCUUCUUAGCAUUGCAUUCAAAUUGCAAAGUAGUGAAUCAAAAGCAGCUUGUCUGACCAAGUCUUUAGCCGAAAGCAAAGUAACACAGCCACACCAGUGAUAAGCUUGAUGGGAUAUAAUACGAAUUUGGAAAAGUGACUUCGCAUGAAUUUAAGGGGGAAAGGAGAGUGACAUAGCUAAGAGAUGAGCAGAUUUCAAUAUAUACAAAAGAGAUCGGUCAUCUACUUAUCUUAUCUAUGCAUUUUUUAUACUCUGAACAGUAAAUUGUCAUUUUGGAUUUCAGUAUCGGGAGGUUUCAGUAAAGGUCCAUUUGAUUCUCACAAAAAAAAAUCUAUUUGGGUUGAUUUCAAUGUGGUCUGUCCACAAUUUUUACAACAUCUCAUGCGGGACAGAAGAUAGGUUAGACAUUGGAAAUCAAUCUGAGCAUUGGGGUGUGCCAAGAAACCCCAAAAUUUAUAUAUGGUAACGUUUAAGAGCUGUUUCCAAAGAUUAUAUAUACACAACUACAAGAGUCAGUGACAUCCGGUUAACUAGAAUCUAAGCUUAGAUUAUCCUACCAAGUCCUAGAUAUGAUCAAUACGCAAAAGUUCUGAUUUUGAAACUUGUACAAUACAAUGUUCUCCCUCUAUUAGAAGUCAGGUAUCAAUCAACAAACAGAUCGCUGAAAGAAGGAUCAAAGAGUGCUUCUCUUGCUGACUGAUAUUGAUUAAGCCGUUUCUUCAACGAGCGCAAAUCUCUUUCAUCCUUUGAAGUACGAUCCUAGUACAGAAUUGAUAAGUUAAACGUCAGUCAUUGUCAUCUUACUGUCAAUCUUCAAAUACAUAAAAGACAUAUUCAGAAACCAAUUCUCAUUCUGACCCAGAUCGUGAUGGUGGUAAUAUGUAAUAAAGACAACAGUAAAGUGAGAGAAAUUAUGAGCCUAGCACAAACAGCUCAAUGAAUAAUCUACUAGUAAACACGGUGAUAGAUAUCCAUUGAAGGAACCAUGACUGCAGCUUAGCUUGCAUUGUAGCAUUUGUAAACUUCCAACAUGCUUAAUAAGUAGUUUGGUUAAAAGCGAUACUUACAAAUGAUUUGUUUAGGAGUAAUAUGUCCACCAAGUACACCAGCCACAACACAUUUGUUCUAGGGAAGCUGUAAAAUAUGAAAUGACAACGAUGAUGGAACCAAAUACGAAUAAAGCUUCAGCACAAAAGUUUGCUGGACUUUAAUUUAUAGGGAAUUUUUGAAAGGUUUCAAUCUUUAUAAGAAGAUAUACCCAAAGGGGAAGCCAAAGUACACUCUGAAGUUUGAUUUUAAUUAACACGACCCCGUGCAACUAAUUAUUAUAUUUGAGAAAAUGAAUUAUACCUUUCCUUCCACUGGUCUUGUGUCACCUUCUUCAUUUUCCGGUAAGUUUCUGCCUAUAAUUUUUUUUACUAUCAGUUAUGUCAUAUAACAAAGAUAUAAAAGUUUGGUAGUAAAAGUUCAGUUUUAGUUCCAUUGAAUCCAAACAAAAAAACAAAAAAGUUCCGUACUUGUAUAUCUCCUUUCUGACCGUUAAAAAGCGCCGGAUCUGAAGAUAGGUCUAGAAAGAGUAUGGCUUCGCCUGUGUUAUCAAGAUUGUUAAGCAUGCUACGCCAACAAUAAAUGUAACCAUUACCAUAGCGAACACAUUACAAAAGAAACUUGAAAAAGUACUCACCGGUAUUGAUUCUCGACAGAGUGAAAUCAAUGAUUGAUAUUGCUAGCCCAAAUGUGCGUAUAAGCAUCUGCCUUCCAUCAAGAGUGAACUGCAUUGUAACUGAAUCACUCCUACUCAAAAGUAUGUUUCCCCUGUAACAAAAGCAUAUCACCAACUGACAAUCAUCGAUUCACAUGUUACUACUACAAACAGGAAAAAAUAUAUAUAUAAUAAUAAUAAUAAUACCAGUGGAGAUCACGGUGCUCAAAUUCAUAUGCCGCUUCAGCUACAGCAAGUGCAGUAGUAACCUAGAAUGACAGUACACUCAUUUAUUACAAAUAAGGCUGCAGGAAUCACCUCAAGAAUGCUGUUUCAAAACAUGACUAACCUGUACUAAUAAACUCCUUGCCUCAUCACAGUUCAGAAGUACAAAGUUUUCGAGAUCUUGGCCACCAUGCUCUAAAACAAAUAUGACAUAGAACUGUAUGCAAAAUUGACAAUUAUGUUAACUGACAUUAUACCUACUGUACGAAAUAACUCAUCCAUGCUUGAUAAAAUCACCAAACGUUACAGAAGCUUACAAACAACACGAAGUUCAUAUACCAACCAGAAUGAGUUAUUAUGAGUUUUAAUUAGAUUGAACAAAAUAGAACGAAACCUGGUUCUCUGGAAAUUCCCUAGGGUGAGUAUUUUCUGAAACAUGAUUUUCAUCCCAAUCUUCCCAUGCUUUGAUCAAGGCAGCGUCAUAACAGCCUUGACACACCCUCAAGCUACAGCAGAAACAUAUCACAGGAAGAAGACAGAUGAAAAUCUUGCAACUGAUUACAAACUAUAUAAUGAGGAUGCUAGACUUUAAAGUAAUUAUAGACUUUAAAGUAAUUACAUACUCUUUUGUUUCUAUAAAUGUUGUGCAUACAUUCUGAACAUUAUCAUUGUUUCCUCUCAAGUAAUUAAGAGUGCGGGAAAGCACCACCUCCUCUAGCAAUUCUUCAGAUGUCUGACACACAAUAGACCAUAUCACAUCAUCCAAAAAUCAGUAAGCCCCAAUACUAAAAGACAAGGGGUUCUAGUAAGUACCUUUUGCUUUUCCUGAUUCACUAGUAAUUUGCCAUCGAUAGGAACUAUUUUGCAAACAAAGUUGCCAGCCUUGAAAGCUUCUCCAUAUGUCCCUUCUCCAACUUUUUCAAUAUCUUCCAGGUCACUGUUUCAAGAAAUAUUCAUCCUUGAUAAGCUUAUGGAAACAAGAUCUAUCUUUGGAUGGUAUUGCAACAAAAAGGAAAUCCAAGUUGUAAAAAAAAACUGAGACAGAAACAUUAGUGAUGUAGAGAACAAAUAUAUAAGGAACAGACCAAUAUUUGGAGAAUACAUCCUGUAAUUUUGAGGGAGAUGACUGCUCACAAACUUCUAAUAGAGCAUUAAAUCGAUCCAACUCCUCAGAAGUUGAUAACAAAGAGAGUUCUUUUACAGCAGCAUCUAUAUCUUCAUAAUGUUCUUUUACAGCAGCGUCUAUAUCCAAACCUUCAUUGCCCACCUCUGGAAGUGAUUUAGUGGUGUUCAUUUCAUGCACACUUCUAUCGAGCAAACUUAAGUCGAAUUUAAUUAGGCCAGAAGACAAGCGAGAAUUUACUUUAGAUGAUCUUUCUGGGGUUUUCACACUUGAAGAUUCAAAAUUGAUACCACUACUGGGUGAGGGCCGCAUGCCUGGAGUUCGUAGGAUCCUCGCCAAUGUGUUGGAAGACCCUAAACCAAAAUUCAACUUCUUGGAUAACAACCAUUUCUCUAAUGCUGUGCACAACUUGGGUAUUUCAACAUUUUCUUUUGGGAUACCAGCGACCCAUGUGCGGGGUAUGGGAGAGGGGCUCUCCUCUAUCAAUUCUUCUUCAUCAACCUUCUCAAAGUAAGCUCGUUCCUUUUCAAAGUUGUACUUACUCUGGAAAUUUUAACAACAGCGGAAAACAAGCCAAAGUACAAUGCUUUCAGAUACAAAAACAAUACACAGACGACACUUCAAACUUUAAGGGAACAUGCAUUUGAGGCAAUAAGUUAAUAAGAACAUGCAAAAAGGAAAAUGCAAGUUUCUUUCUAGAGUAAUAGUGUCUCACUUGGGGACGAGGAGGUCUUCCUUUCCUUUUAGCCUUCUUCUGUGGAGGCUGAUACUCGAAGCAAGCACCAACAGCAAUACUUGUCCUCCCUCUAUUAAGCACCAAAGUUAAUCGAAACUCGGGUCACAAUGUAUAUAUAACAUUUAAGCAAUACUUGCGAAACCAACUAACUAAUCAAGCUUAAACCAUAAACCCAAAGAACCACAAUAUCUGCAAGACUAAUCAAACAUUAACCAAAUUCCACAGCACUAAUCAAACUCAUAUCACAACACCCAGAAAGGAAAAACCAAAGAAAUCACAGUAAGAACAAAGAACACUAUCAUAAAACCCAAUUCCAAUUUCAUUACUAAUCCCAAAAGCUAACCUUGUGGAAAGAAAACGGUUCCAACUGAUUCGCUUAACCGGAGCAGCCAAACUCACCCUGAACUUCUCUCUUCUACUCGAAUUCGAUUCCCUUCUGAAAUCAACAAACAUAAAAAAAAAACCCAUCAACAUUUUUCAAAAACCCAAAAACACCAACUAAAAAAGAUUGAAACUUUGAACAUACAAGGGCUGUUCAAGUGAAGUGGGCUUUCUGGGUUUUCUUCUCCGGUAAACCUCCUCAACUGGGUGUUCUUGAUCUGUGAUUUCACCGCCUGAAAUGUAAUUAGAAAUUAAAAUUGGGCAAAAUUAGGGGAAGAAAAUUGAGGGGCUAGUGUGAGCAGUACCUGAGUUGGAGUACAUUGUAGAUGGUGAAUUAGUGAGAAAUGGGUUCGAAUUAUGUAUCGGGAAGAGUGAAAGCUUGUUUGUUACGAUCAGUCGAAUACCGAAACCCUAAACCCAAUUUUGGGGUUUCGUUUUUAUAGCAGCGCAAGAGUGCGCGGGAAAUUCUGUGCUGUCAAAACCAGUUCAACGUAUGUGUGGGAUGAGAUGGUAAUGCGAACACGAGUAUAAUGUUCGCGUCAGAUCGGGUCGCGUCGGGUCGGUCAGGUCCAACAAUGUAAACGGAUCGACCCGGCUAAUUCGCCGGUUCUUUUUCGGUUAAAUUUUGUUUAGUAGCUAUGGCUUCGUUCUCGUUUCAGCCCAUGUCCUUCUAAUGUAAUUUAAAAGGUCCCAGAAGUCACAUUUUGUCCCAAAAUGUCGAUUUGUUUCCUCUGAUAGUCUCAUGAUGUGGCAGUUAAAGACUCACCGGCUCAACUUAGCUUGUAGUUUGGUCAAUGCACAAAAAUUUUUAGUGACUAUGACACUGAGCUGACAAGUCUUUAAAUGCAACAUCAUCAGGCAAGGGAGGAUAUGGACAUAUGGACCUUCCAGGACUAUAAGUGUGACUUCAAAGCUACGUUGCAUGGAAUCGGAAGAGGAAACGUGGAAGCGCGGUAGCGUUUUUUUUUUAAAUUUUGUUAGAAGCGUCGGAAUAAAAUAAUAUAUAUAUAUAUAUGAAUAUACAAAAAUAAAUAAAUAGCAAAUUCAAAGUCAUUGUCAAAUUCGUAGCAAUUCAAAGUUAUUGUUUUACAAUCAAAUAACUCAAACAAAAAUAAUCACUAGUCUACUUAAUCAACAAAGACAUUAUCCUUAUUCUCAUGAACAUGAUCAAACAAAACAGCCUCCAACGAUGGUUCAUCAAGAGAAAGAUCCUCAAACUCGAGCCUCCUAAGAUUAGUUUCAUCUAAUGAAUCAAAUUGAUCACCUCUAACAUCCCACAUUUGAGUCGGACCUUGUUUGUAAGAGUCGCUACUUCUAGAUAAAAGGCGAAGAUUGGUAUGUACAAAUACCAAAUCUUCCGCUCUUUGUGGAGUAAUCUUGUUUCUUAUUGCGGAAUGUAUAAACUUAUAAGUACUCUAAUUCCUUUCGCAACAUGAGGAUGAAGAUGGUUGCCCAAGCAACUUGAAUGCUAAGGCUUGAAGCCUUGGUGCUAAAGCUCCAUGAACUGCCCACCAUUUCAAAGGGUGUAGGAUGGACCUAUCAUGCAUUGCAUCAACAUUACAAAAAUCAUCCAUACAUAAGAAAAAAUUGGACUACUCCACAUUAACGUCUCUCCGCUGAUCUGCAUCAUCAUAAUACUUCAAAAUGCAAUUUUUUCUUUCUCUAGUAAUAUCAAUAUCUUGAUGAGGAGCUUUUCGGGUACUAUCUUCUGCAAGUCAUUCCGGACUGUAAUACCUAAAUAAAUAACAUGACAAAAUCAUUGAUAAUCCAUAUAUCAUAUUGAAAAGUAACGAAAAUAUAAGUUUGCUGUAAAUAUUCAUUUGCUUUCAAUGCUCAAAUAUAAGUUAUCAACUCCAUAUAUAUUACUAAUGAAUUUGCAUGUCCAGCAACAAUAUAUGUAAUAUGAAAUUGAUGAACAUUCACAUAUCACUAGACAUUCCAUAUUACUAAUGCAGUAACUUUAUAUUAUUAAUGAUUUCAAUCCACAUAUCAACUCAAUAUUCAACACAUUCACAUGUCUAGUAAAAUUAGCUUAUAACAUUCACAUGGGAAAACUAUAAUCAAUUCCAUAGGAAAACUUACUUGGGAUUUAAUGAAUGUGCCAUACAAUGUAGGGGUGUGCUACUCUUGCUCCAACGAGACAUCAAUACCUUAUGCACGGCAUUCCAAAAGCUUGAAUCCUUAUGUAGUUGUUUCCUUUCUUUCCUAUAUAUAGCUUUCUUCACAUUCUGAAUCAUAUCUUUCCACCAUUCAUACGCUAAAUGAAGAGACGGCUUAUCGGUGUCUGAACGUCUAAUCAUACUAUAUAUAGACUCAAUGAAAGAUAAAACAUAAUCAACCUCAUCCCAAAACAUCUCAUCCAAUAUCUUCUAUUUCACUGCAGCAGUCUUUCUCAUAUCAUCUUCUUUGUAAUCAUCUCAUUUAUUACUGAUUACCAUUUGUUGCAAACCAGAUUUUAUUUUCUUAAAUCUCUUGAACAUCACAAGUGUGGAGGCAAACCUGGUUAAAGCAACUGUAAGGAGCUUAAGGUCGCAGUGCUCAGUAAACAUCACCAACCUCAUCCCAUGGUUCAUUAUGAAAUUCUUGAUGAAUGAAAUAUCAUCCGCAAGAGGCCCUAUCCAUUUACAAGCAUCAUACACAUCAUCAUUAUUUCUUAUAUGCAGCGAAAGUGCACAUAUAUUCUUCACAGCAAGGUUCAAGGUAUGAUACUACACAUGGUGUCCGGAAGAUAGUAGGAUACUUGGCUGAAAUAAGUGCACCGGCCUUCACACAAUUAGAAUCAUUGUCGGUGAUUAUUUGAACCACAUUUUCAUGACCAACCUCCUUUAUGCAUUCUAUAAUUAACUCAGCAAUCAUCUCACCACUUUUCACUUCACUUGACUAUUUACUACUCUCAACAUCAUCAGACCAUUCGUAUUUGCAGCAAUCAAGUUAAUGAUGGGUCUCCUUUGCGGAUCAGACCAACCGUCACUACAUAUACUCGCCCUUUAGCUUUCCAUGAGUCCUUGAUCGGUUGUAAAUAAAGUUCAAUGUUCUUCCUUUCCUUUUGAAGAAGUGUAGUCCUCAAUGCAUUGUAACCGAGUGGAACAUAUCCUGGAAUGUUGGAAGCACACACAUACGACCUACGGUAAUGAGGAUUUCUUGCAAGGUUGAAAGACAAGCCACCUGUGUAAAACAUUCUAGCUAUCUCACCAUCACAUUGCUCCCUAGAAUUAUUUUGAAAUGCUUUUUCCAAAGCCGUACCCAUUCCCUUCCUCUUCUUUGGGUCACUUCACUUGAUGUUGGAUUACUACAAGUAAAACUCAUAUCAUAAUCAAGUGAAGAAGUUGUUGCAUUCCUCGAUGAUGAAGGCAAUGGAACUGAUUUUGGGGCUGCAGUUUUAACUCUUUCUAUGCAAUCAUUCAGUAACUUGCUCAUAUUAGCUAGUUGUUGAGGAGUGACCUUCGGGCAAGCUUUGACACCUUUUCCACCAUCUUUCAACAAAUGUGAAACAACUCUAUUAUGAGCUCCAACAUAUUUGGUGUUGCAAAAUUUACAUUCAAACCUCCAAGAUCCUCCCUCAGGCAUCUUUUCAAUCUUAUUUGUAAAAAUCCACAAAGGAGCUUUGUCAUCCACAUCACCGGGUUCAACCGGAAGUGACCUGGCAUUAACACUUGCAGCAGAACCAGAACCAAUACUACUUGGUGUCUGACUCAUAUUCCUAAAGAAAAAAAAAUUAACAUCAAUAAUUUGAUCAACAGACCUUGAGCUUAAGCUAGCAAUGUAUAAUUACAAAAAGUGAGACACAGAAACACUUCGGAAGUUCAUAACAUCCGGCUGAAGCUAUGUCUUUUAAAUGAAAGUCUUAAGAAGUUUCUACUUUCAAGUUAACAGUGUUCCUAGAGGCUUGAGUUAUGGAUUUAGCUAUAGGUCUUACAUUCAAACCCUUCAUGAGCAGACGUUCCCUCACCACUAGAGAGUCUAUUCAUGAAAGUUAAUCUAAAUUGGGAGAUUGCAGGUAUCUAAUUAGGAUCCUCCGUCAUCAUAUCAAUAAGUAGGUUUAUCAUCAUUCCAACAACUUAUGUAAUCAACAUCAUAAGUAGGAAAACUCAAUCAUGUUUACCAAGACACACAGAGCAAGCAUAGUCUAUUCUAGUCUUCUAGACAUUCACAAUCUUAUCGAAGUAGUUAUACCCUGAAAAUUCAUAAUGUAAACAACAACCUAGAGUAGAGCAUGUUUCAGAGGAGCUAGACACUUCGAACUUACAAAUUCACCCCUCCAAUGUAUUAAUGUGAUAUCAAAGCAUGGGCAAGGUCCGUACCUUCACUUUGCUUUUAGUUACUCUUUUGCCUAUUUAGCUAGCCUUCUAGAGUUCUAGCAUGCCCAUAACCCAGCCAUUCUUACUACUGCAAAUCUGCAAUACAUGAAACACAAACCCUUUGUUUUAUCUAUCUAUUUGUUCGAUUAAAUUACCUUACACAAAUCUACAAUACAUGAAAUCGAAGAAGAAUUAAAGAGAGAAACACAAACCUAUAAAUGGAGUUGACUUGGUGGAGAGGUCUAGAUGAAGAGGCGGAUUGAAGGAAGGAAGGUGAAAAUGCGACUAAUCCCGACUAUGGGAGAUUUUGGCCUAAGAGGAUAUGCAGAACGAGAUGUUGGUUGUGCAGAAUGAGACUUUGAAGUUAGAGGCAAAGUGGAUUUAGGUUUUAAUCAAAAUGACUAAUUUACCCGCGCUUCCUAAACCCUUAGUGGCGCUUCCAAACUUUGGAAGCAAGUGCGCUUCCGUAACACUUCCAAAACACCUUUUUUUUUCUGAAUCGCGCUUCCGAGCGCUUCCAACGCGCUUCCACUUCGCUUCGGAAGCGGAAACGCGUGUGGCCCGAUGCUUCCGUGCUUCCUAGCUUCAAAGACCUUUUAAUUUGGUUAAAUUAGAAACACAAUGACUGAAAUGAGAACGAUGUCAUAAUACAUAAACUAAACAACGCUUCUUCUUUUCAGUACAAACGAGAAUACCUCGUUGAUUUCGGCCUAAAGUAUUACAAAAGAACAUGCCACAUCGUCGCCUAUAGAUAACCCCCCACCACACAUAUCAUUGUUCUCCUAAAAACCUAGCCCCCUACUUGACAAGGAGUAAGAAAUAGAGCAACACUCAAAAGUCAUAAGCUAUCUACCAAGACCAAAAUCUAUUCAUUUUAUUUGGUAUGAUACACCAAAUAUGAAGAAUUAGACCGAAACUUAAAUCAUGAAAGUCAAAAUUAAAAGCUAACGGGACAUACCAACUAUCAACUAUAGUUGAAUGACCAAGAUAGGAAAUACAUUAGUAAGAAACUAUGCUUCAUGCACGCCAAAUAUGUCAAAAUUUAACAUAAUCCAAUUGUGAAGUCUAAAAGUCAAAUGUCAGAGACAAUAUUCUUGAUUCUCUAAGGGGUAUAUGUUUUUUUUUCUAAUGCCAUCGUAGAGUGUACAUCUCUUAGAAUCACCUUCAACAAUAAGAGACCUAUGGUCAUGUAAGAUGUACAACAACUUAGAGUCUAGCCCUUAGAGCACUUGUUUAGAAUUAGGCACGCAACCAUCGAAGUUAAGUUUGAUGAUAAAUUUAGAAAAUAAUUAUCCAAAUUUUUGGUGUGAAAUUAAUUAUGAAAACCUCUUUUUCUUAAUCAUUUUCACUCUUAAACAAUGGUUAGUCGUUUUCUAAAUUUCUCAAGUUUGAUUGAGAUAGGAGGAGGACAGGAGGUUGUCAUUUAAUCUCUUGUAAACUAACCAUAUAUUUAUGAACUAGUAUAAAUUACUAAUUGGAGCUUCUUAUUUUUAUCGAGAUCACAUGGUUUUUUCAAAGAUUUUCUAAGCUCAUAAACUAAUUUGUGUUGGGGGAUAAUGUCAAAAUGUUUUUUCUCCCUGACUACCAUAUAUGAGAUUUAACUCAUCAAAAAAUGUAAUACUUUUCCUAAUGUUUGAUUAGGUUUGAAUAGGCCACUAAAUGAUCAUUCAUGUAAAAUUACUCAUAAAAAAAUGUAAUACUUUUCCUAAUGUUUGAUUAGGUUUGAAUAGGCCACUAAAUGAUCAUUCAUGUAAAAUUACUUUCAAAGAUAGCAAGAACACCCGUCCGAGUACGGUGGGGUGUAUCUAUUUGCGUCUGAAUUUGUAUAGAACAACAUCAUCAAUAUUGAUAAUUGAUAACCACCCUCAAUCAUUUGCUGAUUAGAUGAAGGACUGAAUUAACCACUCAAUAACAAUACGUUCAGUCACUAACAAUAUCUACAAUGCAUCCAACUUGUAAAAGCCAAGAUCGAUCAAUAAUUUCACUCUUUUUAGUACGUCCCAUCUCAAAUAAGCUCCUAUAAUAUAUCAAAUCUCACCCUAAUCAAAGGGAUCCUUAGAAAUUGACAAUUAGACAUAACACAACCAGCCCACCUCAAUUUUUGGGGAAACAAAAGUUAGUAAAAUGUAGAAUUACCAAAUCCUAGUUCCGUCCCUAAUUAUAAGUGUCCAUAUCAUAUAUAUUCAUAGUCUUGAAGAAUCCAAGUUCAUAUAUGGAUGAUAUGCUAAAAUAAUGUUACUUUACAUUACAGUCUUGAGGAAUCCAAGUUCCCGUAACAUGUUCACAUGUGGUGUACCAGGUAACAAUAAAGUUUUAAUAUUCGAAAUUGAUCCUAAUUUGCAAGUUAUUAUACAAUAAUACAUUGACAAUUGAUUAAUUAUUAACCUUCGACUUCAUGGGAUGCAGACGAUAUCUUUCAAAUCAGUUUUGUUAAGGUUUCUCUAUCAAAGUAUAUGGAGUCUGCAGACUAACCGACCUGUAUUUAGUGCUAGCUGUUUGUUUGUAAAUUAACACUUAAUUAAUUGUGAAUCAUCAUAGCUCUCUCUUUCCCAACUUGUUCUUAAUGUGCUCUAUCUUAGUUUUCUCCAUUUAUUUGUCAUGUUUGAUGGAUAUGAUGAUCCGUAUGUAGUCCCAACUUGUUUCCAUGUUACACACACGUCUCGUAUAUAUGUGACCCGCCGAGAACCGAUCUAGUGUCUCGCCGUGAAUCAAUAACAUGCAGCCAAAAUCUCACCGUAACACAAAGCUAGUCCGACCGUCGGGUACGUAGAACCAAAUAUAUAAUAGAUGCACACUGCCAAUGCAAACCAGGCCCUACUACGCAUAUAUAGGCUCGAUCGCCACCAGCGAUGGCCGACGGAGUAGAAUAUAUACGAUCUCUACUUCUUCACAAUGAAACCAUGAAAAAUCUCCACAACUACGUACUUCACCAUGAAAUCAGGAACUUUAAGCUUCUGUACAGAUGAAACAAGAACUUAACAAUAUAUGAAACCAUGAAUCUAAGGAUCUCCAUAACAACUUCGUCGUUGUUGUACGUACUUCAAGUUUUAACUACGACCCUUAACUACUUCCGGAGUUCGGUAAGUUUCCAAGUUAAAAGAGACUUCAUCGAAAAACAUAGGAUUCAUGCAAUUAUAAGUUUACCUACAGCUUACGUUUCCUGUUUCUUGUCGUUCAUCAAGAACAGUAUCCAAUAUUAACCAAUCGAGAGGACCACACUGAAUCACGCACCCACAGGAAUUCAAUUUCGACAGUGCGUAGUAGAUAUGCUCGAUCAAUGUACAUGGCUGCAUUAGGCCAUUGCUGUGUGCUAGCUAAUCAAUAAUGAUCGAUAUUCAUGAAUCAUGAUAAUUGAUCAUCUGGAUAAGGGUAGGUUUUUCUCAAUUAAACCUAAUUAUAUAUAUUCAGCUUUAGUUAGGUCCAUGCCUGCACAAAAAGGAAGCUAAAUAAUUCCAAAACAUAUGAACCUUCCACCGUUCUUGCAUUAACAUUAGCAUUCACGCAUGCACCCAACACACACAACUGUAGAAUUGAUUAUGACCGAACUUGAUUGCUUAUUCAGGCCGGCCGGCGUUGAUUGAUCAGAUCGAGGGCUGGCUGGCUUCAUCUUUUUCCGAAUUAGGAACAACAUGCCUGGUACUGUUCUGUGAUGACAAUGUAUAAAGCUAUAGCUAUAUCAGUAUAUAUGGUUGUUAAUGGGCAUGCAUAUGAUCGGUGAGAAUUGCUUAUUGCUUUGGUAGCUCAGGCCUAACUCUCUUCGAUAUUUAUUCAUGGAGUUGAAUCUCCAACAGUUCCAAGUUCCAACGCCAGCAAGAAAGCAAUUGCCAUCACUAAUAUUCAGUAUUUACUAUAUAUUAUUGCUGGGGUUGGAAUUUGUUUUUUUUUUUUUUUUUAAUUAUACGAAAAGACAAGAUAUGUUAACCUAAAUAAUACAGUAAAUUUUUCCGAAAAUUAACAUAUUUGAACUACCAGCAGCACACAAACAAUAUAUAUACACGAGUAGUGAGUAGUCGCAUUCCAAGUAUUGAAGUAUACUAAAAUUACUGUUACUAAAAUUUGAUUGAUCCGUCGACAUUGAACAUUCAUGCAUAGAAGUUAAUGUCGAUCUGCAGUUCUGCACAAGUGCAUGGACCCUUUGCAGAAGGAUGAGAUAUAUCAAUGCCUCAAUGGGAACCUAUUCAAUUUUUUCUGUUACCAAAUAUAAAAUUAAUCUUCCGCGUACACAUUGAUUGAUAUUAACUCAUGCAUUAAUGUUCAAUUCUGGUUCAUGUGUAAUGCUUACCUAUCCAUAUCGAUCGAGAACCUCAAUAAUCUAGACCAUCAUGAAUAUUAUCCAUAUAUAUAGUAGAAAGACCCAAAAUUAUAAAGAAAAUAAACAAGUUAGUCCUAUAUACAGGUCCCUAUUUUGUAUCAUAAACAGUUAAGAUUGUUUACCUGCAGGUACUGCCAUGAAAAAUCUGCAGCUCUUGCUGACAGCUUAUACCAGAUACCAAUAUUUUGCCAGAAGUACGUCUCAGACCCGAAAUAUAAAUAAAUUUUCCAGCAGUCAUUUCUGGUCAAAAAUAAUUAACAUUUCUCUAGCUAGAGAUCGCUUAAAUUAAAUUUUCUGGCAUAUCUUCCAUCAGAUAGAGUUAAGACUGUUUACCAGGUACUGCCAUGAAAAAUUUGCAGCUUGCUGUUGCUGACAACUUGAACCAGAUACAUACACACCAAGUUUUGUUAGCAGUCUUCGACCAGAAAUAAAGAUAAAUUUGCCAGCAGUCAUUUCCCUCUUAAUUAUAUAUUUUUUGGCCAUGCCAGUACGUACUAGUAUAAGCUAUUAGUAUCUUCCAUACUUUAUUUUUCUUAUAUAUGUUUUCACUCUUUUUCUUCCUAAAAUUAAGUUGGUCACGUAUAGGAAAUCUAUGAGGCCAGGAGAUAAAGCAAUACUAUUUAUCUUCGGGUUUCAGGAAGGUAUCUUAAUGAAAAGUGAAAAAUACAUGAUGAUCAUGUAAUUUUUUCUUGAAAAGAUGCUACUGUUGCAUCAUUUCACUGUUCUAGCUAGUAUGGAGUUUUUGUGCAUGACAUGCAUUUCUGUUUCAUAAUUGUUGUGAAUUGUGUAUUCAGCAUAUUUAUGGUGAACCAAAUUUCCUAGUUGUGGCGCCACAUGCCUUAUUGUCUCGUGACCCACUCUUUCUUUGUUGGUUGAGACAUGAGAGAUUGUACACCAUGCUCUUUCAUGAGAUGUUACAAUCUUCUCGUAGUGAAUGUUAAUAAAUCAAGAAAAAUACGUACACUAACAAUACGUAUAAUGAAUGGACGAUUAUAUACUUGUAUGCUUAUCGAUCAUUAGUUAGUCCGUUAACUAAAUAAGGUCGAUUAACUUAUAAUUUAUAGCAAAAAAUUACACGCUUAUUAUUUGAUAGUUAAAUAAUUACACGGUGAUUGGUCGAUAAUCUCAUCAAUAUACAAAGGUUAUAAUUUUGUUAGUUAGAUACAAUGUGAUUUACAGAUUUACUAAUUGAUCGAUACUGAAAAUUUAUGGGAACCUAUUAAUAGAAAAAAAUGCAUUUUAAAUUUUAUCUAUAAAUUUCUUUGUGAUCAUUGAUGGAAAUGGAACAACAUUGGCAUUCUUCAUGAUUGAUGACUCCCAUAAGAGGAAACAAAAGCUUUAGAUGUUACUAUCUACAUGAGUCAGCUAUGAAGUAGACGCCAGGGCCACACAGUACCGACUAUAUUCUUCAAUUCACUAGGAGUUUGCUUCAGUAGCAUGACCUAUAUAUCCAGCAAUUGUUAACUGUUUAUUUCUCACCAAAGACAGAUAAAAUUUGACUCUAUAUGAAAUUAUAGUUAGUUUUGAUUAGAUUGGACGAGCCCUAACAUUCAGUGCUAAAAGGGUACAUGUUCCCAUUUCAAGAGAAGAAUAUGAAGAGAAAUUAGCAAGCAAAUGGCUAUUUCCACCUUACAAUCAGGACAUUUAGGCAUUUCUUUCUUAUAAUUUCGAUGGGUAAACUGGUCAAGUGCUUAUCGUUCACACGUUCAAUUUUGAUAUCAUUAAUUGUGUCAACAACUCAUUAGAAUUCAAACAUUAGUCAUUCAUAAGCUACCGUCCGAUAUUUAUGUGUCUAUCCAUCAUUCUUGGCAAAGCCAUAGUUGUAAACGGGAGGGAAUCUCGUAAUGAUAUGUAAAUCAAUAGUUUCAGAACAAUUCAUACAUGUAUCAAUAAUUUAUGCAAGAAUCUCGUUUCGAUUUCUCAUUUGUUUUCCCAUUGACCUUAAAAAAACACAAAAACAAGGUUGGUAUAGAAAUUCUAAUAGCAAUUCCAACAUAUUCAUCAAGACAACUGCUAACAGAUUGCAUUUCAACUCCAUAUCUCACUUAAUGCCUUAGCUUUGAACAGUUGUAAUACCUCAAUAGAGAUGUUUGGCUUGACCAUUUGACCAAGUAACCUACUUACUUAGAGAGAAUCACCUUCCAAAAGAAGCAGAGCUGUGCCUACAGUGACAUCAACAAUAUGUAGCGCCCCACGUAAACACUAUACUAGCCAACAGGUAUACCAAUCAAUUCCAAUAGAGUAAUAACAAUUUUAAUAAUACUCCCAAAAAAAAAGUGAGAGAGGAAAAUAUUAAAGUGAAAGGACUGAUAAUCAGUCAUGUUCAUAACAGAUCAAGGAAAACCCAAUAAGUACAUCACAGAAUUCCAUGCUUCUGUUUUACUGUAUGUUCUUAUGUGAUACUUGUACAAAGGCAACAUCAUCAUCAUCUAUCUAUCUCAGUUCUGAAAUCACCACCUACCACUGAUAACUCCAUUCCUUCUUCUUCUUUUUAUAUAUCCCCACCAUUCACUUAACACAACUUCUCUUUCCAUGUUUGCACAACUGAACGAUCUCACUUGCUGUUUUUGGAUUUGGGUUUUUGAGAAGGUCCAAGGCUGGUGGUGCCUGAAAGCUCCAUCUCCGCUUAGAUUCAGAUUUCAGAAGCACAUUUGACCCACACAGAGGAAACCCAUGUAGGUUUUCUAGUUCUGUUGGCUAUAUAUGUUAUUAUUAUUUUUCGUCAAGUGGGCUCAUUUGGCUUUUGUUUAUUGAGGCUUACCUGACAUAGGUUUCUGGGUUCUUUUUUGUGGUCAGAGAUCUGGAAUUGUGGGUUUGAUACCUUGGUUUUGGAUAAGGAAUGUCGAACUGGUUUCAAAGAUCUGGCAUUUCGAGGUUGCUGUUUUGAGACACUUUAUAGAGAGGUAAAGAAGAUGACUUUGUCCUUUGAAUUAUUGAGACAGAAUGAUAUAGUUCAUAUUGCUGUGAUGGUGAAGUGGAAUAUGUGAAAUCUAACCUCGUCUAGUUGACAUUUGAGUUGUUAUCUGGUAUAUUGUUUAUAAUAUGAUCUGUUCAUAUGCGUGUUCAACUGUUUUGUUCUGCUCUUGUACUUUGAUUUCUGGGCUUGCUUUGUUAUUUGGUCUAUGUUGUUUUUGCAAGUUCUCUCCUUUAUUGUUAUUUGGUGAAAUUGGUGCAAAAAGAUUGUAACUUUAUCCGUGCUAGAGAAUAAUGGAUUUGAAAGAACAGAUUUUGAUUUGAUGCUAUGAAUUAUGAAACAGAAGCAAUGUUGAUGUGAGAUUUUGCUAUGUGUAGGCAUCUCAGCAUCUAAUAGAAUGGCCUCUGAUCUCAAAGCAGAGUUAUCCAAGGAAGCUUUUUUGGGUCUGAAGGUCUGGGAAGUGAUUGGAAUAGCUGUUGCAUUGUUUAUCAUAAUAAUCCUCACUGUGCUAUCACUAUGCCUUACUUCGCGUAAGAAAUCGAGAAAAGCCGGGGCCAGGAUUCCCCACAGUCAAAUUCCAACUGUCUCAAAAGAAAUUAAGGAAGUUCGAGUGGAGCAAAUAACUGCCAGUGAAUUUGUUCCCCGUGAUGGAAUUCUUCUUACCAUUCAUGACAAAUCCAGCGAUAGAGAAUCAGAUAAGGUUAUGGUCCAUCUGGGUAUGGGAAAGUCAAAGAAUGGAGAGAAUAGUAGUCGGUCAGGUUCAUUUAAUCAUUUAGAAAAAGAUGGGGGAGAGUCUCAAUCUGGAGAAGAAGGGAGUUCUACCACGGGUACAGGGUACAAGCCUUCUUCAUCAUAUCCCAUAACUGCUCCAUCUCCUCUAGUUGGUCUGCCUGAAUUCUCGCACUUGGGUUGGGGCCACUGGUUUACAUUAAGGGACCUUGAGCUAGCAACAAGCAGGUUUUCAAAGGAAAAUGUUCUUGGCGAGGGUGGAUAUGGAGUUGUUUACCGGGGAAAUCUCAUUAAUGGAACUCCUGUUGCAGUUAAAAAGAUCCUAAACAACCUGUGAGUUGACAGUUAUCUCCUGAUUUAAUUGUGUUUUGUCCACUCAUGUUGCCAUGUAUUUGUAUUGACCUGAACUGUUAUUUCUUUAGUGGCCAAGCAGAGAAGGAAUUUAGAGUGGAAGUUGAAGCAAUUGGCCAUGUCCGCCACAAGAAUUUGGUUCGUCUUUUGGGAUACUGCGUUGAAGGGACUCACAGGUACCACUUUGUUUUGAAGCAAACAAGUUUAUGUAAUUUAUUGAUUCCAUGAUUUGGAUCUAAAUGGGUUAUUGAAGUACAUGUAGUUCACUGGAACUUGAAUGGAGGAGGAGGGGGAAGAAUCAUUUGUGGCAUACUCUUCUAAGAUGUUAUACAAUAGCAACAGUAUGUUAGUCAUGCAAAAUAUUAUUUUACCCUGAUUUUUCUUUUAAAUUUCAGGAUGUUGGUCUAUGAGUAUGUCAACAAUGGAAACUUGGAGCAGUGGCUUCAUGGAGCUAUGCGUCACCAUGGAUAUCUCACUUGGGAAGCCCGUAUAAAGGUUCUCCUUGGAACAGCAAAAGCGUAAGUCAAAUUAUUUAUGUUCUUUUGAUACCAAGCUGUUCUUAUUUAACAAAAUAUACUUUUUGCAGUCUUGCUUAUCUACACGAGGCCAUUGAACCAAAAGUGAUACAUCGAGACAUUAAAUCAAGCAAUAUAUUGAUUGAUGACGAAUUCAAUUCCAAGGUAUCUGAUUUUGGCCUGGCCAAGCUGCUGGGUGCAGGAACAAGUCACGUGACAACUCGUGUUAUGGGAACCUUUGGGUUAGUAUUCUUUCUAGAGCAUGGCCGCUUUUCCCCUGAUAAAUGAUUUGUGUUCAAUAUUGGAUGUUCACAAUAUAUAUUGAUAGACUGAUCAGAGAUUAGUCAUUCCUCAUUUCUGACUCUUAAUCCAAGUUUUACCACAAUUUUGUUUUUUCAGAUACGUGGCCCCUGAAUAUGCUAAUUCUGGACUUUUGAAUGAAAAGAGUGACGUCUAUAGCUUUGGUGUUUUGCUCUUAGAAGCCAUCACUGGAAGAGAUCCUGUGGACUAUGGUCGCCCUGCUGCUGAGGUAUUCAAAAGCUUUAACAUAUGCUAUAUUCGAAGUUAAUUUAAUCAUCCUAUUAACCACAUUUGUGUCAGCACAGAAUUGAAGGCACAUGAGGUAAGUUAGAUUUACAUUUAGUAAAAAUAUUAAAUAAUGAAUGGUGAACAGUUACAAUUGGAAAAUUAAACCCCUUAAUUUAGUUUGGAAUGCAGAUUUUCUGAGCCAAUAUUGGUCCUCUGUUAAACUGACAAUUUCUGUUGAGUAUAGUUGGCUGAUCCCACCUGAGGAGUGAUGGGUAGCAUUUACUUUGAUUUCCAAACAAUAUUUGAGAGGCAGACAUGUACUAUAGAAUCUAUAUAUGCAUUUAAGAGCCGGUUGUGCAUAGAAAGUUAGAAACAACCAUUCCUACUGAAUGGUUACCUAGACAACUCAACUAUGACCUUGACCUUGACAAAUUCCCAGAUGUCUAUACUCUAGACAGAAAAUGGUCAGCAUGACUGUCCAACUGCUUCGGAUAUCCUUGCCUGUUUUUAGUAACUCCAGGUUCUACUGUAACAAGUGUAUUCUACCAUCGUAGCCCAGUUUAUCAGUCCAAUGCUUCCACAGUACCAAUAGUCCAAUACUUCAAUGUCGGCCACAGAAGCUAAUGUUUUAUGCCCUAGAAGGGUUAUGCACCAGUAGUUUUUGACAUAGUUAGACUAGAUAGACCCAGCAACAUGACUGUGAGGCAAAGCUUAUCUAUAACUCUAUGCAGAAAGUCAUAAUUGUACUCAUGAGUUGCUUCUGUGUCAAUUAAAGAAAUAAUGGUUAUUUUGCUUUUUUCUCAUUUCAUGUAAUCUUCUGAAUAUCUAUUUUUUGCUGGAUAACUGUGUGGAAGUUUUAUUUAAUGCUGUCUCUUAAACUCUCACAGGUAAACCUUGUUGAUUGGCUUAAAAUGAUGGUUGGAAGCAGAAGAUCAGAAGAAGUGGUGGACCCAAACAUCGAAGUCAGACCAUCAACAAGAGCCUUGAAACGAGCUCUCUUGACUGCUUUGAGGUGUGUUGAUCCAGAUUCUGAAAAACGACCCAAGAUGAGUCAAGUUGUCCGUAUGCUUGAGUCCGAGGAGUAUCCUAUACCAAGAGAGGUCAGUUUCUUGAACUUCGUAACACAUGUUAUCAUGGAUUGCAAGUUUUAUUCAUGUAUUGGUAGAGAGAAAGAACCCACAUUUCCAAUUUGGUUCAGCUACCUUGAAUAAAAAUCUAAUUCCAUGCUCUUGCUAGAUUUGUUUAUUUGGCAAUUGUGACAUCUUCUCAAACAUAUCACCUGCCUUGGUAUUUCCUUUCAUUAACAAGACAGAAGAAAUCUCUUUCUUUCAUCAACUAAAUCAAAUGUUAACCUAAUGACCAAAUGCUUUCCCUGCCAAACAUAACUGAUUCUCCAUUGCACUUUUUCAUGCUUUUUUGCUGAGUUUCUCUCUCAAUCUUCAUCUCUUCAUUUUGUUUUCCGAUGUUCUAAACCGUUCUCUUUUCAAAGCUUAUGGGAUUUCGAGGCUUUUUACCUUGUAAUGAUCCCCACAGUAUUGAUUGAGAAAGGCUAGCUAAUGACUAGAUAUCUGAGUUUUAAAAAUUAAUCUCAGCACAGAUUUUUCAGCUAUUUUCUGAGUACAAGUCUUCUUCUUGCUGAUCAGGAUCGAAGGAACCGAAGAACUCAAGCCGGUAGCAUGGAGAUCGACUCCCAAAAGGAAAAUUCAGAUACUGAUCGGAGUGAUUAUCCUGUUUCAAGAUCAGAAAGUAAAGACUACCAACAGCGAUAAUAAAACCAGUAGUUGAUUUCAGGAUCUGAGAAGUAUAUCGAGGGUAAUUCACGAUAUUUAUUUUUUCUACUCUUAAAAUUCUUGGGUUUGACGAGCUCGUACUAUCUAGGACAUGGGGAAGGGGUUCAUGUGGGAGAGGAGGUGGUCCUCAUAUUCUUUGUUUCUAUCUUCCCUUCCCCCAUUUUUUUCCUUGUAGAUUAAGAGAUAUAUAUUGUUUGUGUAUGGAAGUGGUGGUGUUUGUGUGUACAGAGUUGUUGAUCAUCAAAUUUGUUGGAUGCAAUGCUCCUCUUUAGUCUGCUUGCCUAAAUUUGACCAACCAAUGGAGUUAACAUUGGAUCUUUCUGAAAGCUACUGCAUGUGACUGUAAAUGAUCAAUAUGGAAAAGAUAGAUAAUAAACUAAAAUGAAGCAUCUACCUCUGUUCAAACUUCAGGCAGAGAGAAACCUUUGAGAUAAAAAAGAGUGGGAAGUUGAAUACUUGUUGCUUUCAAGAAUCAGUAACUAUGAGGUUGUUAUGACGCCUUGGAAUUUCAUUCGUCUGUGAAACAAAGGUUUCAACAUUUUACUAUGUCGUGGUUUCGGGAGAAAAUAACUGUGAGCAACAGCAAUAUAUGUUUCAGCAGAGCGGUGCAACGCCACGCAAAACCGCUCUUUGAGCCCGAUGUCGUCUUCUCUUCUCUGGAUACUCUCCUUAUAUUGGCACAAUUUGAGGGGCAACAUCGUCGCGACACUGUUCGCUUAUAUAUAUACAGAUAGAGAUAUAUUUUUCCCUGUCAUUGUUGCCUUCAGGUCUUGGUCUUAAGUCAGGCAUCCAAUUUGUUCAUAUCCGAGAUGAAUGCUGAGAACUAGCCUCAGCAAAAAACCUAGCAAUGUUCUGUCCUACUGAGGUGAUUUUUUUUUUGGCCGACACUGCUUCAUAUGUUAAAAUAUAUUUCUGAGCAUCAGCAACUUUCACCGGUAUAAUGCCUCUGCCUGUUUGAUUGCAGGGUAGGCUGUUGUUUGCAGAAUCUGCUGAGCAUCAAUUCAGUUGUGUUCCAAGUCCUAUGACUUUAAGGUAACAAUAUUUUACUGCACUUUCCUCUCUACAUAAGAACAUGGUGAGUUAUAAUGUAUGAAAAGGAGGGGUGUGGCAACAAAGAUUCAAAUAUACUGACAGAUAGGCUCAUAAUGCAUAACUCAUGGAACGAUGCAUGGUUAUCUUGUAUAUCUUACCAAGCAAGGCAAUUAUUUGUUUUGUUAAUUCGACUUCUCUUUGUUUAGUCAAAUUGCUAAUGAUAAUUAAGUACAAAUAUUUCGUCACCUUUCUGUUUAAUAAUUUCUAACAUGUGGUGCGUAAGAAAGGAUAGAGUUAUGCAGAAGCUCAUGUCAUGCUUAAUUAUUUCCCAAGUAUCUUCUCUGUUAAGACUCCAUUGAAUUAGUCAGCUCAAUAUUAGAUCACACUGACUUUGAACUUUGGUCAGUCAACCAAGGAACUACUAAUUUUGAUUUUUGAGAUAUGGUAAGUUUGAUCCUUGGCAGCGGUAUCGUUGCAAUGGUUACUUGGCCAGACUGCAGUUAUAUAAUCGAUAUUAAUUCGAAAUUUACUUGCUCAAAACACAAAAGUGUGUAGUUUGACUGAAAUUGUGCUGAAUCCAUCAGAAUGCAGAAAUGUCAGAUACAUUCACAUAUUGAAGCCGGGGAUUACAAAGGCGUGUUGAUCCCAGAUCCUGAUUGUAACUUAAACCAUUAGUUGAUUAAUCUAAAUAGAUUAUUUAAGAUCAAUCCUGAAAAGGUCCACAAUUCUCCCAGUAACAAGCUAUGUGUUACAUACUAACUCACAUAUCUGGUUUUGUAUUUAUUUAUUUUUCUGUUUUGAAUUUCUUCCUUCAGGUAUGUAUAUUCUAACAAGCAUCAGUUUUCAACUUACGUUUUCAACUUGCUUGGACAGCAAGGAUAAGAAGAAAUGCCAGCAAAGAAUCCUGCAUAUUUAUAUACUCCUCCAGUCAGUUAUUCUACAAAUUGUCCCAAAGUUAACAACUAUGGCACAGAUGGUUGGCAGAGAUGACAUAGAGUCGCUGAGAAUUGAGUUGGAAGAGAUAGGAAGAAGCUUCAGGUCAUCAAUUCAGAGUCAGAACUCCAGCUUUCGAGCCAAUUCAACAUUGAGUUCUGCCAAAGAUGACACUGAUGCUCAAUAUGCUGUGCAGUGGGAAGCCAUUGAGAGACUGCCAACUUUUGAACGGCUCAAGUCAUCUUUGUUUGACAAGGGUGAUGAUGGAAGUGAACUUGAUGGUGAAGGAAAGCGGGUGGUUGAUGUUACCAAGCUUGGAGCUAUGGAAAAGCAUGUCUUCAUAGAAAAGCUCAUCAAGCACAUUGAGAAUGACAACCUUCGUCUCUUGCGAAAAAUUAGAAAAAGGGAUCGACAAGUAAGCCCUUCCUCCUUUUUGGCAUGCCUGCUUGUUAUGUAUGUUUCAAACUUUCAAUUUAAAUGGAGUUAAUACUGCACUUCAAGAUGUAUGUUUGAACGGUAUACUUUUAGUCUUCAUAGUUCAUACCAGUGGAUACUGCAUUGCAGUGAUAGAGAAAUUUUUAUAGUCAAGUCAGACAAGGUGUUGUUGAUAUUUCUGGUGUGCUGAUAGUACAUUGAAUGGUUGUACUCCUUCUGUUUCUAUUCAUUCAUGUGGUAAAUUGGGAUUCAUCCUGAACUUUUUUGGUAGGGUUGGAGUAAAAUUGCCCACUGUGGAGGUGAGGUAUAAGAAUCUGAGUGUGGAAGCAGUGUGUGAGGUAGUUCAUGGAAAGCCCCUCCCAACUCUUUGGAACUCUGUCAGAAGCACACUUUCUGUAAGUAGAAAAAAGUUUAUUCUAGACUAUAUAUGCAACAGAUUGUGUCAAACAAUAUAAUUAGGAUUUAGGAUGCUCAUCUUUUUGUGCUUCCAGAGUAUAGUAGCUUACAAGCACUAUAUAUGUUCAACUCAGCUUCAUGACAUCUAAACAUGGUUUUGAAUUUUCUGCACAGCUCUUCACCAAGUUUCCAGGUUCGAAGACACAUGAGGCCAAGAUAAGUAUUAUCAAAGACUUUUGCGGUUCAAUAAAGCCUGGAAGGUAGGCUAGCAUCAAUCUUUUUACUAAGUUCAACUUAACUAAUUGAACUUUCUCUUGAUCUUUGGAUAUUUGAUGCAAAAGAACAAUUGCCUUAGUGGACCUUUGGGUGCUUAAUCAUUCUAUUGCAGGUUAACUUUACUGCUUGGUCCCCCAGGAUGUGGGAAGACCUCCUUUUUAAAGGCUCUAUCAGGGAAUCUAGAAAAAUCACUCAAGGUUUUGUAGUAUCUUUAUACUUGAAUGUCUUUGUAAUGAGUUGAUAUGAGAAGUUUGUUUUCUUACUUCAUAGUUGUUUGUUUUGUUCAAUGACUAUUUCAGUUCUCUGGUGAAGUUACUUACAAUGGACUGAAGCUAGCAGAGUUCGUUCCCCAGAAAACGUCAGCUUACAUAAGCCAGUUUGACCUGCAUAUUCCUCAGAUGACUGUCAGGGAAAUACUUGAUUUUUCAGCCCGCUGUCAGGGUGUUGGAAGCCGAGCCGGUAUGUUUUUCUGAGUUCUACAUGAUUGGUAUUAGUUGUAUGUAACCUAUUGAUGCAGGAUAAUAGUGUUUAUUUCUUUUCUGCCUACAAAGACAUUAUGCUGGAAGUCAGUAAAAGAGAGAAGGAGGCAGGAAUUAUUCCAGAUCCAGAUACAGAUACCUACAUGAAGGUACUUCAUGCUUUUUUGCUAUCAUCCUUUCCUUGUUUACAAGUUCAUUUGUAUCUUGCACCUCCUGUUAUGGAUCAAGGUUAUGCUGCCUUUGAUGAUUAUAACAAUUAGAUUAAUUCCUAACAGGCUAUUUCUCUCCAAGGACUAAAAAGAACCCUCCAGACGGACUACAUUUUGAAGGUCAUUCUCUUCAAUUUUGACUCUCUUUUCCAAUAAUGUGUGUCUGCAGCUCUGCAUAAUAUUUUUUCGUCAUGGUCAUCGUUUUGCAGAUCCUUGGACUUGAUGUAUGUGCUGACACUCUAGUUGGAGAUGCAAUGCUUAGAGGUAUCUCUGGUGGUCAAAAGAAGAGGUUGACAACAGGUAAUGCAAAUAGAGAUUGGUCAUAAUAAAUAUUUGCUUGUUCUACUGAGCUGACUGAUUAGCAACAUCUACUUUGACCCUACCUUAUGGAUGUGAAUGGUAAUUUUUCAGCGGAGAUGAUCAUUGGCCCCACAAAAGCUUUGUUCAUGGAUGAAAUAACAAAUGGCCUAGACAGUUCCACUGCAUUCCAAAUUGUUGCUUGUCUUCAGCAGCUGGUGCAUAUAACAGAUUCUACUCUAUUAGUUUCUCUUCUUCAGCCAGCACCCGAGGCGUUUGAGCUUUUUGAUGACCUUAUUCUAAUGUCAGAAGGGAAGAUUGUUUAUCAGGGUCAACGGGAUCAUGUCUUGGAAUUUUUUGAGGAUUGUGGGUUUAAGUGUCCCGAGAGGAAAGGGGUUGCUGAUUUCAUCCAAGAGGCAAGUGAAUUGCAGCAUAUGAUGUUUUUGCAUUUCUGCAUAUUGAAGCAGCAAUUAACAUCUUAGUUCUGCAGGUAAUCUCUAAGAAAGAUCAAGCACACUAUUGGUACCGCACAGAACCUCAUAAUUAUGUCUCAGUUGAUAUGUUCUCAAAAAAAUUCAAGGCAUCUUCUUUUGGGAAGAAGCUAGAUGAGGAUCUCAUAGAGCCAUUUGACAAGCUUCAAGACAACAACAAUGCUCUUUCCUUUAGUGUGUAUUCUCUUUCGAAAUGGGAACUUUUUAGAGCUUGUUCAUCAAGAGAACUCCUUCUCAUGAAGAGGAAUUCUUUUAUCUACGUAUUCAAGACAGUUCAGGUCAAAGUUUGUGCUGUUGCAUAUUAUACCUUUACACUCAUUUGGGGGUUGAAAGUUCUAUUAUAUGUGAAGCACUUGGGGAUUCUGAGAUGCUAACAUUUUUUUCCCUGCAGCUUAUUAUCAUUGCACUUAUCACCAUGACUGUAUUUCUGAGGAGUCGUAUGGAUAUUGAUGUACUUCAUGCAAACUCCUACAUGGGUUCCCUAUUCUUUGCUCUUACCAUACUUCUCGUGGAUGGAAUUCCUGAGAUGUCUAUGACACUUCAAAGACUAGAAGUUUUCUAUAAGCAGAAAGACCUGUGCUUUUAUCCAGCUUGGGCUUAUGCCAUUCCAGCAACACUACUGAAAGUACCUGUUUCAUUUGUAGAAGCCCUUGCUUGGACUUCUCUUACUUACUAUGUCAUUGGAUACAGUCCUGAGUUCCAAAGGUGAAUUCAAGUGAACAAUAAGCUCAUAUUAUUUCUACUUUUGAUUUUUCUUUGAAUUAUUGUUAUCUAAUUGACAUCCCAUCUUAAUAUCUAUAGAAGUUAGGUGCACAAGAAUAUAUCACACUAUGCUAAUUGUGGCUGAACUUUUGUUAUGAUAUAAUUUUCUUUCAGGUUCAUCCUCCAGUUCAUUCUACUUUUUGCCGUCCAUUUAACAUCUAUAUCCAUGUUUCGCUUCCUUGCAUCAUUCUUUCAGACCAUGGUUGCCACAAUGACAGCUGGUAGUUUCGCAAUAUUGUUUCUGUUACUGUUCAGCGGAUUCAUUAUCAAAAAACGUAAUGCUGUUUUAUCUUUUCCCCCUUUCAUUUUUAAAAAUCAAUGAAAGAAUAUAAAUUCAAAUCAGAUAUGUUGGUGCUUGCAGCUUCCAUGCCUGGUUGGUUAGGGUGGGGAUUUUGGCUUUCCCCUGUGACAUAUGGGGAGAUAGGCCUCUCUGUGAACGAGUUUCUUUCUCCAAGAUGGCAAACAGUGAGCAAAAUACUAUCAUUUCUGUUCAUUACUCUUAUUUGACACAAUUGAAAGUGCAUUCUCUGACUUACUAAUUAUAUUUCCUUAGAUGCUAUCAACAAAUGUUACUGUCGGGCGUGAAACACUUAAAAGCCGUGGACUAAACUUUGAUGGAUAUUUCUACUGGGUAUCACUUGGUGCCUUAUUUGGAUUCACAUUGAUUUUCAACAUAGGAUUCAUCUUGUCCUUGAGUUUCUUGAAGUGUAAGUAGUUAACUUCCUUUCCUCUUUCUUUUUUUUUUUUUUUUUUUUCUCUCUGUUAUUGUAUUUUAACUUGAGAACUGGAACUUGAAACACAUUGGUUCCUCCCAUUAUACAUUCAGCUCCAGGAUCAUCUCAUGGUAUAAUUUCACAUGAAAAACUUGCCCAAAUUCAAAGAACUGACAAUUCCCUUGAUGAUGCCCAAGUGAAAGAAAAGUCUAGAAUUCAUCCUUCUAAGACCACUGGUAAUGCUUACAAAUUUGACCAUAAGCUUUUUGUUCCUUUAUUUGUCUCCUACAUAUGAUUCUACAGAUCAAAUUUUGACAGUGCCUUUUUCAAUUAACAGGAAAGAUGGUCUUACCCUUUACUCCAUUGACAGUGGUGUUCCAAGAUGUGCAAUACUAUGUUAUUCCUAUGGUACCCUAUUUAGUAUUAGUGUAAAGUUGAUGUGUUUGUAGAGUUAAUAGCUUUUCACAUCACAUGACAUUGUUUAUUUCUUGCUUAUUGUCGUGUUCCAGGAAACCAGGGAGCCGGGAUUUAGUCAGAAGAAACUUCAACUUCUAAGUGACAUUACUGGGGCAUUUAGACCUGGUGUUCUUACAGCAUUGAUGGGCGUCAGCGGCGCUGGGAAAACUACUCUUCUUGAUGUUCUUGCAGGAAGAAAGACUACUGGCUACAUUGAAGGGGACAUAAAAAUUGGUGGAUAUCCCAAGGUUCAAGAAACAUUUGCUAGGGUGUUGGGUUACUGUGAGCAAACCGAUGUUCAUUCUCCACAAAUCACUGUAGAGGAGUCUUUGAUGUUUUCUGCUUGGCUGCGCCUGGCUUCUCAGAUCGACUCAAAAACAAAAACUGUAAGUGUAAGACUGAUAUUUGUAGAAUAUUGUAUCAGAUGUUUGGUUCAGAUACAUUUUUGAGAUAAUAGUCUAAAAAUACUGUCAUAUGUAACAGGAGUUUGUCAAUGAAGUCCUUGAGACCAUUGAGCUUGAUGGAAUAAAAGAUUCCUUGGUUGGAAUACCUGGUGUUAGUGGUCUAUCAAAUGAGCAGCGUAAGCGGCUUACAAUUGCUGUUGAGCUUGUUUCAAAUCCCUCCAUAAUCUUCAUGGAUGAGCCUACAACUGGUUUGGAUGCAAGAGCUGCUGCAAUAGUCAUGCGAGCAGUGAAGAAUGUAUCUGAUACGGGAAGAACAAUUGUUUGCACCAUCCACCAACCGAAUAUUGAUAUAUUUGAAGCAUUUGAUGAGGUAAAACCAAAAGGCUUGGCUUCUAGCUGCAUUAUGCUUAGACAAGGUUGAAACAGUGAAGUGUAUUGCAGCAACUUUAUCAAAUCUUGAUGAGAAAUUUCUUAUUUUACAACUGAAGCUAAUUCUUUUGAAAACUGGAGGGCAUAUGAUCUACUCAGGACAGGUGGGUCAGCACUCGAGUAGAGUUAUCGAGUAUUUUCAGGUUAGACCGCUUCUGGUAUCAGGACUGAACAUACUAGUUGCUUUAAGCAAAAUAAGUUUUAACAAACCAUCGAUCUGCUGAACUUUCUUUCUUUAUAAAUUAAACUUUAUGGCAGAGUAUUCCUGGGGUUCAAAAGAUCAAAAGUAACUACAAUCCAGCAACAUGGAUGUUAGACAUCACUUCCACAUCAGCUGAAGCUGAACUUGGUGUUAAUUUUGCCCAAAUAUACAGAGAAUCUAGUUUAUAUGAGUGAGUACAGUUACAUCAUUAAUUAUCUAGUUGAGUGGUAUUGACUGACGUUAAAAAUGUUUGCCUGAUAUGCAUGACAGCUUUCCUAUAAUAACUUUGCAGGAAUAAUAUAGAGCUUGCAAGACAGUUGAGUACUCCACCUCAUGGUUCCAGAGAUCUGCAUUUUGCUACCCGAUUUUCGCAAAAUGGCUGGAUGCAGUUCAAAUCUUGCUUAUGGAAGCAGCACUUGUCUUAUUGGAGGAGUCCGUCAUACAACUUGAUGCGCAUCAUGCAUACGGUGGUAGCAGCUCUAAUUUUUGGAGCAUUGUAUUGGAACCAGGGGAGGAAAAUGUAAGCCCUUAUCUGUGCAUGCAUAAUGGAAAAUGAUAGACAGAAGUGUUCUAUUCUAUUCUUAAGUUACAGUAUUACUCAACUUAUACCUAACCACCCCUUUUUCCAUUUCAAUGUGGUUCAAUAUUCUGUUAGAACCGACCAGCAGAACUUAUUCAAUAUACUUGGUUCUAUGUAUACCGGUGUCAUCUUCUUGGGCAUAAAUAACUGCGCAACCGUUCUGCGAUAUGUUGAAACGGAGAGAACUGUCAUGUAUCGUGAAAAAUUUGUGGGGAUGUAUUCACCAUUGGCCUUUUCAUUGGCACAGGUACACUUUUCUUAAAUGUACUUACAAGUUCUUGCUACUUGCCAGAAGCUUAAAUUUGUUGUUGUGCUAAAGUUCUUGAUAUUUGUAGGUGGCGGUAGAAGUUCCCUAUAUAUUGAUCCAGGCAGUCAUAUUUAUGAUCAUCACAUAUCCAAUGAUUGGAUACUACGCUUCAGCAUAUAAGGUUUUCUGGUAUUUCUAUGCCAUAUUUUGUUCACUGCUAUACUACAAUUACAUGGGAAUGAUGCUUGUCUCGUUGACACCAAACUUCAUGGUAGCUGCAAUUCUAUCCUCAGUGUUCUACACAUUGUAUAACCUGUUUGCUGGUUUUCUGAUUCCUAAGCCGGUAAGCCUAAGCCUACCCAUUCUCAUUAACAUGUAUAAAUCCAAGUAGAUAGCUAUAGUAAAAUCUAAAAGAAAAUGAAUUCGAUAUGUUAUUCUUGCAGCAAAUUCCAAAAUGGUGGAUUUGGUUGUACUAUCUGACUCCCUCAUCUUGGUCACUAAACGGUUUGCUCACUUCACAAUAUGGAGACAUAAACACGGAGAUUAUCAUAUUUGGGGAACCCAAAACAGUGUCUGCCUUCUUGAAAGACUACUUUGGGUUUCACCAUGAUCAGUUGGCUCUGGUAGCAGUAGUUCUCAUUGCAUUUCCCAUAACUUUUGCAUCAAUUUUCGCCUACUGCAUUGGGCGGUUGAACUUCCAGAAAAGGUGAUUGGGAUCUCCUGUUCACAUAGAUCAGUAUAUAUAGCCAGGAAAUCAGUUCCUUGUAGUUUCUGUACCGCAUAUGGUUGUAACUUUAUGUUUUAAUGAAUUAAUCAAUAAUUGAAGGUAAUCAGCACCAUGUAGCUUGUGAUGUUUCAAAGUGUGGUCUUUCUGGGAGCUUAUCCGCUUGUCCACCUAUAUAGCUAGACUUGACAUGUGCAUACUACUAACGAAAACAUUGGAGUACAUAUACAACCUGGUUUAUAUUAAAGGAAGAAAAUCAGGUUCAAAUGAUUAUUUGUAUCAAUGGAAUGAUUUCAGCUAUUAGAGUGAUUGUUGGAUCAAAAUUAUAUUUAGAUAAUUAGACUUGAUACUUUCCUAGAAUAGUUUCAUUCUCAUUGUAUAUAUGUAAGAGUGCUGUAUCUAUUUUAGAGAUCUAUACACAAACCUUCAUACUCAUAUUCUUAUAUGGUAUCAGAGCACGGAUCUUGGUGACUCUAGAGACUCAUCCAUCUUCCGCAAAUACAUCAAACACUAUCAAACAAAACACUACCAAAUCGACGUUAUGGCCUACACAGAAGGACACAUUGUCCAAAGCCCACAAACAAACAUGACAUACCUACUUAUCCUACACCAUCUCGACGCAUAGUCACACCUACUUGCAAUAUUACACAUACUGAUCCUCAUUCGACAUUAUAUUGGAUCGUGGACAGUGGAGCAACGGACCAUGUUUCUUAUCUAUCACCUACUCACAACAAAAUUACAACAUCUCAUGAUUUUGUUGGUCUACCUAAUGGUGGGAAAGCCACCAUUGAGAGCAUUGGAACAAUUAAGUUGUCAACAGAUUUGAAUCUUGAUGGUGUUCUUGAUGGUGUUCCCAACCACCGCUCCCAUCUCACCCGCCACCGGCAUCACCCCAUCCUUACCUGUGUCGUCGUCGCUCCCAAUAUCUUCCACCAGCGGCCACUCAACAACACCGCCGCUCCACCCUCCACACCCCCGUCGACCACCACCACUAGACAACCUGGCCUCCAUUCCUGAUGCUCCCUCACUGCCCCCGUCCUCCGGCCCUCCAACAUCGUUCUCACCUGACCCGAAUCCACUAACCUCCAUGACUCAGUCCGCCCUACCAGACACAACAUCAUCACCUCCUCCUACCACAACUGCUCCGGCCGCUCCACCAUCUGAGGUCCCACGCCGGUCAGAUCGACCCCGAAAACCACCUUCAUACCUCGCCGAUUACAAAACCAACCAUGCCGUUCUGCUUGGCCAAGCCGUCGCUCUCCCCUCCACGUCUGGCACUCGGUAUCCGCUGCAAAGGUACAUUUCCUACUCUGGUUUGUCAUCUAAUUAUCGCUCAUUUGUGAACAACAUAUCUCAAUUAGUCGAACCAGCGAAUUAUGAACAGGCAAGCCGUGAUCCGCAAUGGGUUGCGGCCAUGAACACUGAAAUUCAAGCUCUGGAAGAUAACGGGACAUGGUCCAUGGUCCCUUUGCCUCUAGGUCAACGCCCUAUCGGUUGUAAAUGGGUCUUCAAGAUCAAGUAUCAUUCUGAUGGUACAAUUGAACGGUACAAGGCUCGACUUGUCGCCAAGGGAUUUAAUCAGAGAGAAGGGAUUGAUUACAAGGACACCUUUGCUCCGGUGGCCAAGUUGAUCACUGUACGUUGCUUGUUGGCUAUUGCUGCUGUCCGCAACUGGCCAUUACACCAGAUGGACGUCCAAAACGCCUUCUUACAUGGCAAACUACUUGAAGAGGUGUAUAUGUUGCCGCCACCCGGUUAUCGCCGACAUGGGGAGAAUUCAGUUUGUCAGCUCCACAAGUCCUUAUACGGCCUCAAACAAGCUUCCCGUAGUUGGUUUCAACGGUUCUCAUCAUCCAUUCAAGAAAUCGGUUUCCAACAGUCUCGUGCCGAUUAUUCUUUGUUUACUCAGGUUCGUGACAAUUCUAUUACAGUGGUGUUGCUUUAUGUGGAUGACAUGAUCAUAACAGGGAAUAAUGAGGAGGCCAUUCUUAGUCUCAAGCAAUUCCUUAAUAGCCGUUUCAAAAUUAAAGACCUUGGACCUUUGAAAUAUUUUCUGGGCAUCGAAGUUGCGCGCUCAGAGGCUGGGAUUACAAUUUGCCAACGAAAGUACACGUUGGAUAUUUUGGAAGAAGCUGGAUUAUUGGGAGUGAAACCUGCAACAGUACCUAUGGAACCUGAUUUGGUGUUAACAACAAAGGGAAGUGAUGCUCUGAAAAACCCAACCAGGUUUCGACGUCUGAUUGGGAAAUUGAUCUAUUUAACAAUCACCAGGCCAGACAUCACAUUUGCCGUCAAUACUCUCAGCCAAUUCAUGCAAGAACCAAAGCUACAUCACUUUAAGGCAGCUCUUCGCCUUCUCCAUUAUCUAAAAUCGGUCCCUGGCCAAGGAUUAUUCUUCUCAUCACAAAAUCAUCUUCGGUUGAUUGGUUAUUGUGAUGCGGAUUGAGCUAGAUGUCCAUUGACACGUCGCUCAGUGACAGGAUAUUGUAUUUUCCUUGGACAAUCACUUGGCUCAUGGAAAAGUAAGAAACAAGCAACAGUGUCUAGAUCCUCAGCUGAAGCUGAAUAUCGUUCGAUGGCAGCAUCCUCUUGUGAGCUCUCUUGGCUUAGAUACUUGUUGACAGAUUUACGGGUGCUUCAUCCUGAACCAGCAUUACUCUUUUGCGACAAUCAAGCUGCUUUACACAUAGCAGCGAAUCCAGUUUAUCAUGAGAGAACUAAACAUAUUGAGUUAGAUUGUCACACUGUGCGUGAAAGAAUUCAGAAGGGGGAAGUCAAAACAGCUUAUGUGUCAACUGGAAAUCAAAUAGCCGAUAUGUUUACGAAGCCAUUGCGAGCACCUGCUUUUCACACACAUCUUGACAAGUUGGGCGUUCUUGAUAUCCACACUCCAACUCGAGGGGGAGUAUUAAAGGAAGAAAAUCAGGUUCAAAUGAUUAUUUGUAUCAAUGGAAUGAUUUCAGCUAUUAGAGUGAUUGUUGGAUCAAAAUUCUAUUUAGAUAAUUAGACUUGAUACUUUCCUAGAAUAGUUUCAUUCUCAUUGUAUAUAUGUAAGAGUGCUGUAUCUAUUUUAGAGAUCUAUACACAAACCUUCAUACUCAUAUUCUUAUAGUUUAGAAUGAAGUUAUACUACUCUGUAAGAAUGAACUGCAGUUUUAUAAGAAAACAGAAGGGAUCGGAUGUUCUUAUAAAUGAGGGUGUGUCAAUGCUCAUUUUUGUAGAUAGAGAUGAAACAGGCUUUAAUUUAGAUGCCGAAAAGGACCAUUUUCGCAUCAGUUUCUACUUCCAUAUGGGGGUUGGUGUUUGUUUUAAAACAGCUUUGUUAUCAUAUACUUCAAGAGUUCCCCAAACAACUGUAUUAGUACAUUGAUAUUGAUUUUGAUGUGGCCUUGCAGCUGAUCCUUUCUAGCUUGUGCACAGAAAUCAAUUACAGUAAUCAAGAGAGCGAUUCUUUACAUGUUUGAUUCACCAAACUCAAAACUCCACUAUUUUCUUCAAUAGAAUUCAACAUGCCAAAUGAAGCCGCUUGAUAGAAUAAAGAAAAAGCACACAUGCACACAAUCAAAAGCAAGCAAUAGCAAGCCUCUUCUUGAUUUGGAAGAAGCAAAUCAAUAAUCAGCUGCUAUUAAGUAGAGAGAUCAGAAUCACAUCCUGUACUCUUUAAGGCUAUUCCCACUUCAAGGUCUUCACCACUUCCCAUGUAAAGUCAGGAUCAUCUCUACCAAAGUGUCCAUAAGCAGCUGUCUUCAAAUACCUUCCCCUCUUGAGGUCCAAGUUAAUGGCAAUCAUUCCAGGCCUAAAAUCAAAGGCCUCCUUCACUAACUUCAGAAUCUCCUUGUCUGGAAUCUUUCCAGUCUUAUAAGUGUCAACAAACACUGAUAGUGGCUCAGGUACACCAAUUGCAUAUGAGACCUGCACUAUGCACCUUCUAGCAAGGCCAUUGGCUACAAUGCUCUUAGCAGCCUGCCUAACAAUGUAUGCACCGCUCCUGUCUACCUUGGUAGGGUCCUUGCCGGAGAAGGCACCACCACCAUGAGCUCCCCAACCACCAUAGGUGUCGAUGAUGAUCUUUCGGCCAGUUAGACCUGCAUCACCGUGCGGUCCACCAAUCACAAAUCGACCUGAAGGGUUGAGAUGGAAAAUAGUCUUCUCAUCUAGGUACUUCUCAGGAACAACUGGCUUAAUGACAUGUUUCUUGAGGUCAGCUGCAAUUUCAUCAUUGGUAACAGUCUCAUCAUGCUGAGUAGAAAUGAGAACCGUGUGGACACGGAGUGGAACCAUAGCACCAUGGUCAUUGUAGUACUCCACAGUGACUUGAGUCUUGCCAUCAGGUCUCAGCCAAGGGCAGGUGCCAUUUUUUCGAACAUCAGUGAGACGUGCACCAAGCUGUGUAGCAAGAACAUGGCUGAGAGGCAUAAGCUCAGGAGUCUCAUCAGUGGCAUAACCAAACAUGUGACCCUGGUCUCCUGCACCAAUUUCCUCGGGCCGCUUGGUGAGGUGGCCAUGCACACCCUGAGCUAUAUCAGGGCUUUGUUGCUCAAUGUUCACCAGGACCUUGCAGUUGUCAGCAUCAAGGCCUACAGCAUCCGAAACAAAUCCAAUGCUGCGGCAGGUGUCGCGCACUAUCUUCUCAUAGUCCACUUUGGCUUUGGUUGUGAUCUCUCCGAAAACCAUGACCAUGUUGGUCUUGGUGCAAGUCUCACAGGCAACUUUGCUGUCAGGAUCUUGUUCAAGGCAGGCAUCAAGCACUGCAUCGGAAAUCUGAUCACAGAGCUUAUCAGGGUGUCCCUCAUUCACAGACUCGGAGGUAAAGAGGAAGGUGUCCAUUUUUAGAAGCUGCAAUAGGACCAAUAUUUGGAAUGAAUAAGAACCUCAGCUUUUAAUUAACCAGUAGCUAAGCAACAUAUUAAGUUAUUAACAAGCAAUAUUACAAGUGUUGGAAUAAGACAUCAAGUCCAUAUCUAAGAUUGCUUUACUUGGAGCAUCUGAACAUGGUAUCUUAGCAUAACUUUCACAAAUUUAUACCUUCCAAAAGUAACUAUACUAAAGGAAAGGGAAACAGGCAACCUUCUACCACCCACCAUUAAAGAACAAAUCCGAUAAAAUCUAACAGAAGGAGAAUCAGCCCUGUUAAACAUCAUGUAGAAAUGGCCUAAAGUCCUAAACUCCUGACUUAACUUUUGAGAACAUAUAUGAAAGUAAAACUCUUCAAGAUCAAGCAAUCAGAGGAACAUCACUGCAAGCAAGUACAACAUUUUGGUGCCCAAUUAAGAAAUCCAAUAAAACACUAUUCCAUAUGACUUUAAGGCAAAGAAACAAAAGCUAGAAGUCAGACAAGCCCAGAGUUGGGUGCCAAAGACAUGAACUUUUGACUCAUUUCUGUAACAGUACUCAGGAAACAAAACAGUCAAUUGAUCAAAACUAAUUGUGAGGCAAUUACAACCAACAAACAACUCAAGAAAGCCAGGAAAUUACAUGUUUACAAUCAAAAGACUAAUUGAACUCCAUAUGAAGACCCCCUAAUGAUAGUUCAGUCAUACAAAAACCCAAAGAAUCAGACACGAGCCCAGAAGCAAAGAAAAAAUCUCGAAGUUGAGUACAAAACCAAGUGAAUUGCAGCAAUCAUCUUAAAAGUAAGAGAAAAAAGAAAGCAAAAGGCCUUAGCAUGAAAUAUAAUAUAUGCUUCGUACUCACUGCUUACUUGAUAAGCAAGAAUCCUGAGCUGCCUAUAUUCUGGGUGCCAAAGCUGGAAUCUUAGGCUCUCUCACACAGAAACUCUAGCUCAGGGCUUUGUAUUUAUAGAGGGAACUUCAUGAAGGUUAUUGGUGCAUGUGUUUCAUGAAGUUUCUUGGCCAUUGGAUGAAAUGAACAGACGACUUAGAUUGAACGGAGUCGGUGGACUAAAGCGACUGACCCUCCGAUUUGGUUAAUUUUGAGGUUUUGUCCAUGGAGGUUUGUAUAUAUUUGCAGUCACUUUUUUGUCUACGUACCUACUUGAGAUUCCAUUAUGUCGAUCAAAUAACUUUGAGAUUCCAUUAUGUCGAUCAAAAAACUAUGAGAUUCCAUUACGCCUACUUUUGCUUUUUCAACCACUACCUAUGUUUUAGGAUCGACCAGAAACAGGCACAGUUCUUCAUUUAGAGAUACAUCUCGAAUAUUUGAUUUCGAGAAAACAUCUACAAUUGUUCAUAGUGUUUUUUCUCAAGAACCCGCUGCAAGCCUGGAAGGAAUCUAAAGUUUACUCGUCGUGAAAUAUGGUUGUUUCUCCCUACAUAUCUCUUGAAUCUGCACAAACUUGGGUGUUGGGAGUUGGUGAAGUUUAUAUUUCCAAGUCGACCAACUCCAUGAUGUAGUCACACACGAUCAUGACAUGAUGAUCAAUAAUUAAAGUUCACAUUAACUAGAUCUCUAUUUGGCUUGGCACUUCAUGCAUCAUGCAUAUCUGUAAAUUGAUAUUUUAAACUCUAAUGUCCUCAUACUAGCCAAAAACUUGCCUUAAUUUUGUUCAUUAGAUGAAAGAUUACCAUCACCAUGAUAUAUAAUCAUACUUUGCUUUCUAUCUCUUUCAGGUGGUAAGGGAUUUUAUAUAUAUAAAGUUCAACACAUGCAAACUGCGCUGAAACACAUUGUAAUUAUUACUUGGUCUGACCGACGUCCUUAGAUUUUUGAUUAUCACUAAAACAAAUAUAAUCAGAAAAGGGUGAAUCUGAAUCAUAUAUUAUUAAGAUCCUGGUGAUGGGUAGGCCUCGUUAGAACUCAUAAUUCAUCAAAGUAUUGGAUUCCACGUUGUUUGCACAUCAUGCAAAUGGCCUCCACCUAACGUCUUUUGAAUUUACACAGUAAUUAAGCAAGGAAAAAGAUAGGUAUAAGGGAUAUAAUGUUAAGUUGUUGGAUUAUGGUUGGUCUAAUUUGAGUUGAUUUAGAGAACAUAUAUAUAUAUAUGUAUAACUUCUUAAAUCCUGCCGUAUGAUGUCACAGAGCAGUCCCAUAUAUGUCACAUAGCAUUAUAGAAAGUUUAGAAACUUUACCUUUAAUCAUUUUAUAGGAAAGUUUAACAUUCUUUUUAGAAAGAAAAAAAAUCAUAAAUGAUCACUGACUUUUGAUCCAUUAAUCAGUUUACUCACUCACAUUUCAAAAAUGUCACUUAACUCACUCACUUUUGAUUAUAUCUCUCACUUAACUCACUGCCGUUAAACUUACCGUUAGGAACUGUUAACAUCGAAGGUAUAUUUGUCUAAUCACGUAAAAUAUUUCUAACUUAUUUUUAAAUUUAUUUCUAAAGUUAUUAGAUCAUUUUCCAAUUUUUUCUUGAAAUUUCUAUGAAAAAGAGUAACUUUAAAAAAUCUGAAAUUAUUUUGAAAAAAUAUAUUAUUUGUAGUUCUUUUUUUUCUGGUACAAAUUAUUUGUAGUUCUUUUCAUCAUAAAAAAGAAAUUAACUUAAAAAUUAAUGCAUAUUUACCUUAAUUAUUUGAAAGUUAUUAAAUUAUGGGACAAUGCCUACUAGCCUUAAAUUUAAGAUUUUUCUUCCCACUAACAAAAUCAGAUUUUUAAAUUCCGACGAGUUAACUUACACAACAAAAAGACAAGUAUGCCCUUAAUGAAUUAAUAAACUAUAACAGAACAUUAUAAAAGUCUAGUAUGAAAUAAAGAUUUUUAUGACCGGAUUCCCAAGGCGGGCGACUGUUGACCAAACUCCGACAACCGUUGAUCGGACUCCGACAACCGUUUACAUGAUUCCGACGACCGUUGACUGGAGUCCGACAAUAUGAUGUCUACUGGGGGUAGUAGGAGGGUCUACUGACAAAAUGAUGUCUACAUGGGACAGUAGAAGGGUCUAUUAGGGACAGUAGGGGAUCAUGAGGGUCUACUGAAGGGCAGUAGGGGUUUACUAAAUGCAAUAGAAGGGUCAGGAGGGUCAACUGGCUGAUGGACAUAAAAAAUAGCAUCACCGAACAUAGAACCCAAUGCACAAUUAGCAGAGGAUUGUUUGCAAGGUACAUCCAUCUAUUCUACCAAUACAUAUACUUGCAAAGCACAUAUCAUUCAACCCUGAACUAGAACACUACAAACAUUCAAAUGCUCACCACUGUGGACUUGGCACCAAACUCAUAUCCUAAAGCUUCAAACUACGAAAUAUGAAUAGCAAGCUCCCUAAAGUUCACGAAAAUUGCAAACUGAACAUAAAGCAUCUGGUCUAUCACACCCAACAACAUCAACAACUUGAACAAAGAUAAGACAUUAACAAUAAUUUAAUUGAGGUAUUAGUCUACUACCACCAUAGAAAGCGACGUCACUUCUCUAAUAACCAUGAAUGAAUUAGUAUUUAAUUUGGUCAUAAUCACAACUCCACAAGACCUCGACCUCACCAAACACUGCUUCAACUAUUUUCUGAACAGAAUUCUUCACGCUUGAACUUAAAUCCGGCGAUCGGUGCCGAGAUUGAAGAUGAAGCAAGAAGAGGAAGAGGAGUGACCUUGCUCAUGGGGACCUAAUCUUUAUUUACAAUUCCUCAAAACCAAAGAAAAAAAAAUCUCAACUGACCGCCGAAAAGCUGACGAUCUCAACGGCAGACUUGGAGACGAUCUCAAUGCAGAGGACUUUGAGGCAGAUCCACCACCGCUGAAAAGCUGACGAUUAGAUCCACCACCGUUGUCAGAUUCAUACCGGUGUUAGGGCACUGAGGACGAUCUCGACGCAGAUCCAAGAGUGGUAAAGUCGAUGUGAUUUAUGGCGAAGGUUGGGGAGUGGAGGGAGGAGCCGUUGAGGCGGGGUU